GUAGCAUGCUUAUCAGAAAAGGAUGCUUGGGAACUGUUUCAAGAAAAAGUUGGGGAAGAAACUCUUGAGAGUGAUCAUGAUAUCGUUGAGCUAGCCCAAACCGUGGCCAAGAAGUGUGGUGGUUUGCCACUCGCACUUAUUACUAUUGGUCGAGCUAUGGCCAUCAAAAAGACAGCCGAGGAGUGGAGACAUGCAAUUGAAGUGUUAAGACGAUCAGCUUCAGAGUUUCCAGGUUUGGGAAAAGAGGUGUAUCCUCUUUUAAACUUUAGCUAUGAUAGUUUGCUGAAUGAGACGAUUAGAUCUUGUUUCUUAUAUUGUUGUUUAUAUCCUGAAGAUUAUGGCAUUCUUAAAUGGGACUUGAUUGAUUGUUGGAUUUCUGAGGGAUUCUUAGAGGAAUCUAAUAGGUUUGGUUGUUAGAGUGCAAUUUAUGCACUAGUUUUGCAUUAUUUACUUCCCUUAAUAUCAAUGUUUUGCACUUAAUAAUAGUGAUUUACUUGUGUUUUACUUUUGUAGGUGCAAUUCUAUUGAUUGAUGAUAAAAUUGAGCUAUAAGAUGAUGUUUAAGGAUGAUUGUUCUCUUGAAGAAAUUAUGAGCGUCAGAAGAACUUUGUUGAUAAGGCGUGGGCGCGUGCUGUCAACUGCGGACCUGCAGUUUUAGUUUAACGUGUUUUGUAUUUUUGGUUAUUUUUGUAAUUACGAAUUUAAUAUUUCAGAUAUUAGGAUUUUAUUUUAAAUAGAAUUCUAAAAGAGAAGAGAGAGAAAGUAUUUAAGGGAGGAAUCUAUUGUGAAAGGGGGAUUUUGGAUUGGAGAAAAAGAAACCCUAGAUCUAAUUUUUCUCUUCUCUCUAUGAGGAACUAAACCCAUUUUUCUGGUUGAAGGUUAAUGAAGCUUUGAUUCAUCACUACUGUGAGAUCUUUCUUGUGCUUUAAUUGUUUUAUUACUUUUUGGGUAUUUGUUUAUUCUCUGAAUUAUUUUCAUGAUUAUGUUUGUUAAUUAGGUAAUUGGCCACUAUUUAAUUAUCAACUUAAUCUAUUGUCAAUUAAAGGAUUCAUCGUAUGAAGAAUUUAAUGUUUGUGACAAAUAACAUAGCAGAGAGUUGUGUUGUGAGAAUAAACAAUCUAAUUUAAAUGAAUCAUCAUAUGUGUUGAUUAGGAUUUGGGUCUCUCUGGUUUUUCAGGCUGUCAAUUGAUUAAAUUCUAUGAUCGUAUCUAGGGUUGUCUAUUGAUUAGGGAAAUAACCAACGGUCGUACCUUGGUUAUCGACUAGUUAAGGAGAGAUUGGCUAUUAGAGGGUCUCAGUAGCUAUAACCGGUCUAUUCAUGAGUAAUAAUAAUCUAUAUUUGAAUCAAUGAUCAGUAGUCGAAUCAAGCUGAGUUAAUUCCUUCAACCAGAGCUUUCUCCAAUUUGAAUUACAACUUUAAUUUGCAUUCUUGUUAUUUUAAUUUGAUUUUUAUUAUUGUCAACAAUUCCCCUAUUUUACGUUUUACGUUUCAAAAGGAUUUAAUUAAUUACCGAUCUCUGUGGACACGACCCUGCUCAAUCACUAUACACAAUUUAUUUAGAGUAGGAAUUUACUUUUGUUGGCUUCGACACCCAUCAUUGGUGCAGAAAACCGAGGAUACUACAUUGUGGGCACUCUUGUUCAUGUGUGUUUACUAGAAGAGAUAGAAGAUGAUAAAGUAAAAAUGCUUGACGUUGUUCGUGAUAUGGCUCUAUGGAUAGCUUGUGAAACUGAGAAGGAGAAGAUAAACUUUUUGGUUUGUGCAGGUGCUGGAUUAGAAGAGGCACCGGAUGUUAAAGAAUGGGAAAAUGUGAGAAGAUUGUCAUUGAUGCAAAACCAAAUUGAAACUCUGUCAGAGGUUCCCACAUGCCCUCAUUUCGUCACUUUAUUUCUUGACUUUAAUGGGGAGUUGAAGAUGAUCGCGGAUGGCUUCUUCCAACUUAUGCCUUCUCUCAAAGUUUUGAAGAUGUCAAACUGCUGGAAUUUGAAAUUUCUUGUUGGGAUGUCAAAGUUGGGUUCGCUACAGCUUCUUGAUAUUUCACAGAACGCCAUAGAAGAGUUACCAGAAGAGUUGAAGUUGUUGAUAAAUCUGACAUGUUUGAAUUUGAGGGGGACAGGCCAAUUAAAUAAAAUUCCACGGCAACUAAUAUCAAAUUUUUCAAGGUUACGUGGGUUAAGGAAGUUCAUAACGUGUGCAAGCAGUCAACUCAAGGUUAGCACGUGGGAGAAUUUGCUGAGCUAAAGUUAGUUAAAUAAGCAAUGCCAGCUCAACAAAUUCAGUCAAGGUUUACUGAGAUUUUAUUCCUAUUGUUUUCUUUUCUGUUAACAAUGUAUAAAGGUGUUCUUUGUACUCAUUUGAUCAUUAAGAAAAAAAGAAAUAAAAUCUAGAAUAUUCUCUGAAGUUUUCUCAGUAAAACAGAGUAAAUUUUCUCAGUAACUAAACAGUAUAUAUCAGUGGAAUUUACGUUUUAUAACAUGGUAUCAGAGCCAAACAGUAACCAGCAAACAAUGAUGAGAAAUCUAGCAAUCAAUAAUACACAUCAACACACUCAAAUCAAUUUCUCUUUCACGAAUCCAAUUAAACUAGAUCGAUCAAACUACCUGCUCUGGCGUUCACAAGUUCUGGCUUCGAUUAGAGGUAAUCGACUAGAAGACUUCAUAACUAGAAUCAAAUCAACAUCUGAAGAAAAUAUUUUGUUAGCUGGAGUUGAUGGAUCUACACAACAAAUUGAGAAUCCUGAGUAUCAGAUCUGGAGAUCACAAGAUCAAAUUCUUCUUGGUUGGCUACUGUCAACCUUAAGUGAAGGUAUCCUUAGUCUUGUUAUUAACUGUAAAAGCUCAUUUUCUUCAGCUCAGAUAUGAACUGAACACUCUUAAAAAGGAGUCUCUUAGUAUUGAAGAUUAUUGUGUUAAAAUGAAAGCAAUAGCUGAUAAGCUUGCUAGUGCUGGUAGCUCGAUAACAGAAAAGGAUCUAAUGCUAACCAUACUCAAUGGAUUAGGAUCAGGAUAUAGUGAUAUUGCUACUUUCAUAACUGGUUCACGAAUGGAAUUUGAUGAUACUUAUGCAUUAUUGCUCACUCAUGAAACUAGGUUGGAACAAGAUCAUGAUGAUAAGAGUAUGUUCAAUGCUAACUAUGCAUAUACUAAUGCAUUUCAUCCUAAGGUUUAUUAUGCACAGCCUAGAGGAAAUUUUAAGAGAGGAGGUUAUUAUGGUGGUAGGAAUGUUUUCUCUGGUAGAGGGAAUAUGAAUUUUUCUCCAAGAAUGUUUAAUGGAGGUUUUAGAAGUGGUUUUGGUAGAGGAUAUUAUGUUGGUAAUCCUUUUAAUGGUAAUAAUUCUUUAGCACCAAAGAAUUCAUCAUCUGUUAUCAAGAAUGGAUCACAGAGAACUUUUAAUAACAAUCCAGGGGACUCAGUAUGUCAGAUUUGUCUCAAACUUGGUCAUACUGCUGAUAUUUGUUGGCAUAGAUUUGUUGAAGAUUAUGUGCCAAUGCCAAGGGGUUUUUAGAAAAGGAAAAGCACCCAGAGCAGCAUCACUACUAGAAAAAUAGCUUUUACUGAUACUUGUCUUGUGAUACUUUUCUAAAAAGUAUCAGCAAUUACAUAUAUUUGGGCCAUUUUCCGUGUUUAACAAACAAGUGUCACAAAUUACUGAUUCUAUGAUGUUUGUAUAUUAAACAUCAGAGAUCGUCGACACUAAGGUAUCAGAAACAACAAAAAAAAAUAAAAAAUCUAUUUUUGUUUUAGUUGCGACUCGAACCUAGGACCUCAAAACUAAAGUGCUUUAUGUUCAACCAACAAACCACCAUGCCAAAUUCAUAAAUUAGUUUGUGUUGAACAUGUUGAAAUUAUCAAAUUAAAUUAAUAUAGAAAACAAAAAUAUAAAAGCAAAAGAAAAAAACCCUAAAUCAACAUAAACAUAAAAUUCCCUAACUCCUAAAUCCAUGGCCAGCCGCCUCAUCUCUCUGGCGAUAUCCUUCUUCUUCUUCAUACCUCUAAAACUUCGAGCCCUAAAAUUCAAGGGUCCAUGUCAUAAGAAAUCCUACCACCACUGCUCAAAUUCUAACACCCAUACCAUACGAAACCCUAAUGAUCUACAUUAUGCAAAACAUCCACCAUGCCGCUAUGCCACAAGCUCACAAGACCCGCUUUAGAUCUCCACAUUUUGCUCACCCUACUCGAGUGCACACCGCCCCUCUCGCUUCGACUUCUCGGGAUUUCUUGUUAGCUGAAGUUUUGUUUUCUUCCGCUAAUUCGAUCUUCGAAAGGUCUCGGAGCUCCAAGUAACUAAGUAAGCUCGGUUUUCUUCUAUUCUCUCAGAUACUUGCUUACACAUUCCUUUUUUUUUCGUGUUAAAUUUUGUUGUUUCGUUGUGUUAUAUGGAUCGAUGAGAGUCACAGACUUUGACGAGACAAUGACGAUAUUGUUUUGGAGUUUCGUUUCGUAGAUCUGUGAUAGAGUCUCCUUUUUCAGAUAUUUCCUUUCAUUUACCAUAUUUGCACAAUUUGUUUUGUCAUUAAAUUAUUUGCGUUUGAAUGUACAAUUUUUGUUUUCGUUUUAUAUUUUCAAAUACUGUUUCUUGGAGCGAAUUAGUGGAGGAAUUUUUGGUUGAAGCAGAGGAUGGAUAACUUUUGUAUUUUGAACUUUGUAUGUUAUUUAUUAUUUGAACUUGAAGCUAAAAGGUGACCAAAUUUUCCAAAGGUUAGGGUUUGGUUGGCUUAUGUGAAAAUGCCGAACGAAUGUGUAUUAUUCAUACUCCAAUAUUGUAGGUGCGUCAAUGCACCUCCUUGCGAUGGUUGCAGCAACGAAACUGUAGGUCAAGGUUUGGGUACCCCAUUUCCUUCAAAGAUCCAAUAUGGAGCAACUCGAGUCGAGCUUUUUCGGUCAAUUUAAACAAAACCUUUACUCCUAAUUUAUUGUCUUUUGCUUUCUGUUUGUACCUGUAGGAGUUCAUAUUUUGUAAUGUUCCGUAAGUGUCCAAUAACUGGUUAAAUUAUGACUUAUGCUAGGUGAAGAUUUUGUGUUACAAUCCCCUUCAAUAGGCAAUCACUCUUUUUGUAAAUGUUCAUGGGUAAUUGCUUUGCCUUUGCUUCUGUUGUACUUUUGUUUUUGUGGGGUUUUAGUUAAUGGAUGUUGAGUUAUAUUUCAAUCAGUUUGAUUUCUCUGCAUAUUUUUCAUAUUUUAGUAUUAGAAGAGGUAUUUAAUCAAAUGAAGACAAAAACAAUUGUCGGCCAACCAACAAACUCACUUUAGUUUGUUGUGAAAUGAUUUUCUCUCUCUCUCUCGAUUUUCACUGGUUCUGUGGUUUUUUCCCUUCCACAAUGUGAUUUAGUUCUGUUCUAUUUAUGGAUGUUACCAACAUUUUAGCUUUUAAGAAACAGACAAAAAGAUUCUGAAGUUUGUUUCUUGUUUCUUACUCUGAAUUUCCAAGGCAUCUUAUUUGGAGAAAUGCAUUCUGAAUGGAGAAAUUUCUCCAAAUUUAUGAGAUGUGGUUCUGUCUUGCUGAAUGAACAUUGUAUUUCCUUCAAUGGUUUGCGAGCCAUUAAGUUAUUUGAGCAAACAAAAUUAGCAAUAUGGAAUCCUGUUUCUACAGGAUUAUAGUUGUAGGACUCUAGAAUUUAGUCUAGGUAAUGUUUUUACCAUUGUAAAAAGUAUCUGACAUUGGUGAUGUUUAAGCAUAUGUGUCAUUUCUUUUGGGCUUCACUUUGGAUCCUUUUUUUCUUUUUUUACAAACAAUGGAUGGUUAAAACCUAAGAGACUGAUUGAUUUUUGUUUUAAAUCCAGUGGUUAUGCCUUGUAAACUUUUGAGUUGUAUCAAUUUCUUUUCCUGGCCUAACUUGGCUAAAUUUAUGCUAUAUAAUUGAAUUCUACAAAUUUUGGCUAUGUAUGAUGUAAAGGUCAUAAGUCUUGUAUCUUCAUUUGUUCACCACAGGCUUGAUACUUCACAACUACCAUAAGUUAUGUCAUGCCAUGUCUUCUUUAGCAAUAUUGUGUGGCUUUGAGUAGUAUUAAUGUUUUUGUUUGUUAAUUCACGACUUAAUGGAACCAUUUUCCUUAUAAUCGAGAACCUUCGUGCGAGUGUUGUGGAGAAAUCUUAUGAUUCAUGUGUAGGUGUGUUUGCUUAAUGUGAUGACUUUUAUUAUGUGUUGUAGUUCUUGUGUCUAUAAGAGGAACCUUUGCUCCUAUGUCUAUUUAUCUCCGACUUUCAGUUUAGGCGUAAAUAGGUUACUCUUCUUUCUUUCUCAUUUUUUAAUUUCUAUGUUCUCCUAUGUCUAUUUACAUGGACUGCUUUGCUGCUUCUCUGCAGUGAAAACAACCCUGGUAAUUUACAGGAGCUUUUUUCACUUCAGAACAAUAGCAAGACAUCCCCUGCAGAUUUUUUAUUGAUUUUGCAUAGAUUGGUUUGUUGCUUUGGGUUGGAAUGCUACUGGAUAUAUGUCAGAAUUAUAGCGCUAUUGGAAGAUGGUGGGUUGUUGCAUAUGAGUUGGAGUGUUCCUGGGUAUGUAGCUAGAAUUAGAGUGCUGUUGGAAGAUGGUAUUGCUACUGGAAGUUUUGCUCAAAAACUUGUCGUUGGAAUACUUGCAUUAAUUUUUGGAAAUUUUAUUGGGUAACUUGGCUAGGUGGCUGAAAUUUUAAUUGCUUUUGUGUAUUGAAGCAUUUGGAUUGUGUAAUAUAUAUUGAUAAUAUUUAAAUGUUAUGAAAGGUUUUGAUAAAUAAAUUGAUUUUUGUUCUUAUUUCUCACAGCCUUUUAAUUCUAUCAACAAAUCAAUGGGUAAUGUCAUUUUGUAUAAUUAUUUUUUUAAAUAAUACAUAAAGUAGUGAUACUAUAGUAACAGUAUCACAAAUACUAAUAUAGUAUUGUAAUAUUUUGAUACCAUGGUGUUAUGAUUUUAAUGAUACUAUAGUAAUAGUAAUUACUGACACCACUUACAAGUGUCACUAUUUUUCUGACUGCCAGAUUACUGACACAAUUAGCAAGUGUCACUAAAAGUAAUUACUGACACUAUUCUAAUGUCAGUAAAGACCAUUUUUCUAGUAGUGCAUAUCUGUCAAAUUUUGAUGGUUCUGUUUCAAAUCCAAACUUUGAAGAUUAUGAGAACUUCAACUAUAUGCCUUCAGCUUAUAAUCCUAUGUCUGGCAAUAGCUAUUAUUCUGGUUUUGAUGCUUGUACUCCUGGAGUAGCAUUUAUGGCUAACUUUGAAGGAGUUGCUAAUGAUGAAUGGUACUUGGAUAGUGGGGCAACUCACCAUCUGGACAACAACAUGGAGAGCUUGCAGAUCAGUGAGGAGUUUAAGGGUACUGAUUAGCUCAUAAUUGGUAAUGGUCAAGGUUUGUUUAUCACUAAUGUUGAUUUUGCAUUUCUGUCACAAAGAGCAUCAAAUUACUUAUCUGCACAUUCCAGAAUAGCACUUAAGGAUAUAUUACUUGUUCCAUCAAUUACCAAAAAUCUACUAAGCAUUUCCAAAUUGACAUCUGAUAACCCUAUAACUGUUGAAUUUUGUGGGAAUGUUUGUUUUGUGAAGGACAUGAAUAGACAAGUUCUGCUGCAGGGACUUGCCGAAAAAGGUCUAUACAAGCUGCUGCUGAGUUCUAAUUCCUCUUCUUCAUUUCCUUCAUCUCAUCUUUGUCAUACUCAACUAAAUAAUUAUGUCUCAAUGUUGUCUAGCUUUCAAAGCUUUGAUAAUCCUUCUAAAGUUUGUUAUCAUUCUGUUUUCAAUAAAUGCAAAACCAAAUAUGAUGUAAUGACAUUGUUACAUAGAAAAUUUGGUCAUCCAAGUUCAAUGAUUCUGAUGCAUUUAGCUAAGUCUUGCAAGCAAUUAAAAAUCUCUCAAAAAGAUAUUCUAUCUUGUACAAAUUCUUUGUGUGAGGCAUGUCAGUUAGGCAAAGUUCACAGGCAAAGUUUUCCAGCAACUGAAACAAAAACAAAAGGAGUAUUAGAACUGAUUCAUACUGAUAUCUAGGGACCUUCACCCACUGUAUCUAGAAAUGGAUACAAGUAUUACAUUAGUUUUGUGGAUGAUUACACUAGAUACACCUGGAUCUAUCCACUUAAGCUUAAAUCACAAGCAUUUGAAGUUUUCAAACUGUUCAAGGCACAAGUUGAAAAUUAGUUUAAUACCAAGAUUAAGGAAUUACAAUCUGAUCUGGGGGAGAGAGUUUAGAGUAUUCAGUAAUUUCCUAAGUCAAAAUGGAAUCAAGUUUAGACAUUCAUGCCCUUAUACUCAUCACCAGAAUGGUCUUGUUGAGAAGAAACAAAGACACAUAAUUGAAUUAGCAUUAACACUCUUAGCUCAAGCUAAUCUCCCUUUUCAGUUUUGGUGGAAAGCUGUUCACACAGCAACAUAUCAUAUUAAUAGGUUACCAACACCUGUUCUUAAGCUUUUAUCUCCUUAUGAAAAGCUCUUUAAACACAAACCAGAUUAUUCAUUUCAUAAGUGCUUUGGUUGCCUAUGUUAUCCAUAUAUGAGAGAUUUAAAUAAACACAAAUUUGAUUUUCACACCACCAAAUGCAUCUUCAUUGGCUAUAGUCAUUCUUACAAGGGUUAUAAGUGUUUAACAAGCUCAGGAAAAAUUCAUAUCCUAAGGCAUGUUAUCUUUGAUGAAAAUACAUUCCCUUACUUAACAAACAAAGUCUUUCAUUUAUCCGAGAACAGUUCAAAUUCUGAAAUAUCAGUGUCAAACUUUUCCCAGUAACAAAUUUAUCAUCUCUCCACAUUAUCCUUAACUGACAGCAGCUUGGAAGAUCUUCAAUCAGCAAGUUCAGAAAGCAAUGAACAAGUACCUUCUGUUUCUGCACACACAAAUAAUCUGCAUCAACAAGAGCAUUCUCAAGAGCAUUCCUCAUCAACUAUACCAUUAUCACCAACACAACAACAAACUGAAUCACAACCACAAAAUGAACCACAUCUAUCUACUUCCUAGCACAUAAAUCAAACUCAAACUAGAAACCUUCCUUCACAACCAUCACAUUCAAUGGUAACCAGAUCGAAAAUAUGGAAUCUUCAAGCCAAAAGUUUACAUAACCACCUUAACCAACAAAGAACCCAGUACUGUUCAAGAAGCUCUAAGUGAUCAGAAUUGGCAUCAAGCUCUGAAAGAUGAAUAUGAAGCUUUGCUUAGGAAUGAAACAUGGUCACUAGUACCAUUUUCAGAGGUAUACAAGGUUGUUGACAGUAAAGGGGUUUUCAGAAUUAAACAAAACACAGAUGAGAGUGUAGCUAAAUACAAAGCCAGGUUAGUUGCAAAGGGUUUCCAGCAAACUAAUGGUGUUGACUACUUUGAGACCUUUAGUCUUGUGGUAAAGGCCUGCACAGUAAGAAUUAUUUUUAGUUUGGCUGUGAUGAACAAGUGGAAAAUAAGGCAAGUGGAUGUCAAUAAUGCAUUCUUAAAUGGAGAAUUGACUGAAGAUGUUUACAUGUAUAAGCCAGAAGGUUUCAUUGAUGAGAAAAAGUCCAGUUAUGUAUGCAAGUUGAAGAAAGCCCUGUAUGGCUUAAAACAAGCUCCUAGAGCUUGGUAUGAUAAGUUGAAAAACCGUCUGAUAAGUUGAAAAACUGUUUGAUAAGUAAUUGGGGUUUUCAAAAUUCCAGAGCUGAUACUUCUCUCUUCUUCAAAGAGAUUCAAGGCUCAAUAAUACUUGUGCUUAUAUAUGUGAAUGAUAUACUUAUUACAGGGCCUGACAUUGGAGAAUUAGAGAAGUUUAUCUUAGAAUUCAGUAAGACAUUUGCUUUAAAGGAUCUAGGAAUACUAUCAUACUUUCUUGGGAUAGAAGUCUCUUAUGCUGAUGGUUGUAUGUACUUAUCUCAGAGAAAGUAUAUUAAUGAUCUCUUGUCUAAAGCUGAUAUGUUGAACUGUAAAGGGUGUGAUACUCCCAUAGCGAUUGGACUGAAACUUCAAAAGGAGGUUAAAGGUUGUUUAGGUCAGUAUGUUGAGGAUGCAACCAGUUACAGAAGUUUGGUUGGAGGCUUGCAAUAUCUGGUGUUAACCAGACCAGAGAUAGCCUUUGCUGUGCACAAACUCAGUCAAUAUGUGACAGCUCCAACAUUGCAGCACAUAAUGGCCUGUAAACGAGUUCUAAGAUACCUAAAGGAAACCAUGGAUUAUGGUCUAAAGUUUUCAGCUGGUGGAGAAAUGGAAAUCACAGGUUUUAUAAAUGCAGAUUGGGCAUGCGAUAUUGAUGACAGAAAAUCUAUAGGUGCAUACUGUAUCUAUUUUGGAAAUAAUCUGGUGUCAUGGUCAUCUAAGAAGUAGUCUGUGGUGAUAAGGUCUAGUGCAGAAAGCGAAUACAGAGCUUUGGCUUCUGCAAGUGUAGAAAUAGCAUGGAUUCAAUCUUUGUUCAGUGAGCUAAAUAUAAGAUGUGUCUCAGUACUUAUCAUCUGGUGUGACAACAUGAGUGCAACAAAGUUAAGAUAAAAAUCUAGUCUACCAUUCACGUACCAAACACAUUGAACUGGAUAUGCAUUUUGUUAGAGAUAAGGUUUUAGCAGAGGAGCUGAAAAUUAACUUCAUUCAAAGUGAAGAACAGAUAGCCGAUGUCCUAACAAAACCUCUCACAUUCAUUCAUUUUAAUUAUUUCAUAAACAAACUCAAUGUGCAGCCAUGCCCCUUGAGUUUGAGGAGGGCUGUUAAGGAAGCUCAUAACGUGUACAAGCAGUCAGCUCAAGGUUAGCACGUGGGAGAAUUUGCUGAGCUAAAGUUAGUUAAGUAAGCGAUGUCAGCUCAGCAAAUUCAGUCAAGGUUUACUGAGAUUUUAUUCAUAUUGUUUUCUUUUCUAUUAACAAUGUAUAAAGGCAUGCUUUGUACUCAUUUGAUCAAUAAGAAAAGAAGAAAUAAAAUCCAGAAUAUUCUCUGAAGUUUUCUCAGUAAAACAGAGUAAAUUUUCUUAGUAACCAAACAGUACAGAUCAGUGGAAUUUACGUUUUAUAACAACGUGUGUUGAGAAUGUUGGGUAUUGGCCAAUUCAAUUUUCAUGAAGCACCAGAAGACAACGCUUUAUUUGGUGGGGGUGAAGUUUUGAUACAGGUAUUGCUCGGUUUGAAAUAUUUAGAGGUAUUGGAGUUGACCUUGGGAAGUUAUCAUGCUCUCCAAAUUCUUUUGAGCUCAAAUCAGUCAAAAAGUUGUAUUCGAUCUCUUCUCCUCCACAAGUUUAGAGGUACAACGCCGAUUAUUGAUGCUACGGCUUUCGCAGAGCUAAACCACCUCAACGAAUUAUUUAUUAAUAAUAGUAUUGAGUUGAUAGAAUUGAAGAUUGAUUAUACAGAGAUAGUACAAAAAAGGCAGGAACCUUUUGUUUUCCGCAGCCUUCACCGUGUUACCAUAUUUAGGGCCCGUUUGGGAGUGAGGUGCUGUAGCUUUUAAGCUGCAGUUGCUGUGGAGUAAAAGCUAUAGAUGUGGAAUGGAAGUUGAUGGUGUUUGGUAAAAGUGUUGUAGCUUUUAAGCUGCAACUACUGAUGGUGUUUGGUAGAGUGGAUGAAUAUUUGUAAUAAUUAAUUUUAAAUAACAUUAUUUUUAAUUGUUAACAAAUCAAUUAUUUUUCAUUCUUCAAAUUAUUAUAUUGACAUACAAUUACGAUUUAUUCCGUUACAAAUUAAAUUAAUAUUUAAUAAAUCAAAUUUAUUUUUUUGCACAAGUUGUAAUAAAUAAUUUAUAAAACACAUCAUGGGGUCAAUUAUAAAUAAUUUUAAAUAACUAUUAUUGACAAUGCCAACCGGGCAGUGUACAUGAUAUGCUUCUCCAAAUUGCUUCGGUUUGUACCUGAUAUGAUUAAUCGAGUAUUAUUUACAAUACCAAAUAUAUCUAAUAAAAAUCAUACAACAAAACAAAAUAAAAUUAAAAUGUAAUUAAUUACAAAAUUUGUAUAAAUAUUUCUAUUGUUGUGCCUCCAUUAAACUUGCAGCAAUGCCAUCUUUCAAGAUUAUUAUAUCUUGAGUUGUGCUAUCAAUUGUUUCAUAACUUUCUUCAUGAGAUGCAAUAUGUUCGCUAAUACUAUGACUUGGUUCAUCCGUCAUUUCAUCAAAAUGAUCAUUAUUUUGUGAAUAUCUUCUGAUAUAAUUAUGCAAGGCCAUGGUAGCAAUAACUAUUUUCACCUGCUUCUUGAAUGGAUAGCUUGGCAUACUUCGUAAAAUCUUCCAUGUAUUCUUCCAAACCCCAAAAGUACGCUCAAUAACACUUCUCAAGGAAGAGUGCUUGUAGUUGAACAAUUCUUUAUAACCCAUUGGUUGGCUACCUCUACGAAAUUCAGGAAGGUGAUAUCUUUCACCCUUAUAUGGUCCUAAGUACCCACAUAACUCCGGAUAUCCUGCAUCUACUAAAUAAUAUUUUCCUAAAAAUAAAAAGAAAAAUACAAAAUAAAUAAAACAAUCUAAUCAAUUGAAUAUGUAUAUAUAAAAGAAAAAUUAGAAACACAAACCUGGAGGAGGGUUUGGAAAAUUGAAUGCAGGAUUCGUAAUAGUUGUUUGAAAUACCCUUGCAUCAUGGGCACUGCCUUCCCAACCAGCCACUGCAAAUAUGAAUUGCAUAUCAAAGCUACAUACAGCCAUUACAAAUUCUUUUCCCACCAUUCCUCACUUGCAUCAACUGUCCUCAACCUAUGAUUCCACCCUAAACCAGUUUCUUUGCCAAUCAAAUUCUUCCACAAUUUCCAAUCAGUUCUAAGAGAAUCCCAUUUAUUUUUCAUUUGAGUUCUGUUGUAAUCUAAUCCAGUUUCUUUAGUGAACUCCUUAAUCAAAUUUUCAUAUCCUUGGGAAGUCAAAUGAGUCCCUGGACGAUGUCCGGCAUCCACCUCUUUAACGCAUAAGUCACAAAAUACAUCUAAAGUCUGGGGGUUCCAAGUAGCCUUACUAGUUGAGCUAUUAGACACAAUUUCAUACACUUAAACCUAGGAAAAAAAAUAUUUCUUUAUCAAACAACAAUACAGAAAAAAUAAGAAUAUAGAAGUUAAGAAAAUUACUAGAAUCUUGUUAUGGAUGGUGGAAGGAAAAAUAAUUCGAUAUUAAAAAAUUAAAAAAAAAGACAAACCAGAACAAGUUACCUUAGUUGUUACUUUACUUGAAAUACUUUUCCAGCAAACAAUAAUGAUCAUAGCCCACGAAUAGAAACAAUUACAAGCAAGUCAAUAAAGCAACAAAAGACAAACCAGACUAGGAAACAAAGAAAUUCAACUAAACAAUCAUUAGGUACAAACUGCAAUUGCAUUUAGCCUCACAAUCUCAAAUUUGCUACGUGCUUUGAUAUUUCCUGUACUAUUCUUUUGGCCCAUCCUAAGACAUAUACAAUUGCAAUUGCAACACUUUCUCCCUUCUUUUUUCUGUAAUUCGUAUGGCGACUUACGUAUAUAUAACCUAAUUAAUUGAAUUAAAUUGAUGAUGGGUUAGAAAAUCAUUAGGCUUAUUAAUUAUACGCGUCAAAAGAAUGGUCGGCCAAUAAUUAGGUGUCCUGCUUAUACUCCUGUAAUUUAGUCAUUCUCUAGUAAAUAUUAUUAAAUAAAAAGAAACACAAACAAUUAAGCUUAUUGGUAACUGAACUGGUGCCCAAAAAUAACAAGAGCAGGAGAAAGCAAACACACCCAAGAAUUUGACAAACUUCAACUUGAAAUCCAGAAUUUGACAAACUUCCUUUUGUUUACUGAAGCAUAGUAUUUCAUAACGAAGGCAUGCAUUUUAUUAUUUAAUGUCUUGUAGAACUGGAAACUCAAAUCAAACAGGGGUUGUGCAUGUUUAUAAAAAGCAACUACAAAAAUAAAAACUACAAUAAAAACAAUGGUUACAAGCAAAUAAAUCACGCAUGACCCAUCACCCAUCAAUUUAUUCUAACAAAAGCCCCAACAUUUUAUGAAUGAAAAGGAAGAAAAUGAAAAAUUGCUUGAAAUAGAGUAAAGGAGUACUCAAAAAUGAACAACAGAUAGAGGAAAAGGCACCACUGACAGAGGCGUAUGAGAGUGGCCGGUGUCGGAAUCGCGCCGAUGAGAAUUUCGGUGUCAGAAUCGCAUCAAUUGGAACUCCCACAGUCGGAAUCGUGCUGAUGAGAAUGGGUGUUUAGGGUUUGUUUAAAAAAAUCGAUUUGAAAUAGAACUCCCACUGACAUGACUGUUUGAUAAAAUGAAAAUGGAAUAAUAUAUAAAGUUAAUUUAGUAAUUAAACUUGCAGCUGGGAAAAAAAAUCUGUCAAGUUGUCAAAACACAACUAUAAGUGGUACCAAACACUUUGGUGGCUGGGCUGCUCACCACACUCCCAAACGGGACCUUAGUUGCGGUAAAUUGAAAGAUGUGACAUUCCUCGUUUUUGCUCCAAACCUCAAGUCUCUUUGGCUAUUCGAUUGCGGUGCUAUGGAAGAAAUAAUCAGCGUCGGAAAAUUUGCUGAGACUCCUGAGAUGAUGGGACAUAUAAUCCCUUUUGAAAAUCUCCAAAUGCUUAAUUUAAUGGAAUUGCCGGAGUUGAAGAGAAUUUUCUGGAAGCCAUUGCCUUUCACUCAUCUGAAAGAAAUAUCUGUGGGUUAUUGCCGUAAUCUUAAAAAGCUUCCACUCGAUUCCAACAGUGCAAAAGAGCGUAAAUUUGUAAUUCGUGGAGAAGAAGACUGGUGGAACCGACUUCAAUGGGAGGAUGAAGCCACUCAAAUUGCUUUUCGUUCCUGUUUCCAACCUCGUUCCUGAGCGGUGGUCGCAAAAUUUGAUUUCUGGUGAGUGCGUUUUUGUUAACGCUUAUGUUUUUAUUCCAGUGUGUUUUUCUUCUGUCUUCUGCAAAUCACGAUUAAAUGUUGAAUAAUAUGGAAUCAAUGCUUUAUAAAUUUUCCGGCGUGGCCAUUUCCUUUUCCCUUUUUUUUUUUGGGGGGGGGGGGGGGGCGUGGUUCGAUUGAUGCUCUGGCUUUUUACUUUUUGUCUUCGAAUUUUGCUCUGUUUUUCAAAUUGAUGCUUGAAUAGUUGAAUUCAAUUAAUGCUCACAUAAAUUUGUUUAGUUGCCGUAAAACGGUAAAAGGAUAUAAUUAGAUUGAAAUUCGCACUUCUAGAAUGAAUAGAAUUACAAUAGAGAAAAUAUUAAGUAUACAAGCCCUCUUUACAGAAAAUCAAAUGAAAAUAAAAUUUUUUGGAUAUUUGAUUUUCUAUGGUCUACUGUAUACGCUUUAUAAAUUCCUCUGCUUUAACGAUAACCAAAUCCUUUUUUCAAGGAUUUUUAUUUGGGGUAUUGAUAAUAGUCCACCAACAUAGUGAACGCUUGGAUGCUGCUUAAGGAUCUCUAAUCAGUAGCUGGAAGCAAAUGAGAAGGCGGUCGCUACUUUGUACAAAGCCAUGCAGCAAUUGCUAUUCAUUUUCAAACAAAGUUGAGAUGUUAUUUUCAGAUUUGGUUCCAGAUUUUGUAUGAAUAUCGUUGUUCCAUUGAGUUGUAUAUGAAUUCAAAUGUAAAAUAUUCUUUGGUUUUCAAUUUUGAAUUCAAUUUCUUUUUCUUAAGCAUGUUGUGCAGAAAUGAUUUCUACUAAAUCAUUUUUGAUAAACUAUUUAAAUUAAACAACUGGAAUAAGAACUGUAAGGAUUUAUCGUAAGCAGACUAAUAUGAUAAUUCUGAAACUAUCAUUUUUUUUUUUUCAAUUUGUUGCAGGGAAAGCCAAAUUUUGCGUUUUUCAGUUUUAUCUGAUAUGGGCUUUAUUUCCUCUACACUAGCUACCUAAAGAUUUAUCAAAUUGCUUCUCUUCCCUGCUUCAAAUAUCUUCAUGGCAUCAUAGGAAAAGAGAGUUUGGGUUGUAUUUAUUAUAGUUUUUAUUUUUUUUUUUGUUAUAAGCAAAUUUAUUUUAAAUACUUUAGUAGUAACAGUUUUUAUUGAAUAAUAAUGAGGGAUGAUUAUUAUAGGUUCAAAUAGUUGUUAGAACAUUAUAAAAAGUCUAUUUACUAUCAAAUGUUUUAAAUUGAUGCAACGUGAUAAUUGUCUCAUAUAAUUUUUUUAUAAUAUAUAUGUCCCAUAAUCUUAACAUGAAUAAAUGAAUUUCAACGGUUAAAUUUGACACGAUUAUUAAAUAGAUCAUAUCUAUAUUAAUUCGAUUUAAAAUCUGGUCACAUUUGGAUUUAGAGUUUCUAACAUGAUAACUUGUUUUAUGACAUGAUUUACUAAUCAAUUAAUAGUAAAUCAAAUGUCAGUCAAUUAAAUAUGUGGUACAUUUGUCAUAUUUUAAAAAUUAUUUAUUUAUAUUUGAAAUGAAUUUGGUGCNNNNNNNNNNNNNNNNNNNNNNNNNNNNNNNNNNNNNNNNNNNNNNNNNNNNNNNNNNNNNNNNNNNNNNNNNNNNNNNNNNNNNNNNNNNNNNNNNNNNAUAAGACGACGCGACACAAAUACAACCAACAAGUCAACCCAAAUUGCCACCUUUUACUAUCUUCUUUGUGUUAUUUCUCUAAAAAUUUGUGCCUUCUCUUACACUUUUAAAUCUGAAGUGUUUGAACUGGAGUACACAAAUUAUCUCUCUACAAUUCCAAAACAACCAAUUUGUUACUUGGUAAAUCUUAAUCAAUGGCAGGAAGCAAUUGAGAAGGCGGUCGCUACUGUGUACAAAGCCAUGCAGUAUUUGCUAUUCAUCUUAAUAAUUGUUAAGCUUUGGUAAAAUUUUCAAACAUAGUUGACAUCAUGUUGUUUUGAGAUUUGGUUCAUGAUUUUGUAUGAAUAUCGUUGUUCCGUUUGAGUUGGAUGUGAAUUGAAACCUAAAUAUUCUUUAUUUUUCAAUUUUGAAUUCAAUUUCUUUUUCUCAAGCAUGUUAUGCAGAAAUGAUUUUUACGAAAUCAUUUUUGAUGAAUUAUUUAAAUUAAACAAUUGGAAUAAGAAUUGUAACGAUUUAUCAUAAGCAUGCUAAUAUGAUAAGUUGUUUUACGAACGAUUAAUUAAUCAAUUAAUAUUAGAUUAUAUAUUAGUCAAUUAGAUAUGUGUUACAUUUGUCAUAUUCUAAAAACUAUUUAUUUAUAUUUCAAAUAAAUUUGACCAGAGGUUACGUAGGUAAUACUACAUAAUUUCUAAAGGAAUGUAAAAAUUUAAAGUUUUAUUAAAUAGGUGACUCAAUAAUAAAUGGAUUUCUGCAAGAAUUGAGAUUCUUGAGAUAAUUAUUACAUAGGGAAUUUUGGUUAGUUCAAUUUUGACAUGGUAAGAAGACGACACGGCGCAGAAAACCCAAAUUGCCACUUCUACUAGUAAUAAAAGAUACCUGUUUGAAAAGUAAUUAUAAACUAUCUUCUUUGUGUUAUUUCUCAAAACUUUUGUGGCACAAUGUUAUUUCCCUGGAGAAAAGUACGAAAUACCCCCUUUCACGUCGGCAGAAGCAAAGCAAAGCUAUGAGCUAUCUCUGUAUACUUGAAACGCCAUUGCUAAACGAUUCUCGAUGAUGGGUGCCACUGGGUCAGUGUUGUCUCUGAUUUACAUGAUUUAUUAGUUGUCCAGAUGCCAGAGAAACCAUGGUGGCAUUGAAGUUGCCCAGAUGGUUAGUUUUCUGAUCAUUUUUUUAUUCAAUUAUUUAUUUUUUUAGAAAAAUGUGAGAAAUAUGUAGAAAUGUUGACAGCUAUGAUUUUGAAACUUUGCCUAAAAUUGUUAUCAUCACUUAUUUAAAGAGAAAUCCUAGAAACAUGAAAUGAUUAGUAGCCUAAUUCAAAAUUAGACGUGAUUACAACAAGAGAAAAGUGGAGAGAACUUGAUAAUCGAGUGCAUUUAGAAUUUAAUUUUUCUUUUAGCUGCCGAUCAUUAAAUUUUCGAUUUCAGAAAAUUAUACCUAGAAUAUUUCAAGGAUAUACUAUGAAGAUUAUGAAGGUUUGAUUACAUGUCACUAUCAAUUGCCCCAAUCAUUUGUAGUAAAUUAAUUGAUCAUUUUGAUGCAAAUGAUUCCCUACUAAAAAAUUUAAGUCAAGGCUGAAUUGCAUAGUAGUUAGUCGCGCUUGCACUUCAAAUUAAGUAUUGUAUUUUCUGCCUGGUUUGGUUGAUUAAAGUGUGUGCAUUUGCUUUUGAACGUUGUAGUAUAGAAAUCGAAACAUUUGUUUUUCGCUAAGCCCAGAAGCAAAGUUCUUUGUACUGUACUCAUCACUUCUCUUCAUUCUCUUUGUUGAAAUUUUUUCCAAACAGCGGUUUCUUCGAAUUUGUGCCUUCUCUUCCACUUUUAAAUCUAUCAAAGAACCGUUACCUGAGAAGAUUGCCAUCAGGAAUUUCUAAAUUGAUUUCACUAUAAUACCUUAAUCUUUCAGAUACUCCCGUCACUGGGUUGCCAAAAGUGCUAAAAGCCUUCGUAAAUCCUACGUGUUUGAACUGGAGUACAAAUGUUAUCUCUCCACAAUUCCAAAACAACUGAUUUGUUACUUUUCAAUGCUACACGUUCUGCGAAUGUUCAGUUGUGGUUAUCUUGCUGAAAUACCAGAAAAUAGGGUUCUAGUUGGCGGUAGUGGAUUCUUGGUUGGGGAAUUGCUUAGUUUAAAACAUUUAGAUGUAUUAAGCAUCACCUUAAAAGGUUUUUCUUCUGUCCAAAAACUUAUGAGCUCCCAACAGUUUCAAAGCUGUACAAAAUGUUUGGAGCUUAUAGACUGUGAUGAUUCAAAGUCGUUUGCCUUGGCAGAGUUGAAGCAUCUUGAAAAACUAGGUUUUUCAAAUUGUGGAAAUUUGGAAGAUAAAUUACAUUUAUAAACUGUGGAUCGCCCUUUAUAAGUAUUAGGCUUAUCCCAUACUCGAGCAAUGUGGAAUACCUUUAUAAGCAUUAAGCCUCUCCCAUACAAUUUCUGUACAUGACUUUAAAAGUGGUUGAUGACCCGUUUUGUAAUAUCAUAGAGGGAUCAUGAAUUCCUUUUCUUUUCUGUGGCUAGGCAACACUUUUGGGCCAAAGUAAGGAAAUCUAUUUUAGGUAAUGUAAAAACCAGUUGUGGGAUGUAAUAGUUUAUUAUGCACUGACAACAACUUUUUGUAUAAUUGUCAGUUUAAUGAAUACGAGAGGAACUCUGUUGGCAAAUUCAUCCAUGAUAGAUGCUAAAAUUAUACCAGUUGCCUUAACUAAUUUUUCUCAACACUGGUAUUGAACAGGAAAAUGAAUAUGCAAUUUGUAUUUGUGCCAUUGUGGAGAAUUUGGAUAUUCUUAGUUUUAGUAACAAGGAGAGUAUUUGCCUCAUCUUUAAACAAUGAAUCUUUGAGAAAUGAGGACUGGGUGAUUGGCAGUGUCAGAGUGUCUUCAUGUAAAUGUUCAUUUAUUUGUAUUUUGAACUAUUAUUAGAAUCUUUAUAUGCCAAAUUAGUAAUACAAAUGUUCAGAUGAUUUUUCCUGGUGAUCAUUUCAUUCUUGAGAGCCAUGUACAAUACUAGGAUACCAGAGAAACCAAGGUAGCAUUGAAGUUGCCCCAGUGGCUAGUUUUCCGAUCAUUUUUUAUUCAAAUUUUUAUGUUUCAGAAAAAUGUAAGAAAUUUAUAGAAAUGUUGAUAGCUAUGAUUUUGAAACUUUGCCUAAAAUUGUUAUCAUCACUUAUUGUUUCUUAUUUAAAGAGAAAUCCUAGAAACGUGACAUGAUUAUUCCAUACUUGUUUUAAUAUUAUUUAUUAGCAGCCUAAUUCAAAAUUAGACGUGAUUAUUUGUUACUUUUAAUGCUACAUGUUCUGGGAAUAUUCAGUUGUGGUUAUCUUGUUGAAAUACCAGAAAAUAGCGUUCUAUUUGGUGGUAGUGGAUUCUUGGUUGGUUUGAAUGUAUUAAGCAUCACCUUAAAAGGUUUUUCUGCUGUCCAAAAACUUACGAGCCCCCAAAAGUUUCAAAGCUGUGCACAACCUUUGGAGCUUAUAGACUGUAGUGAUUCAAAGUUGUUUGCCUUCGCAGAGUUGAAGCAUCUUGAAAAACUAGGUUUUUCAAAUUGUGGAAAUUGGAAGAGUUUAAGUUCUGCUGUGUUGAGGAUGGAAAGGCUCGAGAAUGUUUUCGUGUGAACAGCUUCAACGAGUUAAGAUAAAGGCUUGUCAUAAAUUGAGGGAAGUGACAUGGCUUGUAUUUGCUCCGUAUCUUGAGGUUAUUCAAAUAGCCAAAUGUAUGGGGAUAGAAGUAAUAAUCAGUGCAAGGAAAUUGGGUGAAGUUCCAGAGAUGAUGGCAGAUCUAAACCCUUUUGCAAAACUCCAAUAUCUUGGCCCACGAGUUCUACCAAAAUUAAAAAGCAUCUAUUGGAAUCAGUUGCCCUCUCUACAUGUCAGGCGAAUUUUGUGUCUGAAUGCCCAAUUCUCAAGAAGCUUCCACUUGGUUUUAACAAUGCAAAGGAAUCUAAAACUAUCAUUAGGGGAGAAGAACACUGGUUGAAUGAGCUGCAAUGGGAGGACAAAGUGACCCUUAAUGUUCUUCUUCCUUGUUUCGGAUCCAUUUGAAGGCAUCAACAUGGAUUGAUACUUUGCAGUGGAGAAAUUUGAAUAAAACCUAUGGUAAGCGCUUUUCCAUUUAUUGCAUAUUUAUAUCUAACUUUUGUUUUCCUUUGUGGUUAAAUUUUGCUCUAUAUACGUUGUUGUACGGUGACAUUCUCAUAUCAAUUAUUAGCUUUUUAAUUCUCUUCUCACAUUAACUGCCCUUUUGAUCAUGUAGGAUAUGCUGAUGUCAAAGAGUCGUAAUUUGGGAUGCAAAUGUAAGAAUUAGACAGAUGACCAGUUGUUUUGAAGCGCUCGAAGAAGGAUUAAUUACGUCAUUGAAAGGCUCCAAUUUUGUGACUUUUUUUUUUAAUUUGUUGUUUUUUCUAUUUUUAGAUAGCUUGAUUGUCAGUUGUCGUGAUGUAAUGCUUUAGUGUAGAAAAAUGAUAUUCGGCCAAGACAACAUUAGCAGGGCACCUUGUGCAUGCAUACUAGUGGAUAAUUUCGGCAUGCUAAAUCCAAUUAGGGUGGAUGACCCUUUAUAAGCAUUAGGCUUCUCUCAUACCCGAAAACAAUGUAGAAUACGCUUAUAAGCUGCGGAUCACCCAUUAUAAGUUUUAGGCUUCUCCUUUACUCGAGCGAUGUGGAAUACCUUUAUAAGCAUUAAGCUUCUCCCAGUAUCUUUAUGUUAAAAAUAAUAAUAAUAAAAGAAAUCCAUUUUAAAAUAGACUCUUUUUUCUUUUUCUAUAUAAACAAAUGCAUUCUUCAAAUCAAUUGUGGGCAGAAGAAGUUAGUAGAAAAGAACUAGUCCCCUUUCAUUCCCCCUUAAAGCUCACCAAAGCCUCUUUUGUAAGCUUUUCGGAUUUUCUUUCUAUAUUGCUUAUGAUCUCAUUUUUGAUUGAAUCACUUCUUUUGCAUGCUGCAUAUUUUGUUUGUUGUAUUUGGAUAUUAUCGUAUCUGGAAUGCUGUUAUGAUUGAUGGAACAAGUAAUCGAUAUUUGGUCUGAUGGAAGUUGACUUAUUUAUUUAUUGUUAUUUUAAUUUGAAACUAUGUACAAUUGCAUUUCAUUCAUUUCUCUCUCUCCCCCCCCCCCCCCCCCACACACACACACAUAUAUUUGUUAUGUAUAAUUGCGUUUCAUUUGAUAUUGAUCAUGCUGUAGAUAACCAUGUGAUUGUAGAUGGGGAUUUCAAGUUUGUUGAAUAUUCAAGUAAGUGAAGUAACUGUCAAAAUACUAGUGAAAUUGGGAGCUUUAUUCAUGAGCUUGUGGUUUUGAAAAGUACCACAGUUCAACCGAUGAAGGUUCCUUUUUGGGGUUCUUCUUUUUCUAGGCUGCAAUUAGGAUAUGUACAUGUUAGACAAUCUUUUGCGGGUUUAGCAUAUCUUCUCUGAUUUUGUCUUUUAUUCCCCAAUCUUAUAAUUGCACACCAUGAAUGUUGAGUGAUUGUAUAGAAAAUUUGUGUUAUAACCAAAGCGUUGUGAAGGAGUUAAGUUAGUGGCUUCUGUUUUAUUGGCAUUGAUUGGGUAGAUUAUGUGUUACAGUGAUUCAAUUUGUGCUCCAAAGUUUGCUUUAAUUUCUUUUUUCCCUAAUUAUUUAUGUCAAAUUUAAAUCCAGAAGCAUGUACUGAUUUUUUCUUUUUGUAUUAAUCUGUGAAGGUUAUUUGGAAUGGAAGUAUCUGGGUUGGGUCUAACGGAUUAAAUUAUGACAUUGGGGGGAAGGCAGUAAAGGGUUUGCUCGACACAUUUGGUUCUGUGUUUACUUUGCAAGAAAUAGCUUUUGGUUAUCACAAUGCCGGUGGAAUCCCGAUUUGGCUCGUGAAUUUCUUUGUGACAAAUAGGCAAACACAUCAACCUCUUCUAUCCAUCCUUCUACUGGUAAGGCAAGGGGUAAAGAGUCUUCAAAAUCAUCAAAUAGUAACAUCUCUGAGAAUUCAUUUUAUGCAAAUGGAAAAUCUAGACCUUCUAAGACAAAAUGGCGUCCUGUAUCAGGAGGUACCGUUUCAAGUUUUCUUGGUAAAAAUUAUGUUAAACCUGCACAGCCAGCUAAUGGCACAUUUCUAGCAUCAAAGCCAUUGAAGUUGGAUCCAAAGGGGUUUCCCAUGUCUCCACUUUUGCGGAGAAGAUACUAAACUGAAACAAUCAAAGGAUGACCAUUUGCAGAAGGAUAUGGAAGAUUUUCUGUUUAAAUUGCUAGGAGAAGUGUUCCUAUUGUCCUUUUCAAUGUUCUUUCUUUCUUUCUCUUCUUUUCUUCUUCUUCUUCUUUUUUCUUUUUGUGUGCGUGUGAUCACUAAUUUGGUAUUGUAGUUUAGUUGCAGAUAGUUGUGGAUAUGAUAUGCAAAAGGUAAGGACUAUAUCUUCCUGAUGGAGGCCUCUGCUUUUUCCUUUAUGUGUAAUUUAAUAAAUUGCAUCUUCCUUUGUGAUUGUUAUAUCAUAUCAAAGACAAGUCUUAAAUACUGCUGUCAUAUGUUAAGGUUCAACUUGCAGUUUGAUUAACAUUCAUGGCUCAAAGGCCUGAAAAAACUUGCCAGUAAUUGUAAAAUGACAUUCUUUGCUUUUAAUGCAAUAGAGGGAACAGGGAAGUAUAGCUUUGGAAGCCUGGAUUGGUAACUAUAGAGAGACUUAGUAUUUAAUUGAUAAAAAUUCCCAUAACCCAAGGUCAAGAAAAUUUUAGAUCGUUAAAGACUUCAUUUUGUUUCGGCCAGAAAUGUUUGUUUCGAUCGAAGACUUGAACCAUUUCGAUUGAACCUGAUUAUGAUGCUUUACGUUAUGCAUGUUCCUCUUAAUCAAGAAAAGUUGAGGUGAUGAUUUUAUAUUUCUAUAUUGUAAGUUGAAAUAAUAAUUGGUCUGCUUGUUUCUGUAGCUUGAUAACAUGAAUUUUCCUUCUCAAGUUAAUUUAAUCAAUAAAGUAAUUCUUCAAAGAAAAUAUGCCCAUUCUAUAAUCAUUUUCUUAAUUAACAUGUUUUUUUCUUCACACUUCAGAGCAUGUUGAAACUAAUUGAUCGCUCGGCAGAGACUUUGGGUGAGAAGACAAAAUUUCUCGGUAAAUCCUCUGAAAAGGUAUGCAUAAUUCCGCAGUAUUAAAUAACCAAUGGUCAUAAUUUUUGUACAGGACUCUUUUCUUGUGGAGAUAAUUAAAAGUGGCUGAUGAUCCAGUUUGUAUAUCAUAGAGGGAGCAUCAAUUCCUUUUGUUUUCAGUGGCUAGGCAACACUUUCAGGGCAAAGUAAGGAAAUCUAUUUUAGGCAAGUAAAGCCAUGUAGAUGUAAUAGUUAACAUGCACUGACAAUAACUUUGUAUAAUGUCAGUGAACGAUACAAGAGGAAUCUGUUGACAAUCAUCCAAGAUAGAUGCUAAAAUUAUUAUGCAUGCCAGUUGCUUAAUAAUUUUCUUACACUGGUAUUGAAGAGGAAAAUGAAUAUGCAAUUUGUAUAUGUGCCAUGUGAGAAUUUGGAUAUCUAUCUAAGUAACAAGGAGAGUAUUGCCUCAUCUUUAGACAAUGAAUCUUGAGAAUUUGGAUAUUCAUGUAAAUGUUCAUUUGUUUGUAUUUUGAACUAUUAUGAGAAUCUUUUAUAUGCCAAAUUAGUAAUGCAAAUGUUCAGAUUAUUUUUUCUGUUGAUCGUGCAUUUGUGUCUGCACACAACCAUUGUAUAUCACUUCAUUCUGAUGCGCAAGUGUCUGUAGUUUAGAAGAAAAGAAAUAAUAAUGAUAUAUUAUUGCUUGAUUCAUGAUUAUUAAAUGAUUAUGGCUUUAAAAAACCUACAAAUUCCUUUUGUUGAUAUAUGAAUGUACCAAGUUUGCUAUAUCUUAGAUUACCAUUUCCAAGAUAACAAGUUCAAAUUUUUUCUUUAUCCUUUUCCUUCACAGUUGCAUUUUAAGUGUAAGAUUUGUUAUUAAUACCUGGUUUCCCGUCAUUAUGAUUUCAUAAACAGUGUAUGGGUAUGUGCUCUACUUUUGGAGGGCCUCCACGUGAAAGAAAAUUGUAACAAUUGAAUUCUUCCGGAUGGUAUGGUAUUUAAUUUAUUUUCUCAACCUCUUGUAAGACUAAUAUAUUUUCCUUUAGUAGACACGGCAUGGUGGGAAGGGUUUUUUAUUGAAAGAAUUCUGAUAUUUCUUAGACUUUGUUUUGGAAGGGGGUGCAGGGGUUUCUCAUCCAUAUAUGGUUACUUGAUUAGCUUUUGACUGUAUUGCCUCAAUCGUGCAAAGGAAGAUCCAAAUACAAACGAAAGAGAAUUGUUUAGACACCCAGAAGAUGGAAAUGAACUACAGAAGGAAGUUUUUGCUGCUUUAUUUAGUGCUCCUGAGAAAUCUGAUGAAUUUCCUGAAAUUACGGUGAAGACCAAGUGUGAGGUCCAAAGCAUUAGGAAAGGUGGUGAGUGAACUGCCGGAGCAAUUGGUACAGAAUACAAGGCUAAUGUGGUGGACUUGCAGCAAGAUAACCGGAACAGUACGUGCUCUUAUAUUAACUAUAUUGACUGGAUUUGCUAGUGUGUGCAUUUUCGUGUGUAUACUUUUGUAUUUAUGCAUAUUAAUGUGUGUAGGAUUCUUGAUUUCUGCCACUUAUUGGAGAACUAAUGGAAAGCUUUAUACUGGUAUAUCUGCAAUAACUAAUGGAAACUAUGAUAUUAAUAUUUUCUCUCGCUUGGAGAAUGCGUAACAGAUAUACUUUGUGGCUCUGGAAUACUAAAGAUUCUGCAAUAACUAAUGGAAACUAUGAUAUGAAUAUUUUCUCUCACCUGGAGAACUUUGUAACAGUUACACUUUGGGGCUUGGAAUGUCUAAAGAAUUUUGUCUGCUUCAGUUAGAUCAAAUAUCUUUUAGUUACAUACAUUAUAGAAAAGAUAAAGUUCUCUGAAUCUGAAAGACUUAAAAUUUUGCAUAUUUCUUGAUAGGGAAAUAUCUGUAGAUACUAGUUCAUGCAUUGUGGUAGCAUCAGUGUUAAAGAAAAACAGCAGUAAGUUAUUAUAUAGAAUUAGGUUCACUUGCUUUAAAUCCUGGUCUGGUCAACCAUAUGAACCUGUAAGUGGUUCUGUAGAAAUAUAUAUAUACGGGGAGAAAGUAGCUAAAUUUUCCUUUCAUUUAUGGGUUUGGUCAUUUUUUCCCCUUAUUUAUGUUUUCUCACACAUUUUUUAAAUGCCCCAGACAUGCAAUUUUGUAUGUGUCAAUUGCCUUUUAAGUUUUAAAAACCAUAAAGUAAGAAUACAGUUUCUUGUCAGGCUAUUGAUGCAUUUGCUCGGGGGGAUCAUGCUCGAGCAGGAAAACUUCUAGAACAGGUAAGGUUUCCAUCUACAGCCAUUUAUUGACAACAUAUAUAUUUUCAUUCAGCAAGCACUGUUAGCAUUCAAGAUGCUGGCAGAUUCACUUGAUUCUUAUUAGUUUGUUUAGUAGCAAAGCAUAUAACCUGUAUUUUAAAGCUAAGUUGUGCUAUUGAUUAUGUUAACUUUAUUGUUCACAUAAAGUGAUAUUGAGGAAAUAAUCAAUGUAGGAAAAUUAGGUGAAGAGAUGAUGUCAAAUCUUGAACCUCUUACAAAACUCCAAGUUCUUUACUUGAAGAAGCUACCAAAUUCGAACAGCAUCUACUGGAAGGCCUUGCCAUUCCCUGAUGUAUGCAGAAUUUUUGUAUUUAAAUGCCCAGAGCUUAAGAAGCUGCCACUGGAUCUUGAGAGGGCAGGCCAAGGUAAAAUUCUUAUCAAGGGAAAGAAAGAUGGGUGGAAACAACUUCAAUGGGAGGAUCAAGUAACUCAGAAUGCAUUGCUUUCAUUUUAAAAAUCAACCAACAAGUGAUUGAAGGGGGCAUCAUCAACGUAAUCAACAUGGAUGGAGAGAUUCUGGAGCAGAUCAGCGGGGUUUAGUACGACCUGUGGUGGUUUCUUUUUUGUGACUUUUUUGCCUUUCAUUUUUUCACUUCCUGUCAUAUUAUCAUUUCUUUGUCUGUGUUUCUAUUGCUAGUGUUGCUGCAUGCUUGCUGUCCUUGACAAAGUUAGCUAGUUUUUUUUGUUUAUUAAAUUUUGUAUGUUCGGUCGGGACAGUCACAAAGUACUACUUGUUCUAUAUGGGGGUGAUGUGAAUCAACUUUUCAAUUAUAUAUUCUGUGGUAAUUGUGAAUUCAAUUUCAUUUAUCUCCUGCAAAUUAUGAAGAAAGUGCAGAGUUACAAUAUGGAAAAGUUCACUGGCAAAUACUUUGUAAAAGCUUCGGAGUGAAACAGGAAAUGCACUUGCAACUAAGGACAAAUUGGUGGCCGGCUAAUGCAUUCAUUUUAGGGAAAAGGACACAGACCCUCAACGUUUUAAUAAGGGACAUAAAACUCCCUAAUAUUUUAAAAAAAAUACUCAAACCCCCAUUUGUUAAUAGUAAAUUCUAAGUUUAAAGUGUAAUUACCAUUAUACCUUUAUAGCAUAUUAAAAAAUAAUUAUUCAUUAUUCAAUUUAUUCUUAUAUUAUUAAUAAAAUUACGAAUAUAAUUUCAUUAUCUAAUUUUUUCAUUUAAUUUUUGUUAAAUUUUCUCUUCAAACUAAAUAAAUUUAAUCCAUUGCUUAAGAAUAAAAAUAAAUUAAAUUGAUUACUAAUAUAAUAAAAAUAACAUAUAUUUAAUAUAAAAAUAACAUAUAUUAAAUUAAAAUAAAUUUAAUUUAUAUAUAGAGAAUUGUUAUUUUUAAGAAAUUAUCAAUUUAAUUUAUAUAUAAGAAAUUAUAAGAAAUAACAUAUGGAGAAUUGUUAUUUUUAUUAUAUUAAUAAUCAAUUUAAUUUAUUUUUAUUUUUGAGCAAUGGAUUAAAUUUAUUUAGUUUGAAGAGAAAAUUUGAUAAAAAUUAAAUGGAAAAAUUGGGUAAUGAAGUUAUAUUCAUAAUUUUAUUAAUAAUAUAGGAAUAAAUUAGAUAAUGAACAAUUAUUUUUUAAUAUGCUAUAAGGGUAUAAUGGUAAUUGUACUUUAAAAUUAGAAUUUACUGUUAACAAAUAGGGGUCUGAGUGUCUUUUUUGAAACAUUAGGAAAUUUUGUGUCUCUUAUUCAAACGUUGGGGGUUUCUGUGUUAUUUUCCCUUCAUUUUAUGUACAUUCAUCUUUUUAAUUAUUGAAGAUAAGUGGUUCGUUGCUUUUGUUGUAGAUAAAAUUCAGACGACCUCAAUUGUGACAUGACAAUAUUUAAAACAUCUCUUAAAUUAUUAUAAAUUUAAUUUAUCUUAACUUUAUUGAAAAGAUAAAAGAAAAAUGUGGUGUAUGGAUAAAUUUUUUUUUAUCUUCUUAAUCAAAUGGAAUAAAUUAAAAUUUACAAUAAUUUAAAAUAUUUUAAAAAUUAUUAUUUCAUAAGAGAUUAAUAUGAAAUUAAUCGUUUUUACUUUUUUAAUGUGAAAGGACAAGAAAAGAGAAAGCAUGUGUCCCUGCUUUUUAGUUUUUAUUUUAUUUGAAAUCGGAGUUAUCCCAUAUACUUUACUAAUUUAGCUCUAACAUUACAAUGUUUUUAGGCUACACUUUUAUUUUUCUUUUUCCCCCUUUUUUUAUACAUGCAUGUGGAUUACUUUUCUCUAAGCUCCUUAAUAUUUAAGACAAAUCAUAAAAGCAAUUGAAGUAUAACAAGAUGAUCAAAACAUUUAACCAAAAAAAAAGAAAGAAAAAAGAAAGAAAACAUUGAAAAUGGAGAUGUUGAUUAAUUUAGAAGAGAUGCAAGCAAAAGAUAUUCCCAAAAAAAAGAAAAAAAGAAAAAAACAACGUUAGUUCAUCCAUGUCUGUCAAUGCGUUUUUUAUGGUUUUUUUUUUCCAGUUGUUUGUUGUAAUAGAUUGAUUGUAAAUUGAUAUGAAUUUGAUGUUGUAAUAUGUUCGCUUUUGUGGAAUUAAAUUUGAAUAUUCAAGAUUAUUCAAGUCUUAUCUAGUAUGUGUUCAAUUGUGUUGUCGAUAAUUUUGCAUUCGAAUAAUUUUUCACCUAAAAUAUUAGCAUGAGUAGUAGUCCUUGAAAUUUUGGUCAAAAUUAUUGUUAUUGUUUGUUUUAGAGGAAAUUUUUUUAUUAAAGCCUCGUUAACACUAUACCUUAUUAAGAUUAUAAGUUAGUGUCAGUGCAGGAUUUACAGCAACAAAUCUUGUCUAGCCACGUGUCAAAAGUACAAAUAAAUCAAGAGUAAGCACAUGACAUGGAUUAGGAUCCAAUAAGAUUUAAAUCCCAAGGAAAAGGACAAUUGUAUCCUAAAGUUUCAAUAAGAGAUACUGAGAUAUCUUUUGACUAAUGUUAUUUUUUUAGCUUUAUUAAUAAAAAGAUCAAAUAGUUUAUAACAAAUAAAAAUAUAGUAUGAAGCUAAAUGUGAUAAUAUAUACAUUUUACAUAAUUUCAAUAAAAAAAAUUUCAAUAAAAAACAUUUUAAUGUUUUACGAUCUAUUAGACAUAUUUUAUUAAAUUAAUAGGAAUUUUCUGAUAAAUAGCAACAUAAUAUUAAAAUAAAUUUAUAAAGAUUUAAAUGUAAAAUAAUUUUAGUAUAAUUAAUACGUGGGAUAUAUUUUGUAAAUUAUAAAAUUACUUAACCCAAUGAUUUUUAAAAAUCUUUAAAAUAAAUAAAAAUAAAUUAUUCACAUUUUGAUGUAAAUAUUUAAAACAUUUUUAUACAUUAGUCCACAAUUAUUUAUGUUAUAUUUGUAUUUAUUAGAAAUUUUGAAAGUCAAAUGUUUUUCACCUCUAUCUUAUUAGAAUUAUUGCACACAGAGAAAGAGCCAUAUAUGCUUUAUAGCUUUAAAAUCGAUUUGUUUUAUAGCUGGGAACAGAGAUGAUCAUUAUUAUAAGGAUUAAAAAAAAGAUAAAGAAUAUUAAUGAUUAGCGAAAUCUCUAUGGAAAUUGAAUUUAGUAAGAAAAAAUUGAGCUGAUUUUAGCGGUAUAGUAAUAUUUUAUAUAGAGAAAAGUAAAAGCUGCACCCAAGGUUAAGGGAAAUGGUCAAAACUCUUUUUUAAUCAUAAUACUCUUUUUCCUACAUAAUUUAAAAAUUUGACAUUAAUAUUUUAUAAUAAAUAAAAACAUAUAAUCCUAAAAUAAAUAAAAUAAUAUAUAUUUUAAAAUAAUCUCAAUAUUUAAAAUAUAUUUUAACAUUUUAUAGUCUAUCAGAUAUAUUUUAUUUUUUUUAAAGUAAAUUUUAUAAUAAAUACAAAACAUACUAUUAAAAUAGAUAUAAAAAUUUUAAAGUAUUUUGAAUAUUAUAUAAAAUAACUUUAAUAUUGUUAAUGCGUGAGAUGCAUUUUAUUAAUUAAAAAUUCUAUUUAACCCAAAGAUUUAUUUAUAAUAAAUUAAUAAUCAUAUUUUUGAAAUUAUUUUAAAUAUUAAAAAAUAUUUUAAUAUUACUAACUAUUAGAUAGACUAAACUAUUUAUAUUAUUUUCUAUUUAUUAUAAAAUUUCAAAGUUAAUCUUUUUAACUACUAUUCAAAAGAUAUUAUGAUAAAAACAGAAUUUUUCUGUUUUAUUAAAAAUUUAGAGUUUACACCUAUUUUUUCAAAUAUUCGGGGUGUAACUGUUUUAUUUAAAUAAAAUCUCAGUUAAAAAUGUACAGAGAAGAAAUUUCUGUUGGUAUUUUAGUCUUUUACCAAUUAUCACGAUUAGGCCUUGGCCUUGAAACAUUAAUUGUUUCACUUUUAGCGCUAGUGGCGUUGAAAGUUGUCAAGAAAAAGCAAGACCAUAUUCCACAAAAGCAGCUCUUUUAUUAAAGGCAAAGUAUAAAGUAGUCAAGAAUCGAAUAUCCUGUCGUCUACUCUUUUUUAAAUUCUUCUUUUAUUAUCUUUUAGAAUAGUUUUUGGUAAUUACAAUCAUUAUUCAGAGUUAUUGUUAUCUUCUGGGGCAGUCUCUGUUCAUCGAAGUCGUUACCUUUUUUUCAUGGAUCAGUUCCAGUGCCAAGCAGUAAUUUUCUUAGAACUCGGAUCUUUAAUUCGAGUUUCUUUGUGAAUUAAUAAUAAAAAAUUUUCAUUACACGCAAUUUAAGCUACGAAUUACUUUUUGCAAAGUUGAAUAUGAAAUUGGAGAAAUUAAAUAAUUUAGAAUGUUGGUAAAAAUUGACUAACAUAUCCCCAAUUACAGUAAAACCUCUCUACAGUCAUAACAUUAUAACAAAAUUAAUUUUAUUACUAUGUUGAGGUAAUAUAGGUUUAGUUACAAAAUUAUUGUUUUAAUAUGGUUAGUGUCAAGUGAUAUAAAGGUUAAGUAUGCAGUACAUUGAUAAUUAAAUAAUGAAGCGUGUCAAAUCUAACGUAUAUAUAUUAAUGAUAUAGAUAGACAUAGUUUUAAAAAACUAAUUAAUGUAUAUUUAUGUACUGUUAUGAAUAUGGAAAGUCAAGCCUACACUUUACAUUAUCCUUAAUUUUUUCUCUCAGUUAAAUUCUACAAAUAUUGUACAAUGAUUGGGUAAGAACUCUAAAUUAAGAAUAAAUUAUUGUCACAAAUAAUUUUAAAAAAUAUUUUAUUUCAUCUUAAACCUUUAAUGUAAGUAAAUAUAUAUAUAUGUGUGUGUGUGUGUGCAUAUUUUGCAAGGUAUAGAUAAUUGUUAGUAUAUGGAGACAAGUCUUUUAAGGUAGGACCUAGGAAAAUUUAUAACUUACUACAUUGGGGAGUUUUUAUUCCUUUUUAUAAUUGGCUCAUAUUGAUACAUUCUUACACAAAAUAUUACCAUUGACAUAUUUUACUACAAUUGGUUUAGAACAUUUGUUAGGAAAAAAAAAAGAAAAGAAAACAUUCAUUGGAUGUAGCUCUCCCUCGUAUGCUUUUUUCUCCAAAUAUUCCUGCGUCCACAGAAACAAGUCAGAGCACGCCGGUUGUUUUCCCGGCGUAAACCCUCUGACGCUCAAGUCAGAUAUGAAGGCUCUGGGAAUGCUUGCCACAGAUCUUAUGGUUUUUCUGUAGUUUCUAUUCUUUAGAGUUUCAUUUAUCUCUGAAUAUAAUCUCAAAAAUGCUAACCCUUUUACCUUCCUUGGCUACCUUUUUAUAGGCUUCCUCUGAAUCCCGGUCUUCCGUAGUCCACGCCCGUUAUUCUCCCCACCCUCGGAUGUGGAUGCCCCAUUAUCGCCAUUGUGGGCGAAUGGAGAUGGACUUCGUGCCUUGAUUCUCGGAUAGGAAUGCACGUCUUGCCAACUGUCGUUGACUGGGUCUCCUCGCCUCUCGACCUCUAGCCGGAAUGGCCUUAUGCCUCUAACAAGAGUUCGACCUCGUGAAUGGCAUACUCGCGGACGAGCCGAAUAUUUCUGCUCAUGUUCCCCUGCUACCUGGCUCUUACAGGACAUACCUGUUCGCAGAACUCCGCCAUCAAAUAUCUGCUCAUCACGUCUGGUCUCGUUGAAGUAUUUCCCUCAAACAACAUAUUUUACUACAAUUAGUUUAGAACAUUUGUUAGGAAAAAAAAAGAAAAGAAAACAUUCCUUGGAUGUAGCUCUCCUGACUAUUUAAAUCUUUUAAGGAAAAAAAGAAAAAAGAAAAACUGACACAUUCAAAUCUUGAAGCAAUUACAUUAAAACCUCUCCAUAAUGAUAGGAAUAAUCUCCAUUUAGUAAUAAAAAAUUUUGUUCGCAAUCUAGGCAGAGUUAUAAAUAAGAAUAAAAUCCUCAUUGUAAUAAGUUGUAUUUAUUAUGGAUCCCAUCCUAAGGAACUUGUCUCUAUAUAGUAAUAAUUAUUUGCAUAUUAUAAAUAUAUAUGUUGCAUUAGAUUAAAUGAACUUGUCUCCACAUACUACUUAGACAAUGAGAGAAAGUUAUUAAAGAGAACACAAAUAUUUAGAGAUUUUUAAGAUUACUUUGCAUGUUUAUAACAAUAAUACAUUGAUAUAUGUAUUAGUUUUUUGAUAUAUUAGAUUUGACAUGCUCUAUUAAUAAAUUAUUAAUACGAUGCAAACUUCAUCUCUCUAUCCUUGCAAUAAAAGUAACUAAGUUAUAACAAUAAUUAUUAAUAAAUUAUUAAUACGAUGCGUACUUCAUCUCUAUAUCCUUGCAAUAAAAGUAACUAAGUUAUAACGAUAAUUUUUGUAACUACAUGCUUAUUAGGUUUUAACUACUUCAUAAUAAUAAAUUAAUUUCGUCCUAAUAUUAUAAUUAUGUAGAGUUGUAGUGUAUAGACACACCCAAUUUAAAUAGUAAAUCAAAUAAAAUUGUCCCCACAAAAAAGAAAAAAGGGGUAAAGGAUUGUUAUUUCUUCAAACAUUAGGAGCACGUUUGUUCAAGUGCGAUGCCUUUCUUUUGAAGGCAACGUCAGUGGGUACCCAAUAGGACGUGUGUAAAUCUUUCCAAAAUUUCUCCGGUAUAACGGACAGAGAUCAUUACUUUUCUCUUCCAUAGACCACAGCAGCUUCAGUUAAUCAGACUCAAUCAAUUUUCUUGGUUUCUUCGCUUAUCAAAAUUCCAAAAUAUGGGUAGCAUAUUUCAAAUCACAUGCGAUGGUGCUUUUUUCAAUCGUUGCUUGGAUUGCUUUCUUGGAAAAGUAGCAAACACAAGUAAGCUCCAAGAUAACCUUGUUGCCUUGGAGACUGAAUUGGGAAAACUAAUCGUAGCAAAGAACGAUGUGAUGAUGAGGAUUGUCAAUGCUGAACGGCAACAACUGAGAACGCUGGACCAAGUGCAAGUGUGGCUUUCGAGGGUGGAAGCUGUUAAAACUGAAGCUGAUGAAUUGAUAAGACACGGCUCUCAAGAAAUUGACAAAUUAUGUGUUGGAGGCUACUGUUCCAAGCACUGCGCGUCAAGCUACAAGUUCGGGAAACAAGUGGCUAAAAAGCUACGGGAUGUGCAGACUUUAAUCGGCGAAGGAGUUUUUGCGGCGGUGGCUACUGAGGUGGUGCCUGAGAGAGCUCCAGAACCUGUAGCAGAUGAAAGACCCACUGUGCCAACAAUAGUAGGCUUGCAAUCACAACUUGAACAAGUUUGGAGAUGUCUUGUAGAAGAAUCAGUGGGAAUCAUUGGCCUAUAUGGUAUGGGCGGUGUUGGUAAAACUACACUAUUGACCCAUAUCAACAAUAAAUUUCUUGAGAGUCGAACCAGUUUUGAUUGUGUGAUUUGGGCCGUAGUUUCAAAGGACUUGCAACUCGAAAAAAUUCAAGAAGAUAUUGGGAAAAAGAUCGGUUUGGUUGAUGAUUCAUGGAAGAGUAAAAGUGUAGAGGAGAAAGCUCUCGACAUCUUCCGGAGUUUAAGAGAGAAGAGAAUUGUAUUGUUGUUAGAUGAUAUAUGGGAGCGGGUUGAUUUAACAAAAGUGGGCAUUCCACUUUCGGGACCAAAGAAUACUACCUCAAAAGUCGUAUUCACAACCCGUUUCAUCGAUGUUUGUGGUAGCAUGGAAGCUGACAAGAAGUUCCAAGUGGCAUGCUUAUCAGAAGAGCAUGCUUGGGAACUGUUUCGAAAAAAAGUUGGGGAAGAAACUCUUGAGAGUGAUCAUGAUAUCGUUGAGCUAGCCCAAACUGUGGCCAAAGAGUGUGGUGGUUUGCCACUCGCACUUAUUACUAUUGGUCGAGCUAUGGCCUGCAAAAGGACAGCCGAGGAGUGGAGACACGCAGUUGAAGUGCUAAGAAGAUCAGCUUCUGAGUUUGCAGGUUUGGGAAAAGAGGUGUAUCCUCUUUUAAAGUUUAGCUAUGAUAGUUUGCAGAAUGAGACGAUUAAAUCUUGUUUCUUAUAUUGUUGUUUAUAUCCCGAGGAUUAUGGCAUUCUUAAAUGGGACUUGAUUGAUUGUUGGAUUGGUGAGGGAUUCUUAGAGGAAUCUGACAGGUUUGGUGCAGAAAACCAAGGAUACUACAUUGUGGGCACUCUUGUUCAUGCGUGUUUACUAGAAGAGAUAGAAGAUGAUAAAGUAAAAAUGCAUGACGUUGUUCGUGAUAUGGCUUUAUGGAUAGCUUGUGAAAUUGAGAAGGAGAAGAGAAACUUUUUGGUUUGUGCAGGUGCUGGAGUAGGAGCGGUACCAGAUGUUGAAGGAUGGGAAAAUGUGAGAAGAUUGUCAUUGAUGCAAAACCAAAUUGAAAUUCUGUCAGAGGUUCCCACAUGCCCUCAUCUCCUCACUUUAUUUCUUGACUUUAAUUAUAAAUUGGAGAUGAUCACUGAUGGCUUCUUCCAAUGUAUGCCUUCUCUCAAAGUUUUGAAGAUGUCAAACUGUGGGCAUGUCAAAGUUUUGAAAUUACCUUUUGGGAUGUCAAAGUUGGGUUCACUACAACUUCUUGAUAUUUCACAUACCGGCAUAAGAGAGUUACCAGAAGAGUUAAAGUUGUUGGUAAAUCUGAAAUGUUUGAAUUUGAGGUGGACACAUAUGUUAAAUAAAAUUCCACGGCAGCUAAUAUCAAAUUCUUCAUGGUUACGUGUGUUGAGAAUGUUCGCUAUUGGCUUUGAAAAUUCUAAAGAACCAUCAGAAGACAGCGUUUUAAUUGGUGGGGGUGAAGUUUUAGUACAGGAAUUGCUCGGUUUGAAAUAUUUAGAGGUAUUGGAGUUGACCUUGCGAAGUUAUCAUGCUCUCCAUUCUUUUUUGAGCUCAAAUAAGUUAAAAAGUUGUAUUCGAUCUCUUUUCCUCAAUAAGCUGGGAGAUACAAAGUCGAUUGAUGCUACGGCUUUGGCAGAUCUAAAGCAUCUCAAUGAAUUAUAUAUUCUUUUUUUUNNNNNNNNNNNNNNNNNNNNNNNNNNNNNNNNNNNNNNNNNNNNNNNNNNNNNNNNNNNNNNNNNNNNNNNNNNNNNNNNNNNNNNNNNNNNNNNNNNNNNNNNNNNNNNNNNNNNNNNNNNNNNNNNNNNNNNNNNNNNNNNNNNNUCUUUCGCUAUACGGUUGUAAUGCUGUGGAAGAAAUAAUCAGCGUUGGGAAAUUUGCUGAGGUUCCUGAGAUGAUGGGACAUAUAAGCCCUUUUCAGAAUCUCCAAAAGCUUGAUUUAUCACAUUUGCCAGCUUUGAAGAGCAUCUACUGGAAGCCAUUGCCUUUCGCUCAUCUGAAAGAAAUGGUGGUGCAUUGGUGUGAUCGGCUUAAAAAGCUUCCGCUCGAUUCCAACAGUGCAAAAGAGCGUAAAUUUGUUAUUCGUGGAAGAGCAGACUGGUGGAACCGUCUUCAAUGGGAGGAUGAAGCCACUCAAAUUGCUUUCCAUUCCUGUUUCCACCUAAUGAAAUAUAAAUUCCUUAGCGGUGGUUGCAAAAUUUGAUUUCUAGUGAGUGCUUUUUUCUUAAACUCUUACAUUUAUUUCAGAUUCGUUUUUUGUCUCCUGCAAAUCACAAUUAAAUGCUGAAUUAUAUGGAGUCAAUGCUUUAGAAAAUUUUCAAGGCACUGCCAUUUCCUUUUUUCCAUUUUUUUUUGGGUCGAAUUGAUGCUCUGGCUUUUUACUUUUUGUUGUCAAAUUUUGCUCUGUUUUUUCAAGUUGAUGCUUGAAUAGUUGAAUUCAAUUAAUGCUCACAUAAAUUUGUUUAGUUGCCGUAAAAGGAUAUAAUUAGACUGAAGUACACACUUCUAGAAUGAAUACAAAAUGUUAAGUAUACUAGCCCUCUUUACAGAAAAUCAAAUGAAAAUCAAUUUUUUGGGGCUUUGAUUUUCUAUGGUCUAUUAUAUACUCUUUUUAAUAUCUUCUGUUCUAACUAUAACCAAAUCCUUUGUUCAAGGAUUUUUAUUUGGGGUAUUGAUAACUAUCCACCAAAAGAGUGAACACUUGGAUGCUGCUCAAGGAUCUCUAAUCAAUAGCUGGAAGCAACUGAGAAGGCGGUCGCUGCUGUUUACAAAGUGAUGCAGUAUUUGCCAUUCAUCUUAAUAAUUAUGAAGCUUUGGUAAAAUUUUCAAACAAAAUUGAACAUGUUGUUUGAGAUUUGGUUCAUGAUUUUGGAUGAAUAUCGUUGUUCCGUUUGAGUUGGAUGUGAAUUCAAAAUCUAUAUAUUCUUUGGUUUUCAAGUCUGAACUCAAUUUCUUUUUCUCAAGCAUGUUAUGCAGAAAUGAUUUUUACUAAAUCAUUUUUGAUGAAUUGUUUAAAUUAAACACUUGGAAUAAGAAUUGUAAACGUUUAUCAUAAGCAUGCUAAUAUGAUAAAUUGUUUUAUGAACGACUAAUUAAUUAAUCAAUUAAUAUUAAAUUAUAUAUUAAUCAAUUAGAUAUGCGUUACAUGUCAUGUUUAAAAACUAUUUAUUUAUAUUUCAAACAAAUUUGACUGGAUGUUGUGUAGGUAAUACUACAUAAUUUCAAAACAAAAAAAAGUAAUAAAAACACGUUAAAUUUUGUUUUUAUGAAGAAAAAUUUAAAAUUUUAUUAAAUAGGUGAAAAUAAUAAAUGGAUUCGUGUAUGGUUUGAGAUUCUUGACAUAAUUAUGAAAUAAGCCGGAUUCGACUUAGUUCAAUUUUGACGCGAUAAGAAGACGACACCACACAAACACACGACAAGAACCGUUACCUGAGAAGAUUGCCAUCAGGAAUUUUGAAAUUGAUUUCACUACAAUAUCUUAAUCUUUCAGAUACUCCCAUCACUGAGCUGCCAUAAGAGCUAAAAGCCUUGGUAAAUCUUAAGUGUUUGAACUGUACACAAAUUAUCUCUCUACAAUUCAAAAACAACUGAUUUGUUACUUUUCAAUGCUACAUGUUCUGCGAAUAUUGAGUUGUGGUUAUCUUGUUGAAAUAUCAGAAAAUAGAGUUCUAUUUGGUGGUAGUGAAUUGUUGGUUGGGGAGUUACCUAGUUUAAAACGUUUAAAUGUAUUAAGCAUCACCUUACAAGGUUUUUCUGCUGUCCAAAAACUUAUGAGCUCUCAAAAGUUUCAAAGCUGUACAAAAUGUUUGGAGCUUAUAGACUGUGAUGAUUCAAAGUCUUUUGCCUUGGCAGAGUUGAAGCAUCUCGAGAAACUAGUUUUUCGAAUUGUGGAAGAGUUUAAGUUCUGCUGUGUUGAAGUUGGAAAAGCUCAAGAAUGUUUUCGUUUGAACAGCUUUCCCCGAGGUAAUAUAAAGGCUUGUCAUAAAUUGAGGGACGUGACAUGGCUUGUAUUUGCUCCAAAUCUUACGGUUAUUCAAUAGAAAAAUAUAUGCAGAUGGAAGUAAUAAUCAGUGCAAGGAAAUUGGGUGAAGUUCCAGGGAUGAUGGCAGAUCUAAACCCUUUUGCAAAACUCCAGUAUCUUCGUCUGCGAGUUCUACCAAAAUUAAAAAGCGUCUAUUGGAAUGAGUCACCCUUUCCACAUGUCAGGGAAAUUAUUGUAUCUGAAUGCCCAAUUCUCAAGAAGCUUUCACUCGGUUUUAACAAUGCAAAGGAAUCUAAAAUUGUCAUUUAUUACAUGUUUAUAUCUAACUUUUGUUUUCCUUUAUGGUUAAAUUUUACUUUAUAUAUGUUGUUAUACGGUGACAUUCUCGCAUCAAUUGUUAGCUUUUUAAUUCUCUUCUCCCAUUAAUUGCCCUUCUGAUCAUGUAAGAUAUGCCGAUGUCAAAGAGUAGUAAGUUGGGAUACAAAUGUAAGAAUUAACCAGAUGACAUGUUGUUUUGAAGCUCUCGGAGAAGGACUAAUUAUGUCAUUCAAAGCAUCCAAUUUCGCUACUUUUUUUUUCAUUUGUUGCUUUUUCUAUUUUUAGAGAGCUUGAUUGUCAGUUGUCGUAAUGUAAUGUUUUAGUGUAGAAAAAUGAUAUUCGGCCAAGACAUCAAUAGGAGGGCACAUUGUGCAUGCACACUAGUGGAUGAUUUCGGCAUGCCGAAUCCAAUUAGUGUGGAUAACCCUUUAUAAGCAAUUGGCUUCUCUCAUACCAGAGCAAUGUAGAAUAUAUUUAUAAACUGUGGAUUACUCUUUAUUAGGCUUCUUCUAUACUCGAGCAAUGUGGAAUACCUUUAUAAGCAAUAAGCUUCUCCCCUACACUUUAUGUUAAUAAUAAUAAUAAUAAAAUAAAUCCAUUUUAAAAUAGACUUUUUUUUUCUUUUUCUAUAUAAACAAAAUGCAUUCUUCAAAUCAAUAGUGGGUGGAAGAAGUGAGUAGAGAAGAACUAGUCCCCUUUCAUUCCCCUAAAACCUCACCGAAACCUCUCUUGUGAACUUCUCAGAUUCUCUCUCAAUAUUUCUUAUGAUCUCGUUUUUGAUAGAAUCACUUCUUUUGCAUGUUGCAUUUGGUGUGUCUUUUUUGGGUAAUAUCUUAUCUGGAAUGCUGUCAUGAUCAAUAGAACAAGUAAUCAAUUUUUGGCUUGACGGAAGUCGAUUUAUUUAUUUACUAUUAUUUUUAUUUGAAAUUUUGUACAAUUGUGUUUCAUUCAUUUCUUUCCUUUUUUUUUAAUAUUUAUUAUGUAUAAUUGUGUUUCAUUUGAUAUUGAUCAUACUCUAGAUAACUAUGUGAUUGUAGCUGGGGAUUUUAAGUUUUGUGAAUUCAAGAAACUGUCAAAAUGCUAGUGAAAUUGGGACCUUUAUUCAUAAGCUUGUGGUUUUGAAAAGUAGCCCGGUUCAACUGAUGAAGUUCCUUUUUGGGAUUCUUUUUUUUCCUAGGCUGCAAUUCGGAUAUGUACCUGAUAGACAAUCUUUUGUGGGUUUAGCAUAUCUUCUCGGAUUUUGUCUUUUAUUCCUCGAUUUUAUAAUUACACACCAUGAAUGUUGAGUGAUUGUAUAGAAAAUUUGUGUUAUAACCAAAGCAUUGUGAAGGAGUUAAGUUAGUGGCUUCUGUUUUAUUGGCAUUGAUUGGGUAGAUUACGUGUUACAGUGAUUCAAUUUGUGAUCCAAACUUUGUUUAAAUUUCUGUUUUCCCAAAUUAUUUAUGUCAAAUUCAAAACCAGAAGCAUGUGCUGAUUUUUUCUUUUUGUAUUAAUCUGUGAAGUUUAUUUGGAAAGGAAGUAUCUGGGUCUAAUGGAUUAAAUUAUGUAAGUGGCAGAAAUUCCUACACACAUAAAUAUGCAUAAAUACAAAAGUAUACACAAAAAAAUGCACACACUCAUACAUCCAGUCAAUAUAGUUAAUGUAAGAGCACAUACCGGUUUGGUUAUCUUGCUGCAAGUGCACCGCAUUAGCCUUGCAUUCUGGUGCCAACUCCUCCGGCGGUUCACUCACUACCUUUCCCAAUGCUUUGGACCUCCAUUCGGUCUCCAUCAGAUUUCUCAGGAGCACUAAAUAAAGCAGCUAAAACUUGCUUCUGUAGUUCAUUUCUGUCUUUCGGGUGUCUAGGCAAUUUUCCUUCGUCGGUAUUUCGAUCUUCCUUUACAUGACUGAGGAAAUACAGUCAAAAGCUAAUCAAGUAACCAUAUAUGGAUGAGAAAUCCCUCCACCCCCCUUCCAAAACAAAUUCUAAGAAAUAUCAGAAUUCUUUCAAUAAAAACCCUUCCCCCCAUGCUGUGCCUGCUGAAUGAAAUAUAUUAAUCUUACGAGAAGUUGAGAAAAUAAAUUAAAGAACAUACCCUCCGGAAGAAUUCAAUUGUUGCAAUUUUCUUUCACGUGGAGGUCCUCCAAAGUUAGAGCACAUAUCCGUACACUGUUUAUGAAAUCAUAAUAACAGGGGACCAGAUAUUAAUAACAAAUCUUGACACCUAAAAGUCAACUGUGAUGAAAAACAUUAAAAAGAAUAUGAACUUGUUAUCUUGGAAGAAGAUAAUUUAAGAUAUAGCAAACUUGGCACAUUCAUAUAUGAACAGAAGGAAUUUGUAGACGUUUUAAAGCCAUAAUCGUUUAAUAAUCAUGAACCAAGCAAUAAUAGAUGAUUAUUAUGUUGGGUGCAAGCGGAAGUGCAGAAAAAUUUUUAUUUAAGAUCAGAGUAUUUUGCUGGAAAUUUCUGAAACUUUAUUGCUUAAUUCAUUUUUUCGUUUCUCUCUUACUUUUCAUACAACCAGAGUUCUAUAUUUAUAUGCAUUAUAGACAACUCUAGAGAUUACAUUAAUCAUGCUUUACAUUUCCAAAGCCACAUUGCAAACAUCAAUUCUACCCUUUACUUCACGUUGAAAAACAAACCAAAUAAUCCUUCAAACUUCUUGCUCAAUUUACUAGAUUACUAAUUAUAUCUCAACACCCCCUCUUAAUUAGUAAUCUUCAAUUGCUUCUUGAAUUUUUCAAACUUCUCAAUAAUGAUUGCUUUGGUCAGAAAAUCUGCUGGCUGCUCAUUAGUGCUGAUAAACUCCAUAUUAACUUCUCCUUUGCUUACUAAGUCACGGAUGUAGUGAUAACGCAGCUCAAUGUGCUUAGAUUUAGCAUGAAAUACGAGGUUCUUUGUUAGAGCAAUGGCUGACAUGUUGUCACAAUAAAUUGUUGUUGCAGCAUCUUGAUUGAACUGCAAAUCCUUGAGAAUUCUUCUAAGCCAAACGGCUUCACAAGCUGAUUCAGUUGCUGCAAUGUACUCUGCCUCGGCUGAGGAUAAAGCUACUGACUUCUGCUUCCUUGAGCUCCAUGAAAUCACAUUUGUACCAAGACAAAAUAAAUAACCUGAUGUGCUUUUUCUGUCAUCAAGGGAACCAGCCCAGUCACUGUCAGUAAAACCAACAAGCUUGCAAUUGUCUUCUUUUUCAUACAUGAUCCCCUGCUUUUUUGUUCCUUGAAGAUACCUUAAGAUUCUCUUUGCUGCAAUAUAAUGGGACUUCCUUGGAUCAUUCAUAAAUCUAGAAAGAACACUAACUGAGUGCAAAAUGUCAGGUCUUGAGUUGGUUAGAUAAAUCAACGAACCAACCAAGCUUCUAUAGAUUCUUGCGUCAGCCUUUUCUUCUUUUUCAUCAUGUUUCAAUUUUUCAUUCAAACCCAUAGGAGUAGGUGCUGGUUUGCAUUUGAACAUGUGGAAUUUCUUCAACAAAUCUUCUACGUAUUUUUCUUGACAAAAGAAGAUUUUUCCUCUGGCUUGCUUCACUUGAAUGCCAAGAAAAUACUUCAUUAAGCCCAAGUCAGUCAUCUCAAAUUCAUCUAGCAUGCUUUUUUUAAACUCUUCCACCAUUUUCAGAUUAGUGCCACAAUAAAUUAGAUCAUCAACAUAAAGGCAAACAAUAAGGAAAUCAGUACCUUCCUUUUUGACAUAAAGAGAAGGUUCACUUGAGCUUCUGUCAAAUCCAUUUUUAACGAAAUAUCUAUCAAUUCUGCUAUUCCACGCUCGAGGGGCUUGCUUCAAGCCAUACAAGGCUUUUCGGAGUUGAUAAACUUUGUUUUCUUCACCUUUCACUUCAUAUCCUUUAGGUUGCUCAACAUAAACCUCUUCUUCAAUUUCACCAUUUAGAAAUGCCGAUUUUACAUCUAGUUGAAACACAUGUAAUUCCAUUUGGGCUGCCAAGGCAAGAACAGUUCGAAUAGUCUCCAUUCGAGCUACGGGAGCAAACGUUUCUGUAAAAUCAACUCCAGGCAGCUGAGAGUAUCCUUUGGCAACGAGCCGCGCCUUAUAUUUUUUAACUGAACCAUCUUCAUUGUACUUGAUUUUGAAGAUCCAUUUCAGCCCAAUUGUUUCUUUUCCAUUUGGCAAAUUAACCAUCUCCCAAGUUUUAUUUUUCACAAUGGUGGCCAUUUCCUCGUUCAUUGCUUGGAUCCAAUUUUCAUUUCUUGAGGCCUCCUCAAAGUCUUGAGGCUCACAAGAAAAUAAAGCAAGUUCACAUGACUCAUAAAUUUCUCUCAUUGACUUUAUCUUCCUUGGAGGGCUUUCAUCAUCCGAAGAACUUUCUGCUGCUGAAUUUGGAGAAUUUGGUUCCAAAUUAUUUUGCUGUGAAGAAUUUGGUGGAGAUACAGGAGCUUCGAAAAAGCUAGAUGCUUGAGAUUGAUCUUUUUCCCACUGCCAAGCUGAUGCCUCAUCAAAUACAACAUCUCUUGAGAUAACAAGCUUAUUUGUUGUAGGAUUCAACAACCGAUACCCUUUAGACUCAUCACUAUAGCCAAUAAACAAAUAUUUUUCACCUUUUUCAUCAAACUUCUCUCUGUUUUGAGCUAGAAUAAGAGCAUAAGCAAUACUCCCAAAAAUCUUCAAGUGAUCAACAGUUGGCUUUCGGUUGUGCCAAGCUUCAAAUGGAGUUUUGUCUCUAACAGCUUUUGUAGGAGACCUGUUGAGGAUGUACACAGCUGUAUGACAUGCUUCUGCCCAUAAGUUGUUAGGAAUGCCUUUGCCUUUUAACAUGCUUCUUGCCAUCUCUACAAUGGUACGGUUCUUCCGUUCUGCAACUCCGUUUUGUUGUGGACUUCGGCUGACAGUAAGUUGUCUUUGAAUUCCAUUAUCCCUGCAAUAAUUCAUGAAUGGAGUGUAGAUAAAUUCACCACCACGAUCAGUUCUCAAGGUCUUCAUUUUGCAUCCACUUUGCCUUUCUGCAAGAGCUUUAAACUGAAGAAAAGUUGAGAAAGCUUCUGAUUUUUCAUUCAAAAAAUAAAUCCACAUCAUCCUUGUAUAGUCAUCAACAAAAAGAAUGAAAUAUCUCCUGUUAUUGAGAGAGAGAGUCCUUGUAGGACCACAAAUAUCAGCAUGCACCAACUCCAACGGAGCUUUGGCUCUCCAUGAAUUUUUAGGAAAUGGAAGUCUAUGCAUUUUUCCAUAUAUACAGCCCUCGCAAACUUUUUCAUAUCUUCCAACAUCAGGUAAGCCAAUCACCAUGUUCUUUUGCUUGAGCAAAUUCAGCCCUUUAUAGUUUAAAUGACCAUAUCUGAGAUGCCAUAAAUUUGACAAAUCUGAAUUUUCAGUUUUGAGAGCAACAUUCUCAUCAAGUGGCAUAACAAGAGGAAAAACUUUGUUCUUUGACAUUUCAACAACGGCCACUGUAUGAUUAUUAGUUUUAUCAAUGAUUUUGCAUUUUUCAUCAUCAAAAUAAAUUGAAAAACCCUUUUGAAUUAGCUGCCCCACACUCAAGAGGUUUUGAGUUAAAUUUGGAACAUAAAGAACGUCAUAAAUGAGCUUUUUGUUACCUCCCUUUGUAUGGACAGCAAUAGUGCCUUUUCCCACAGCUUUCUGCAUCUUUCCAUCUCCAAGCUUCACUUGCGAAUUAAAACUUUGGUCAAGGUUGAUGAAAAUGUCACGUUCUCCAGUCAUGUGGUUGCUACAACCGCUAUCCAAGUACCACAAAUUAUAUGAUUCACGUUCAGCACCUUUACUUGAAUAAAACAAGUAAUCUCCAUCACAUUCUUUUGUAAAAUUUGCCUCAUUUUUGCCUUUCUUAUUUUGAUACCAGCAAUCCCUUUGAGAAUGGUUAGGAAUGCGACACCUUGUGCAUUUAUAACGACAAUCUUUUGAUUCAUGAUUAGACCGAUUACAAAUGAUGCACUGAGAAUCUGAAUUUUGCUGUGAAUUCCCUCUGUCAUUUUUCCACUUGUUGCGGUUGUCGUUCUGUUCUCUUUGCCCUAUGCCACGCUGCUCGUUUCUUUGAGACGAGCCUCCGUUCUUCUGGUCUUUCUUGCUGCUUUUAUUCUGAUCUGAAUUAUUAAUCUUUGACUGAAAAGCUUGCUCUGUAGGCUGACUUGAAGGUCGAUUGAUUCUUUGCUCAUGAGACCGUAAUGAUCCUGACAAAUCUGAAAAAGUCAUCUUGGACAAAUCCUUUGAUUCUUCAAUGGCUGCUGCUACAUGAUCAAACUUUGGAGGAAGACAUCUCAGCACCUUUUCAUUCACCUUCUUGUCUUCAAUGGAGUCCCCACAACCUUUAAUCUGGUUCACAAUCUCAGUAACUCUACUGCAAAAAUCCUGAAUUCCUUCUCUGUCUUUCAUUGAUAAAUUAUCGAACUCUUUCCACAAAGUCUGUAACUUGAUGGUGACUGCCUUUUCAGAACCUUGAAAUUCUUGUUUUAGGAUUUUCCAAGCAUUUUUGGCCUUUUUGACACCAAAUAUUCUGGGGAAAAUUGACUUACUAACACCUUGCUGGAUAUAUCGAAGUGUCGUGGCAUUUCUCUGUAUGUUUUCUUUGUACUGCUGUUGAUGUGCUGGAGUCCAAUCUGAAGAACUUGCAGAUUCUGGUGGUUCAGCAUAUCCAUCUUCAACAACAUCCCAUAAAUUUUGAGAGAGGAAAAAGGUUUCCAUUUGAUUACUCCAAUAUUCAUAAUGUACCCCUUCAAAUAUUGGAACUUGACUGGGAGCAUAUGAGAAUAAUGUGGGUAGGGUAUUUGAUGUCAUUUUGAGGGUGUUUUGGAAAAGCUCUGAUACCAAAUUUGUUGGGUGCAAGCGGAAGUGCAGAAAAAUUUUUAUUUAAGAACAGAGUAUUUUGCUGGAAAUUUCUGAAACUUUAUUGCUUAAUUCAUUUUUUCGUUUCUCUCUUACUUUUCAUACAACCAGAGUUCUAUAUUUAUAUGCAUUAUAGACAACUCUAGAGAUUACAUUAAUCAUGCUUUACAUUUCCAAAGCCACAUUGCAAACAUCAAUUCUACCCUUUACUUUACGUUGAAAAACAAACCAAAUAACCCUUCAAACUUCUUGCUCAAUUUACUAGAUUACUAAUUAUAUCUCAACAUAUUAUUCCGUUUCUUCUAAGCUACGCAUACUUGCACAUCAGAAUAAAGUGAUAUACAAUGGUUGUGUGCAGACACAAACGCAUGAUCAACAGGAAAAAUCAUCUGAACAUUUGUAUUACUGAUUUGGCAUAUAAGAUUCUCAUAAUAGUUCAAAAUACAAAUAAAUGAAUAUAUAUAUAUUCCCCACCGGAAUCACCCCCUGGAUCCUCACUCAAGGUGUCUUCCGAGCCAGAAGAUCCCUCCUCACCACUAUUUCCGCUCGUGGAGGUUGUUUGGGGGGACAUCCUCCUAGCGCUAGUCCCAACACUAGACCUAAUGGGUUCUAAGGGGAUCCCGGGGUCAAAAGCAGGAUCGGUGAGCAGACUAGACAAGAAACCUAAUUCGUCGUCAUCAAUCUCAACGAUUUUCUCUUUACCCUUCGACAUUCCCUAAACUAUAAUCAGAACACCACCACCAACUACAACCCCAAGCAAAGCACAGAGAAAAGAAAUUAUCUACAACUAACCAAGACCGAGAAAAUAGAAGAAAUACCUGAAGCAGGGAUUCGAUCAGAGAGAGAUAGGGAUGAAAGCUUUAAUGCCGAGGUUCAUUCGCCGGAGAGACAAGAAGGGAGAAAAUGACGAGUUCGUGUUUGAGGAUUUUGGGUUUUCUUACUGAGAAGCAAACUCUUGGGCUGCCAGCAUUUAAUGACACAUAUUCCGAGAAUCUUGCAACCGUAGGUUUGAAAUUCAAAUGGAGGGGUGGAUUUCUGCCACAUCACUUCAUCUGCAAUUAAAUGCGACACGACUCUUGGCAGUCUUUUCCAGUCCCACGCGAGCAAGAACCGAUUGAGUUUCUACUGCUGGUCCAUUACAUUACCCAACACCAGAAACUGGGGGACUGGUGUUUGAGGGAAAUACUUCGACGAGACCAGACGUGAUGAGCAGAUAUUUGAUGGCAGAGUUCUGCAAACAGGUGUGUCUUGUAAGAGCCAGGUAGCAGGGGAACAGGAGUAGGAAUAUUCUGCUCGUCCACGAAUAUGCCAUUCACGAGGUCAAACUCCUGUUAGAGGCAUAAGGCCAUUCCUGCUAGAGGUCGAGAAGCGAGGAGACCCGGUCAACGACAGUUGGCAAGACGUGCAUUCCUAUCCGAGAAUCAAGGCACAAAGUCCAUCUCCAUUCGCCCACAAUGGCGAUAAUGGGGCAUCCAUAUCCCGGGGGGGGGAGAAUAAGGGGCGUGGACUACGGAAGAUCGGGAUUCAGAGGAAGCUUAUAAAAAGGUAGCCAACGAAGGUAAAAGGGUUAGAAUUUUUGAGAUUGCAACUAAGAAAAGAGAGCUCUAAGAACUGAAACUAAAGAGAAGCCAUAAGAUUCGUGGCAAACAUUCCCAGAACCUUCAUAUCUGACUUGAGCGUCGGAGGAUUUACGCCGGGAAAACGACCGGCGCACCCUGACCUGCUUUUGUGUUCGCAUGAAUUUUUGGGGAAGAAACCUUACGAGGAGAGAUCCUGGUCAUGGUAGAGUUGGUCGAGCAGAGGUCCUGGUCUUGGUAGAGAAGGCAACCAGAAUCUCGCAUCAACAAUUAUUUUACUUGAAAUUAUGUACAAUUGCAUUUCAUUCAUUUCUCUCUCUCUUUUUCUUUUUUCCCCCCAUAUAUUUUUUAUGUAUAAUUGCGUUUCAUUUAAUAUUGAUCAUACUGUAGGUAACCAUGUGAUUGUAGAUGGGGAUUUCAAGUUUGUUGAAUAUUCAUGUAAGUGAAGUAACCGUCACAAUACUAGUGAAAUUGGGAGCUUUAUUCAUGAGUUUGUGGUUUUGAAAAGUACCACAGUUCAGCUGAUGAAGGCUUCUUUUUGGGAUUCUUCUUUUCCUAGGCUGCAAUUAGGAUAUGUACAUGAUAGACAAUCUUUUGUUGGUUUGGCAUAUCUUCGCUGAUUUUGUCUUUUAUUCCCCAAUUUUAUAAUUACACACCAUGAAUGUUGGGUGAUUGCAUAGAAAAUUUGUGUUAUAACAAAAACAUUGUGAAGGAGUUUCUGUGCUAAUAGUUAGUGGCUUCUGUUUUAUUGGCAUUGAUUGGGUAGAUUACGUGUUACAGUGAUUCAAUUUGUGUUCCAAACUUUGCUUUAAUUUUCUGUUUUCCCCAACUAUUUAUGUCAAAUUUAAAUCCAGAAGCAUGUACUGAUUUUUUCUUUUUGUAUUAAUUUGUGAAGUUUAUUUGGAAUGGAAGUAACUGGGUCGGGUCUAAUGGAUUAAAUUAUGACAUUGAGGGGAAGGCACUAAAAGGGUUUGCUUGACACAUUUGGUUCUGUGUCUGCAAGAAAUAGCUUUUGCUUAUUGCAAUGCAGGGGGAAAUCCCGAUUUGGCUGGUGAAUUUCUCUGCAACAAACGGGCAAACACCUUGACUUCUUCUGUCCAUACUUCUGCUGGGGAGGCAAGGGGUAAAGAGUCUUCAAAAUCAUCAAAUAGUAACAUCUCUGAGAAUUCAUUUUAUGGAAAUGGAAAAUCUAGAGCUUCUAAUACAAAAUGGUAUCUGGUAUCAGGACGUACCGUUUCAAGUUUUCUUGGUAAAGAUUAUGUUAAACCUGCACAGCCAGCUAAUGGCACUUUUCUGGCAUCAAAGCCAUUGAAGUUGGAUCCAAGGGAGUUUCGCAUUUCUGCACUUUCAGAGAAGAAACUAAACCGAAACAAUCAAAGGAUGACCAUUUGCAGAAGGAUAUGGAAGAUUUUCUGUUUAAAUUGCUAGGAGAAGGGUUCCAGCUGUACAGGGAUGUGAUUCAGAUGGUUCAUGGUAACGUCUUAAAUAUAUUGAUGCCAAUUUAAUACAUAUUGUCCUUUUCAAUGUUCUUUCUUUCUUUCUCCUCUUUUUAUUCUUCUUCUUCUUCUUUUUUCUUUUCAUGUGCAUCUGAUCACUAAUUUGGUAUUAUUCUUAACUUGCAGAUAGUUGUGGAUAUGAUAUGCAAAAAGGUAAGGACUAUAUCUUCUUGAUGGAGGCCUCUGAUUUUUUAAAUCGCAUUUUCCUUUGUGAUUGAUAUAUCAUACCAAAGUCAAGUCUUAAAUACUGCUGUCAUAUGUUAAGGUUCAACUUCCAUUUUGAUUAACGUCGAUUUGCUACUGCUUCCAAAAGUGAGAAUGAGAUACUUUGGUUAAUUUCAGUAGUUGAACCCAAUAGAGUACUUUAUUUAGAUCUUCAUGGUUCAAAGGCCUGAAAAAACUUGCCGGUGUUUGCAAAAUGACAUUCUGUGCUUUUAUUUAGACUUAUUAUUAAAGACAACAUUUUGUUUCAGCCAAAAAUGUUUGUUUCGAUUAAAGACUGAUUUUAUAUUUCUAUUUUGUAACUUGAAAUAAUUGGUCUGCCUGUUUCUGUUGCUUGAUAACAUGAAUUUUUCCUUCUGAAGUUAAUUUGAUCAAUAAAGUAAUUCUUCGGAGAGGAUAUGCCCAUUCUAUAGUCAUUUUCUUAGCUAACAUGUUUUUUCUUCACUCUUCAGAGCAUGUCUAAACUAAUUGAUCGCUCAGCGGAGACUUUGGGUGAGAAGACAAAAUUUCUUGGUAAAUCCUCUGAAAAGGUAUGCAUAAUUCCCGAGUAUUAAAUAAUCAUUGGUCAUAAUUUUUGUACACGACUCUUUUUUUGGAGAUCGUUAAAAGUGGUUGAUGAUCUAUUUUGUAAUAUCAUAGAGGGAUCAUGAAUUCCUUUUCUUUUCUGUGGCUAGGCAACACUUUCGAGCCAAGCUAAGGAAAUCUAUUUUAGGUAAUGUGAAAACCAGUUGUAGGAUGUAAUAGUUUAUUAUGCCCUGCCAAUAACUUUUUGUAUAAUUGUCAGUUUAAUGAAUACAAGAGGAACUCUGUUGGCAAGUUCAUCCAUGAUAGAUGCUAAAAUUAUUUAUGCAUACCAGUUGCCUUAACUAAUUUUUCUCAACACUGGUAUUGAACAGGAAAAUGAAUAUGCAAUUUGUAUAUUGUGCCAUUGUGGAGAAUUUGGAUAUUCUUAUUUAAGUAACAAGGAGAGUAUUUGCCUCAUCUUUAAACAAUGAAUCUUUGAGAAAUGAGGAGUGGGUGAUUGGCAGUGUCUUCAUGUAAAUGUUCAUUUAUUUGUAUUUUGAACUAUUAUGAGAAUCUUUGUAUGCCAAAUUAGUAAUACAAAUGUUCAGAUGAUUUUUCCUGUUGAUCAUGCGUGUGUAUCUGCACACAACCAUUGUGUACCACUUUAUUCUGAUGCGCAAAUAUCUGUAGUUUAGAAGAAAAGAAAUAAUAAUCAUAUAUUAUUGCUUGGUUCAUGAUUAUUAAACGAUUAUGGCUUUAGAAAAUCCACAAAUCCUUUGUGUUCAUAUAUGAAUGUGCGAAGUUCGCUAUAUCUUAGAUUACCUUCUUCCAAGAUAACAAGUUCAUAUAUUUUUUAAUCCUUUUUCAUCACAGUUGAAUUUCAAGUGUAAGUUUUGUUAUUAAUAGCUGGUUUCCUGUUAUUAUGAUUUCAUAAACAGUAAGAGGAUAUGUGCUCUACUUUUGGAGGGCCUCCACAUGAAAGAAAAUUGCAACAAUUGAAUUCUUCCGGAGGGUAUGGUAUUUAAUUUAUUUUCUCAGCUUGUUGUAAGACUAAUAUAUUUCCUUCAGUACGCACGGCAUGGUGGGAAGGGUUUUUAUUGAAACAGUUAUGAUAUUUCUUAGACUUUGUUUUGGAAGGGGGUGGAGGGAUUUCUCAUCCAUAUAUGGUUACUUGAUUAGCUUUUGACUGUAUUGUCUCCGUCGUGCAAAGGAAAAUCCAAAUACUAACGAAGGGGAAUUGCUUAGGCACCCAAAGGACAGAAAUGAAUUACGGAAGGAAGUUUUUGCUGCUUUAUUUAGUGCUGCUGAGAAAUCUGAUGGAUUUCCUGAAAUUACGGUGAAGACGGAGUGGAGGUCCAACGCAUUAGGAAAGGUGGUGAGUGAACCGCCGGAGGAAUUAGUACCAGAACACAAGGCUAAUGUGGUGCACUGGCAGCAAGAUGACCAGACCUGUAUGUGCUCUUAUAUUAACUAUAUUGGCUGGAUUUGUGAGUGUGUACAUUUUUGUGUGUAUACUCACUUUUGGAUUUAUGCAUAUUAACGUGUGUAGGAUUCUCGAUUUCUGCCACUUACUGGAGAACUAGUGGAAAGCUUUAUACUGAUAUAUGUGCUAUAUAACUAAUGGAAACUACAAUAUGAAUAUUUUCUCUCACCUGGAGAACAGUGUAACUGAUAUAAUUUGUGGCUCUGGAAUACUGAAGAUUCUGCAAUAACUAAUGGAAAAUAUGAUAUGAAUAUUUUUUCUCACCUGGAGAACUUUGUAACAGAUACAUUUUGUGCUGGAAUGUCUAAAGAAUGCUUCAGUUUAGAUCAAAUAUCUUUUAGUUAGAAAAGAUAAAAUUCUCUGAAUCUGAAAGACUGAAACAUUUUGCAUAUUUCGUGAAAGGCAAGUAUCUGUAGAUACUAGCUCAUGCAUUGAGGUAAUAUCAAUGUUAAAGAAAAACAGCAAUAAUUUAUUAUACAGAAUUAGGUUCACUUGCUUUAAAUGCUGGUCUGAUCAACCAUAUCAACCUGUAAUGGUCCUGCAGAAAUAUAUAUACGGGGAGAAACUAGCUAAUUUUCCUUUCACUUAUGGGUUUGGUCUUUUUUUUCCCCUAUUUUUCAGCUUUCCUUCUCCUGAAGUAUGUUAACAAUUGCAGAUAAUGACGAAGAGGACCGCUUCCAGGCUCUUUGUAGAGCUGUGAUGGAAUAUAGGGGCACAAUGAAAGAAUAUUGUAAGGCUGUAUGUACUUUCUCUCAUGUCAUUUAUGUUUUCUCACACAUUUUGUAUAUGCCCUGAACAUGCAGCUUUGUAUGUGUCAAUUGCCUUUUACGUUUUAAAAGCCAUAAAGUAAGAAUACAGUUCCUUGUCAGGCUAUUGAUGCGUUCGCUCAGAAGGGUCAUGUUCAAGCAGGAAAACUUCUAGAACAGGUAAGGUUUCCAUCUACAGCCAUCCAUUGACAGCAGAUAUAUUUUCAUUAAGCAGACACUGUUAGCAUUCAAGAUGCUGGCAGAUUCACUUGAUUCUUAUUAGUUUGUUUAGUGGCAAACCAUAUAACCUGUAUUUCAAAGCCAAGUUGUGCUAUUGAUUAUGUUAACUUUAUUGUUAACAUAAAGUGAUAUGGAGGACAUAAUCAAUGUAGGAAAAUUAGGUGAAGAGAUGAUGUCAAAUCUUGAACCUCUUACAAAGCUCCAAGUUCUUUACUUGAAGAAGCUGCCAAAUUUGAAGAGCGUCUACUGGAAGGCAUUUCCAUUCCCAGAUGUAUGCAGAAUUUUUGUAUUAAUGCCCAGUUCUUAAGAAGCUGCCACUGGAUUUUCAAGGGGCGGGCCAAGGUAAAAUUCUUAUCAAGGGAAAGGAAGAUUGGUGGAAAGAACUUCAAUGGGAGGAUCAAGCAACUCAGAAUGCAUUGCUUCCAUUUUUCAAAUCAACUGACAAGUGAUUGAAGGGGGCAUCAUCAACAUCAUCAACUGGGAUGGAGAGAUUAUGGAGCAGAUCAGCAGGGUUUGUAUAUGAUCUUUGGUGGUUGCUUUCUUUUGUGAUUUUUUUUUUCUCAUUUUUUUCCCUUCCUGUCAUUUUAUCAUUUCUUUGUCUCGUUUUCUAUUGCUGAUGUUAGUGUAUGCUUACUGUUGCUUGACAAAGUUUGCUUGCUUCUUGUUUAUUAAUUUUUUUAUGGUCACAAAAUAUUACUUGUUCUAUUUGAGAGUGAUGUGAAUCAAUUUUCAAUUAUAUAUUUUAUGGUCAAUGUGAAUUCAAUUUCAUUUGUCUCCUGCAAUUAUUUAAAAAAUGCAGAGUCAUAAUAUGGAAAAGUCGACCGGCAAAAACUUUGUGAAAGCUUCGGAGUGAAACAGGGAAUUCACUUACUAACAGGGAAUUCACUUACUACUAAGGACAAUUGGUGGCGAGCUAUUCCAUUCAUUUUAUGUCCAUACAUCUAUUUAAUUAUUAAAGAUAAGUGGUCCAUUUGUAAAUUUCAGAUUGUGUCUCUCUGAAAAUAACAAUAUUUAAAAUGUCUCUUAAAUUAUUAUAAAUUUUAAUUCACUCUCGAUUUAAAAUGGAACAUGCUGAUGAAAUUUUUUUUCUUCUUAAUAAAAUUGAAAUAAAUUGUGUUUGCAGUAGUUUGAAAUAUUUUAAAGAUUAUUAUUUUAUAAGGGAGUAAUAUGAAAUGAAAUUUACUUUUCAUGCGUGAAAUGUUGAAAAAGGACACAGCAAGUGUCCCUGCUUUUAUUUUAUUUCAAAGUGGAGUCAUCUCACAUACUUUAACUCUAUCGUUACAAUUUUUCAGGUUACAUUUUUAUUUAUUUAUUUAUUUUCUUUUUUACACAUGCAUGUGGGUUACUUUUCCGUAAGCUCCUUAAUAUAUAUAUUUAACACAAAUCAUGGAAGAGAUGGGAGUAUAUCAAGAUGAUCAAAGCAUGAAACAAAAAUAUUUAAGAAGUAAAACACUGAAAAUAGAGAAGAGAUGCAAGCAAAAGAUAUUCCAAAGAAAAGCAAUCUAUCUCCUUUCGAAGAAUGUUAUGGAAGAGUUGAACCCAGCGAAGAAUGUUAUGGAAGAGCAAAUUAAUGAUAUUUUUGAUAGAGUCUAUUUGAUUAUGUAGCCUGAAUAGAUGUCUUGUUGAAAGAUAUCUCAGUGCAUUAGUUCAUCCUUGACUGUCAAUGUGUUUUUAAUGGUUUUUCCAAAUUUUUAUUAUUAUAGAUUGAUUGUAAAUUUGAUAUGAAUUUAAUGUUGAAAUGUUUUCUCUUUAGUGGAAUGAAUUUAAAAGUGCAAAAGCUUAUUGCACACAGAGAAAUAAACAUAUAUGCUUUAUAACUUUAGCAAUCGAUUCUUUUACAGCUGGAAACAGAGAUGAUGAUUAUCAUAGGGGUGAAGAAAAGGACAAAAAAUGUUAAUGGUUAACGAAAUUUCUAUGCAAAUUGAUUUUAGCAGGAAAAAAGUGAGCUAAAUGAUCUUAAUGUUCCACAAGAAAAAGCAAGAUCUUAAUGUUCCACAAAAGCGUUAUUUAUUUUUUUUUGGUGAGCCACGUGGAGCUCAAUUAUCAUUGUCUUUACUUUAAAAACGUUAUUUUAUUUUCUUUUAUUACAAAUUAAUGCUAACAAGAAAAAGCAAGAUAUAAUAUUCCACAAAAGCAAAUCGUAAUAUUCCACAGAGGAGUAAGAUCCACAAAAGCAAACAACUAGCUGGAUUCUUUUAUUGAACUACAAAUUAAAACAACAAAUUAAAGUUCAAAUAUUUAAAUAGUAGUGCGUUAGACGAUUAGGCUCUUUUAUUAAAGGGAAGUAUAAAGUAGUCCAGAAUCGAACAUCUCUAUUGUCUAGUCUUUUUUUUUUUUUUUAAUUCUUCUUUUAUUAUUUUUCAGAAUAGGUUUUGGUGAUUACUAUUGGGUUAUUAUUGAGAGUUAUUGUUAUCUUCCGGGGCAGUUUCUGUUAAUCGAAAUCGUUAAUUAAAAUUUUAGAACUCUUAUUGGAAGAAUGUUUUUCCGUUAUUUUUUUAUAUUCUAAUUUCAAUUGUAAGAAGUAGUCAUUUUAGAAUUUGGGUCUUGAAUCGAAUUUCAAUGCAUGAAUUAAUAUUUAAAAAAAAAAUUACUACACGCAGUUUAGGUUACAAACUAUUUUUUGCAAAGUUGAUUAUGAAAUUGGAAAAAUUAAGUAAUUUAUAAUGUUUGCAAAGGAAGAGACUAACAUACUUCCAAUUACACUAUAUCUCUAUUAUCAUAAUGUUAAGAUUAAACUAACUUAAAAUAAAUUUUAUUUGAAAAGUUAUAUCAAACGCAGUCUAAUUUUAUUAACUUGAAGAGAUAAUAGUUAUAGAAAUUAUUGUUCUAACUUAAUUAGUACAAGUGGUAUAAAGGUUAAGUGUGCACUAAAUUUGUUUAAAUUUUUUCCAGAAUAACUAACAGAGGUCAUUACUAGAAUUAUAAUUACUAGUCUAUUAGAUAGAAAAAAUUAUUUAUAUUGUUUUAUAUUUAUUAAAAAAUUUUAAAGUCAAUCUUUUUAAUUAUUAUUUAAAGGAUAUUAUAAUUAAAAAAAAUUUAAUGUCUUUAUUAAAAAUUUAAAAAUUUAAAAAUUUAAAAAUUUACAUGACCGCUCUAUAAAUAUUGAAAGUGUAACUGUCAUUUUCUCAUAUAUAUAUAUAUAUAUAUAUAUAUAUAUAUAUAUAAACCACGGUGGUGAAGCUUUAUUUAAUAUUAAUGAUUUAAAUAACAAUAUCUCAAUUAAAAAUGUAGAGAGAAGAAAUUUCGGUGGGUAUAUUAGUCUUUUACAAUUAUCAUGAUUAACCCUUCCUCUUGUAACGUUGGUCAGAAAAGUUUUAAAAUGCCUUGAUUUCUUUUACUUUUAACGUUAGCGGCCUUCCUUAUAUUUUAUUACAAAUUAGUCCUAACAAGAAAAAGCGAGAUCAUAUUCCAAAAAAGCAAAAGUGACAAAAAAACCAGCUGUAUUCUUUUAUUAAACUACAAUUUAAAAUGAUUUUAAAGUGGAUUCUUUUGAAUACAGGUGGGGUAGUCGAAUAGUCUUUUUCAAAUUCUUGUUUUAUUAUUUUUCAAAACUAGUUUUUGGUAAUUACAAUCGGGUCAUUCAUUAGUCAUUAUUCAGAGUUAUUGUUAUCUUCGGGGGCAGUGGGUAAAAGGCUAAAUGAUAAUUACUAAGUGUUUUUCCUUCAAAAGUUAGUGGCUCGUGUUUUGCAAGUGUGUACGUGCGAUGCUCUUUGUCUAAAGGCAAUUACAGUGGGUCCCGAAUCGGACGUGCCUAAUAAAUCUUUUAAAAAUUUUUCUAAUAAAUAUUCCUAAAAUUUCUCUUCCACAGGCAAUUACAGCAGCUUCAGUUAAUCAAACUCAAUCAAUUUUCUUUCUUAACAAAAUUCCAAAGAUGUGUGGCUGUUUUCAGAUCACAUGCGAUGGUACUUUUUUCAAUCGUUGCUUAGAUUGCUUUCUUGGAAAAGCAGCAUACAUACGUAACCUCCAAGAUAACCUCGUUGCCUUGGAGACUGAACUAAGGAAACUAAUCGCAGCAAAGAACGAUGUGAUGACGGCGGUUGUCAAUGCUGAACGGCAACAAAUGAGAAGGCUGGAACGAGUGCAAGUGUGGGUUUCGAGUGUGGAUUCUGUUAAAACUGGAGCCGAUGAACUUAUCACAGACGGCUCUGAAGAAAUUGGCAAAUUAUGUGUUGGAGGCUACUGUUCCAAGAACUGCAGGUCAAGCUACAAGUUCGGAAAACAAGUGGCUGAAAAGCUACAACAUGUGAAGAAUUUAAUCGCCGAGGGAGUUUUUGAGGCGGUGGCCACUGAGGUGGUGCCCGAGAGAGCUCCGGAACCUGUAGCAGAUAAAAGACCCAUUGAGCCAACAAUAGUAGGCUUGCAAUCACAGCUUGAAGAAGUUUGGAGAUGUCUUGCAGAAGAAUCAGUGGGAAUCAUUGGCCUAUAUGGUAUGGGCGGUGUUGGUAAAACCACACUAUUGACCCAUAUCAACAAUAAAUUUCUUGAGAGUCCCACAAACUUUGAUUGUGUGAUUUGGGUCGUAGUUUCAAAAGACCUGCGACUUGAAAAAAUUCAAGAAGAUAUUGGGAAGAAGAUAGGUCUAUCUGAUGAUUCAUGGAAGAAUAAAAGUUUUGAAGAGAAAGCUGUGGACAUCUUGCGGAGAUUAGGAGAGAAGAGAUUUGUAUUGUUGUUAGAUGAUAUAUGGGACCGGGUUGAUUUAACAAAGGUGGGCGUUCCACUUCCCGGACCACAAAAUACUACCUCAAAAGUCGUAUUCACAACCCGUUCCAUCGAUGUUUGUGGCAGCAUGAGAGCUAGGCCGGUUAAAGUGGCAUGCCUAUCAGAAAAGCAAGCUUGGGAACUGUUCCACGAAAAUGUUGGGGAAGAAACUCUUGAGAGUGAUCAUGAGAUCGUUGAGCUAGCCCAAACAGUGGCCAAAGAGUGUGGUGGUUUGCCACUCGCACUUAUUACUAUUGGUCGAGCUAUGGCCUACAGAAAGAAAGCGGAGCAGUGGAGACGUGCAAUUGAAGAGUUAAGAAGAUCAGUUUCAGAGUUUGCAGGUUUGGGAAAAGAGGUGUAUCCUUUUUUAAAGUUCAGCUAUGAUAGUUUGCAGUAUGAUACGGUUAGAUCUUGUUUCUUGUAUUGUUGUUUAUAUCCUGAAGAUUAUGGCAUUCUUAAAUGGGACUUGAUUGAUUGUUGGUUUGGCGAGGGAUUUUUUGGGGAAUCUGACAGGUCUGGUGCAGAAAACCGAGGAUAUGGCAUUUUGGACACUCUUGUUCGUGCAUGUUUAUUAGAAGAGGUGGAAGAUGAUAAAGUAAAAAUGCAUGACGUUAUUCGUGAUAUGGCUAUAUGGAUAGCUUGUGAAAUUGAGAAGGAGAAGAGAAACUUUUUGGUUUGUGCAGGUGCUGGAUUAAAAGAGGCACCGGAUGUUAAAGGAUGGGAAAAUGUGAGAAGAUUGUCAUUGAUGCAAAACCAAAUUAAAACUCUGUCAGAGGUUCCUACAUGCCCUCAUCUCCAUACUCUAUUUCUUGACUUUAAUAAGGAGUUGGAGACGAUCGCGGAUGGCUUCUUCCAAUUUAUGCCUUCUCUCAAAGUUUUGAAGAUGUCAAACUGUGGGCAUGUCAAAGUUUUGAAAUUACCUAUUGGGAUGUCAGAGUUGGGUUCAUCACUAGAACUUCUUGAUAUUUCAAAUACCAACAUAACAGAGUUACCAGAAGAGUUGAAGUUGUUGGUAAAUCUGAAAUGUUUGAAUUUGAGGUGGACAAUUUGUUUAAAUAAAAUUCCAUGGCAACUAAUAUCAAAAUUUCAAGGUUACGUGUGUUGAGAAUGUUCGCUACUGGCUUUGCACGUUUUGAUGCAGCAUCAGAAGACAGCGUUUUAUUUGGUGGGGGUGAAGUUUUAGUACAGGAAUUGGUCGGUCUGAAAUAUUUAGAGGUAUUGGAGUUGACCUUGGGAUGUCAUCAUGCUCUCCAAAUUUUUUUGAGCUCAAAUAAGUUAAAAAGUUGUAUUCGAUCUCUUCUCCUCCAAUUGGCCGGAGAUACAAAGUCGAUUAUUGAUGCUACGGCUUUCGCAGAUCUAAACCACCUCAAUGAAUUAUGGAUUGAUAGGGCUAAGGAGUUGGAAGAAUUGAAGAUUGAUUGUAAAGAAAUAGUACAAAAAAGGCGGGAACCUUUUGUUUUCCGCAGCCUUCACCGUGUUACUAUACAUAGCUGCCAGAAGUUGAAAGAUUUGACAUUCCUCGUUUUUGCUCCAGACCUCAAGUCUCUCGAUCUAGACCGUUGCGAUGCUAUGGAAGAAAUAAUCAGCGUCGGAAAAUUUGCUGAGACUCCUGAGAUGAUGGGACAUAUAAGCCCUUUCGAAAAUCUCCAAACUCUUCAUUUAAGAGCGUUUAACAUCUUUUCUCGACGACCUGCACGAUUGCCUUUCACUCAUCUGAAGGAAAUGGAGGUAAGUGGGUGCGAUCAGCUUAAAAAGCUUCCACUCGAUUCCAACAGUGCAAAAGAGCGUAAAUUUGUUAUUCGUGGAAAAGAAGACUGGUGGAACCGACUUCAAUGGGAGGAUGAAGCCACUCAAAUUGCUUUUCGUUCCUGUUUCCAACCUGAGCGGUUAGUCGCAAAAUUUGAUUUCUGGUGAUUGCGUUUGUCUUUUAACUCUUAUAUAUAUUCUUGUCGUUUGUUUUCUUCUCUGUUUUUAACUCUUAUAUUGCGUUUGUCUUUUGAAAAUCUCCAAUUAAAUGUUGAAUUAAUGGAAUUAAUGCUUCAUAAAUUUGCCGGCACUGCCAUCACUUUUUUUUUUUUUAAUACAAAUUGAUACUUUAUUUAUAUCUUCUUAGCGAUAUAAUUUCCUGUCAAUUGACGAACGAGAAGAACAUACGACUUAAACCAAUUCACGCAUAAACUUGCUGUAAAAAGAUAUAAUCUCACUGAAAUGCACACGUCUAGAAUGAAUAGAAUUAAAACAGGGAAAAUAUUUAAGUAUAUUAGCCCUCUUUACCGAAAAUGAAAUGACAAUAAAUUUUUUGAAAGUUUUGAUUUUCUAUGGUCAAUUCCACCUUUUGCAAUUUCUUCUGUUCUAACAAAAACCAAUUUCUUUGUUCAAGUAUUUUCGUUUGGGUAUUAAUAAUUCUCCACCGAAAGAGUGAACUCUUGCUCAAGGGAUCUCUAAUCAAUAGCCGGAAGGGCGCCGAGACCUGAUCGGACCUAGGCCCAAGUUUGGUCUUAAAGCCUGGGCUUGAGCCUGGCAAUUAAAUUAAAACAUUAAUUGAUUUCUUGAUUGAAUUGUCGUGUAAUUGAUUUAUGGGGGAUGACACAUCAACAUGCUUGAAAACACACUAAUCUCAGCAUCAUCGGUUAAUAACUUUUAGAAUUAUGGGUAAUCAAUAGUUAAGAUUAGUUGUCAUUAAUACUAAAUAUUUUUUUACUAUUUUCGUCUCUUCUAGAGGAUCUUCUAGAAAAAUGCAUCCACAACAAAAUUUAAUACUUUACAUAAUAAACAAAGCAUAAAUGUUAAAUUUAAGAAACUGCAUUGUAUUUCAGCUGAAGUUGACUUUAAUAUUUAGGGUAGAAAAAUAAUAAAUCCUUAAUGUGUUUAAUUUCUAUCACUUGUGUCAUUAAAAUUUUCUAGUCACCCUAACCAAUUACAUCUCAACCCACUUUUUUUUGGAUGAUUUUAUUUUUACACUAUUAUUUUCAUCAUUUUUUUUCCUUUUAACACCAACAUUAGUGUAUGUUACGUAACAUAAUUCAUAUUUGGAUAAUUUGAAAUUUGUUUGUGUUUUAUCUCAAAAUAGAGCUUCAAUCAAUUUGUACCUCAUAAAUUCACAAUAUCUAUGAGGGCUAAUAAGACCAAACUCUGGCAUAUUGUCAAAUGUGCUUAUCCUUUUGCUUGACAUGUCAUUUUAAAAUUGUCAUUCAAUGCCAAAAAAUCACAUCAACUGAUGGCCGACUACUUUAAUUUGAAAGCAUGCAUGCGAUCGCCAAUAAUUAUAACUUAAUUGUUAUUUUGAAAUUUUUUUCUUUAUAAUUUUUAAGUUUAAUACUACUACAUGUGCAGCACAUAAGUUGGAAAAUAUAACAUAAAAUUUGAAAAAUGUGUAGCUUUCGUUCCUUUUUUUUCUUAAAAAUGAGGAAAAAGAAUGUAAUUUUGUUUAAAUUACUGUUGUGAUAACAAUUAUUAUUUUAUUGAUUAAUUGGCAGAGAAUGGUUAUGGUUUCGCAUGGUUGUUAAAACAUUGGAAAAUCCACUACAUCAUCCGUUAAUAACUUUCAGAUUUAUGGUUAAUCAAUAGUUGAGAUUUGUUAUCAUUAAUGUUAAAUAUUUUUUUAAUAUUUUUUCUCUCUCCUAGAGGAUCAUCACAGCAAAAAUUUAAUAUUAUAAAUAGUAAACAAAAUAUAAACAGUUAAAUCUAAGAAACUGCAUUGCAUUUCAGCUGAAGCUAACUUUAAUAUUUAAUGGAGAAAAAUAAUUAAGUCCUUAAUGUACUUUAUUUACCCAUACUGAUACGCUCUUAAUUCGUGAAACUGAGCAACAUCAAAAUUAUCACUACUUCGAGCGAGUGUUUGCUCCAGAAGAAAGAACUGGAAGUUGAGAAAUGAGAAAGAAGAAAAGAAGAAGAGUCACAGCGAGGAAUAAAAGUGGUCCAUUCAUUUCAUGCCUUCCCAAAAUGACAAAAUCCCGCAAUAUAUAACAGACAAUCGAAAAUAACCAAUUUGACAACGCAACAGAAAAUGACAAAAAAGAAUCCAAAACAAACGUAGCCAAUCACAAUGCUUUUACAGAUCAUCCUAAACGACGUAGUCUCGUAGCCAAUCUAGAAGUUUCUUGUUUCGUUUGGGCCGUUGAUUCUCUUGCACUGGCUCAUGGUGAAUGUCCUCUUUGGGUUGACUGACUGUGGGUUCUCGGUUGAGCUCUUCCACUUGCGCCCCCUCUAAUGGCUCUAAUUUGAUAUAUAAAUUCGUAUCAUUCCCUCCUGCUUGAAAACACACAUUGUCCUCAAGGUGAAAUGCUGGAUAGAGCUUACAAAAGGCGUCAAAGUUUUCCCAAGACGAAUUCUUCGGUGAACUGACGGUCCAUUGAACUAACACUUGAAGCGUUGGCUUCCCCUGUUGCAAAACUAUUCGGGUUGCACAAAUGGCAGCCGGUAGCAAAAGAGGAUGGUUAUCCACACUCAACUCUGGUAAAGGAUGUGAAAUAGCAGGGUCGUUGCCAUGAUAAUGCUUAAGGACAGAGAUGUGAAAAACCGAGUGGAUUUUGGAAGUAUUGGGUAACUCCAAUUUGUAAGCUACAUACCCCACUCUAGCAAGUACCGUAAAUGGCCCGUAGUAUCACUUGGCCAACUUCUGACAGGCGCGAGAAGCUAUAGUGGUCUGUCGAUAUGGCUGUAAUUUAACCAGCACUUUAUCCCCUACUUCAAAGUGAGCUUCACGGCGAUGGGCAUUAGCUUUCUGAGCCAUUCGAUGUUGUGCUUGCCUCAAAUUAGCUUUUAAAGAUUGGAGAAGAGUAUUACGUUCAAGGAGAAUGUCCUCCAAAGUUUGGAUUGAAGUAGAGCCCUUAGCAUAAUGAGGAAUAGUUGGAGGCAAUCGGCCAAAUAAAGCUUGAUAGGGAGACAUCUUCAAGCCACUGUGGAAAUGAGAAUUAUAACUAAAUUCUGCCCAACUCAGUAAGGAAACCCACUUCCGUGGUUUGUCUUGAGUGAAAGCUCGUAAAUAUUGCUCCAAUCCUCAAUUUACCACUUCCGUUUGACCAUCCGUUUGAGGGUGGUAUGCCGUGCUAUGACGAAGAGUUGUGCCACUUAAGAGGAAUAAUUGUUUUCAAAAAUUGCUCAAGAACACUGGGUCUCGAUCGGAGAUAAUUGAACUUGGAAAACCAUGUAUUUUAAUGACCAUGUCCACAAAGAGUUCAGCUGUCUUGAGGGCAGUAAAUUGACAGGGUAACGGACCAAAAUGGGCAAAUUUUGUAAGACGAUUGACAACAACCAAUAUGACCGAGAAACCUUGUGCUAACGAAAGACCUAUAACGAAAUCCAUUGUGACCUCAUCCCAAACCAUAUUAGGUAUCGGCAAUGGUUGAAGAAGACCAGCAGGGGCUUGAGUGGAAUACUUAGUUUGCUGGCAUAUUAAACACUCUCGGAUAAACGUUUCCACAUCAUGACGCAUCUUGGGCCAAUAGAAUGUUGAAGAUAAUCUGAUUAAGGUUCUAGUGACACCCACAUGACCUGCCAGUGGUGUAGAGUGAAAUUCUUGCAAUAGUACGACUUUUAAAGAGGAGGUAGGACUGAUGUAAUAACGCUGACGGUGGAGAAGAAAUCCGUUUUGAACAGAGAAGUCAACUGACAGUUUGCCUUGUAAAAGUUGCUGGUGAAGUGAUAUUAAAUCAGGUAAUGUGGUAUUCUCAUUAAGUAAUGACUGCAGCAAUUCAAAUGAAGGAUGGCUGUUGAAAGAAAGGCAAGUGGGGGAGAUGUUGAUGUUAUCCUCAGGAGCUGUUUCAUGGACACGGGAUAGAGCAUCAGCGGCGCUAUUGGUACAACAUGGUCUGUACUCAAUUCUGAAUUGGAAACCCAAUAAUUUGCGGAGAUAAACUUGCUGAUCUAGUGUUUGUAUCACUUGUUGAAGGAGUUCUUUGAUACUCUUAUGAUCCGUGCGGAUAACAAAGAAUCGGCCCAACAAAUACUGCCGCCACUUAUACACAGCUUCUACAAUUGCAUGCAACUCCUUGAUGUAAGUGGAAGAAGCCCGCAAUUUGGGACCCAACUUCUUGCUGAAAUAAGCAAUUAAAUGCCCAUGUUGUGUAAGUACAGCUCCUAUGCCUACAUUAGAAGCAUCGGUCUCAAUGACGAAUUCGAAAGUAAAAUUCGGCAACUUAAGGACUGGAGCUUGCACCAUUGCUUGUUUAAGAGCUUCAAAGGCCUCCAUGGCUGUCAAAUUCCAUUGAAAGGCAUCAUUUCGCAGCAAAUCAGUGAGUGGGGCUGCCAAGGAAGCAUAACCACGGAUGAAGCGCCUAUAAUAUCCAGUGAGACCAAGAAAACCCCUCAACUGUUUGAUAGAACGUGGAAUUGGCCAAUUAAGCAUGGCAUCAAUCUUUUGGGGGUCGGCUUGUACUCCCGAGGCUGAAACAAUACGGCUUAGAUACUCAAUAGCGGCUUGGCAAAACAAACAUUUGGAUAAUUUAAUAAAAAAUUGAUGAAGAUGUAAACAAGCUAAUACUUUCUCAAGAUGAAGCAAAUGCUCGGCCAUGGAGGAGCUAUAAACCAAGAUAUCAUAAAAAAAAACGAUCACAAAUUUCCGGAGAUGAGCUGCAAAAAUCUGAUUCAUUGUGGCUUGAAAAGUGGAUGGGGCAUUUGUCAACCCAAACGGCAUGACAAGAAACUCAUAAUGGCCCUCAUGUGUUCAAAAUGUCGUUUUGUAUAUGUCGCGGUUGUGGACACGAAUUUGAUGGUAUCCCGCGCGCAAAUCCAAUUUGCUAAAAAUGGUGGCGCCCCCAAGUUCAUCAAACAACUCAUCGAUUGUCGGUAUAGGAAAUUUGUCUUUGAUGGUUACGGCAUUUAAUGCACGAUAGUCAACACAAAACCGAUAGGUGCCAUCUUUUUUCUUGACCAAGAGAACCGGGGAGGAAAAAGGGCUUUAGUUCGGUCGGAUUAUGCCCUACUCUGACAUUUCCCUGAUCAGUUUUUCCAUUUCAGAUUUCUGGAAGUGUGGGUAGCGGUAUGGACGAACAUUGACGGGGGCUGUGUUGGGUAAUAAAUGGAUUUUGUGGUCAAUAGUUCUGUGCGGUGGUAGGCUAGAAGGUUGGAGAAAUAGGUGUUUGUAUUGCUGUAAAAGGUUGAGAAAUUGAGCAGGAAGGGAAAAAGGAAAUUCAAGUGAGGAAGUGUCUGUGAUGGAAAAUGAAGGCAAAGCAUCGAUAGCGGGCACUGGUUGUAAGGCACAAAGGCUGGUCACGGUAUCACUUUGAACCAAUACCUGCAAUUGAUUAUAAGUGAUCAAAUUAUUAGAAGACAAAUCACCAUGAAGCAUCACUGGUUGCUCAUUUAAAGAAAACUCCAUAGGACACUUUGCCCAAUUUCUGUAGCCAUUGAAUGCCAAGGACCACAUAUGUGCCCUCAAUUGGCAAAAUGAAGAGGUCUACCAUAAAAGCCGUGCCUUGCAUUGUUAAGUUCACUUGAGGACAGAACUGUUUACACACCAGGAAGUCACCGUUGCCAAUAUACACUCGGAAAUUGGUAGUUGGAUGAAUGGCUAACCCCAAUCGUUCCGCUAACGCCGGUUUUAUGAAAUUGUGAGUGUUGCCACUAUCAAUCAGCACUUGAAAGGUGUGCGAAUCAAUUUCUCCAAUUAAACGAAGAGAGCGAGGAUUGGCCUGCCCUGCUAGAGCAUUUAAGCUAGAGAUGUCACCAGUAAUACCAGCAUCUACCAAUUCUGAUGGUUCCUCGUUAUUUUUGGGUUCCAAUUCUUCAUCAUCCGUGCCCAUGAGAAGUAGAAAUUUACUGCGACAGAGAUGAUUGUUGCUGUAUUUUUUGUCACAAUUGUAACAUAAACCCUUCUCGCGUUUGUCGCAAAGUUCAGCCGAAGACAAACGGCGAAUUGGUAAUGUUGGUGUCGAUAAUAAUGCAGGUAAAGUGUUUGAUUUAUUGGUAUUGUGGGUUUGUGAGGGAAGAGUUGAAGAUGAUACGGGGGUGAUGGCUGUGGUAACAGUUGCAAGUGAUGAGGAUGGAUAAAUGGGUUUGGGUUGUGUUUGGAAACCAUGUGAAAGGGGAUAUGGUUGCUGCCAUUUAGGCCAUGAGCGUGAGCUCUGUUUCACUUCGUCAUAUUUGGCCUCAAAAGCACGAGCUAAAGUUUCCAUUAGUGAAGACGGUCUAGAGAAAAGCAAUUCCCGUCGAAUGUUGGGUUUCAGACCAGUGAUGAAAAAACUAAUCAAAAGAAGUUCAGAAAUUCCAGUGACCUUGUUCAUUAAAUCUUCAAAAGCUGACUGGAAAUCUGCAACCGUGGUAGUUUGACUCAAUUUGGACAAAUCACCUUGGGGAUCUUCACACAAAGAAGCACCAAAACGAUAGCGCAAGUUAGCUAAAAAUUCUUGCCAAGUAGUGAGCAAGUGAUUGUUCUUUAUCCAUUGAUACCACGCUGCAGCGCGACCCUCCAUAUGAAAAGAGACAAUCCGUAGUCGGAGGAUCUCAGGUGUGUCAUGAAAGUCAAAAAAUUCUUCUAUUCGAAAAAUCCAUCCAUUUGGGUCAGACCCAUCGAAUUUGGGCACAUCCAUUUUCAUGGAACAAAGUACUGGAGAAACUUUAGAACCAGUAAGAACGCCAUCAUAUUUAGAAGAUGAAGGGUGUGAAGGGUUGGAGGAACCAACUGGUUUGUUGGAAGACCCAUGAAUUUAUGUACGUAACUCCUCAAAACGAGAGUCAACUGAUGUCAUGAAUUGUUGGAUUGUUUGAUGGAUGGACAGUUGCUACCCAUCAAGUUUGGCGUCAAAAGUUGCUUGAAGGGUCUGUAAAGCAUAAAGAAUUUCAGAAUUUGCCAUGAUCAAUGAAAGCACCAGUGAUACGCUCUUAAUUCGUGAAACUGAGCAAUAUCAAAAUUAUCACUACUUCGAGCGAGUGUUUGCUCCAGAGGAAAGAACUGGAAGUUGAGAAAUGAAAAAGAAGAAAAGAAGAAGAGUCACAGAGAGGAAGAAAAGUGGUCCAUUCAUUUCUUGCCUUCCCAAAAUGACAAAAUCCCGCAAUAUAUAACAGACAAUAAAAAAUAACCAAUUUGACAACGCAACAGAAAAUGACAAAAAAGAAUCCAAAACAAACGCAGCCAAUCACAAUGCUUUUACAGAUCAUCCUAAACGACGUAGUCUCGUAGCCAGUCUGGAAGUUUCUUGUUUCGUUUGGGCCGUUGAUUCUCUUGCACUGGCUCAUGGUGAAUGUCCUCCUUGGGUUGACUGACUGUGGGUUCUUGGUUGAGCUCUUCCACUUGCGCCCCCUCUGAUGGCUCUAAUUUGAUAUAUAAAUUCGUAUCACAUACAUGCGGUUAAUUUUUUAAGAUAAAGGGGAAGGAUGAUGCUCAAAAAUAUAAAUUAUAGAAUUAAUUGAACUCUCAAAUAAGUUUAAAGUUCAUUAUUUUUAAUUACAUGUUUAUAAUUUAUUUUUAUUUCGUAUUAAUCUAUAGAUCUAAAUCCACUUUGGAUUCAUAUACACAUAUAGACAUAAUGUGUAUGUUAAUCUAUAGGUCUAAAUUCACUUUAGGUCUAUAUAGGUAUUUUGACAAAUGUACUCCAAUCAUGCAUAUUGGCAAGUUCAAAUUCAAUUUGGAAUAUGGUCAUGGUACGUUCUUGUUCUUCCCUCUUUACGAGUGCAUUCCCCCCAACCUCAAGCUCCCUCUCUCGUCUUCAAUGUCACUGCUUAUAUCCUUAUGUUGUUCUAGUUUGAAACAGUGGCUUCCACUAUUUCAGGGCCCCCAAAAAUCCAGAAACAUACUAUUCAUCACGAUGACAAAAUUUUGGGCAGGCAGGUGCUUCCUGACUUUCACACGGUAAUUCUCAAAUUCUGAUUUCACCAUAUUUUAAUUACUGAUUAUGCUCUCCAUUAUAAUAGAAGUCGCCGCCACACUAGUGAUUCCAAACUUUAUCUUUUUUCCUUUUUUAAAUUAAUGCAAGUAGCCGCUGUCCUUUUUAUUAAUUAAUUAAUUCGGCCGCCCACAUUUCUUUUUCUAAUGUCUUCUACUGUCGAGUUUAUUUUAUUUUCCCUUUAUUCUUAAAAUAUACUUAUAAUAAUAAAAUAUAAAAAUAAAAAUAAAAAUUAACAUAUCAAAAUAUAAUUUAACAGAAAAUUAAGAUGAAAAAUAAAAAAAAAUAAAUUCUGAACAUAUCAAUCAAUAAAUGAAAAAUAAUAAUUUUUAUUUUUAUUAAAUAUAUUUUUUUCAGUAUUAAUCAAUUAUCUGAAUAACUAAAAUCAUUUAAAAAUAAAUAAACAAAUUAUUCUUUAUAAAAAAAAAAAACUUUUUAUAACACUCACUAUGCUGGUUGUAGGGUAGACGCUUUGGGGACUGAAGUUGGUAACUUCUACAAGUAGUCUUAAGUUGAUAACUUCUACAAGUAGUCUUAAGUUGACUGGCAAAUGUUCUCAGUAUUAUAUUGGUGUGUCGAUAUUAUCUCUAACUGCCUUAUAGAUAAAAAAAUAAUCUAAAUUUAAAAUUUAACAUAAAAUAAAAUAAUUGGUAGAAAAACAAUUAUGGUUCAUUUACUUAUCAGUAAUCAGAAUAGACUGAAAUCGAAAUGAGUUGUAUUACCGUUGAUGUGUUUAUGUUGUCCUCGAAUCGGAAUGAAUUAUUUUAAGUUACUAAAAUAUCCUUGGUUUGUUAUUCUAAUUAUUAUUAUUUAAUAUUUAUUAUAAUAUUUGUCAUAUCAUUAAAAAGAAAUAAUAAUGAUGAUAAUAUUAUCAUUAUUGUUUGUUACAUUAUUAUUAUUCAAAAAAAUUAUUGUUAAUAACAAUAAUUACUUUAUUUCAAUACUAAUAAUGAUAAAAUUAAUAAUAACAAACAACAAUAAUUAUUUAUUAUGCCAAAAAUAACAAUAAUAAUAAUCAUCAUCAUUUUUUUUCCCAAAGAAGCAUUAUCAUCAUUUCAAAAAAAAUAUCAUCAUUAUCAUCAUCAUUUUUGUAGUGGCUGCCUAUCGGCUGUUGCUUUCAUGUGAGAUUGACUUGCGACGCUUCAACGGCUAUUAUUUCUGGCAAUGUCAGGUGUUACUGUUUCAAUUUAGGAAGAAGCUGUUUCGUUGUGCUAACGAUGGGAGAUGUUGUGGCUGCGAUUCGGGGAGCUACUAGUUUAUUGCACUAAUGACGGCAGGUGCUGCUGCUUGAUGCGAGGUCCAUGGCCAGUUGUCAGCAGUUCGACUUUGGUAUGGGUGCUGCUGGUUCGAUUUUAGGUGUUGUCCAAUUUCAUUUUCAGGAUUUUAAUUUUAUUUUUCUUUUAUAUUUUCAUUAAUUAAUCAGGACAAAGUUGGAUUUUAGAAUUUGGAAUGAAGGUAAUUUUGUUAAUCAUGGAAAUGAGAUUCUGAUUGUCGAGAAUGAGCUUACACAAACAACUACAAAUUAAGUGAAAACAAAACGCUUUUUCUCUUUGUGUGAUUAAAACAUGAUAUGUACCAUAAAUAAAUAGGUAAAAAAUAAAUUAAUACAAUCCAAAACAGUAAACUAAUUACAAGAGGCACAAAUUUUUAUGUGAAAUACCAAAAAUAGAAAAAACCACAGCAUCUUAGUAUGAGAUAAUCUUCUACUAUAUUAAUGAGAUUAUAGCACAAAUUCUUCCUUAUAUAACACUAGAGGUUAACAACAUCAAGAAUUUCAAUAAUCUUGACUUACAAUACAGCCUAAUAUUUGUCUCUCUAAUAAGUAGAUAUCUAAAAUAACAGUCUCUAAUAAAUAAGUAUCUCAAAUAACAGUCUCUAAUAAGUAUCUCAAAUAAUAAUUUCUAAUAAGUAUGUAUCUCAAAUAAUAGUUAACAAGAGGAUAAAACAAAAAUUAAGAUUAGUAGGAUUGUAUAAGGCGAUGCUAUCAACUUAUCUUCUAAAUUUGAGAAAAAUAGUUAAAUUCACUUUUUCGAUUGUGACCAAAGAUGGAAACCUUUGCCCCAAAACCAAAGGAAUCACCAUUUCUCUCUCUCUCUCUCUCUCUCUCUCUCUCUCUCUCUCUCUCUCUAUCUCUCUCUCUCUCUCUCUCUUCUUCUACUUUUCUUAAUGUUAGCCGCCACUCGCUUUUAUUCUUUAUAGCAUUUAAAAAGCUACUUUUAAUGGUAAAUUUCAUUUAAGUCCAAAACUUAGUGAUAAUUGUACACCAAACAAUUCUUUUUGGACUAUGAGCUUUUGGGCCUCCAAAUGAGAUGAAUACAACAAAUCUCCCCCUUUAGAUCAUGUGGGGGGCACCACAAGCCUGCUCUCUGCAUAUAGUUUUUCAACUUCUCCUUGAAUAAUGACUUUGUCAUCAUACAUAACCCAUUCUCUGUUGUGUAAAUUUUCUCAAGCUGUAGCUGUUGCUUCUCAAGCACGUCUCGUAUCUAAUGAUAUCUCACAUCAAUAUGCUUAGAUUUCGAAUGGUUUAUCAAAUUCUUUGAACGGCACUCUGACUGUCGCAGUACAUAACAUAGCUGUCUCGUUUUACACCCAGCUCUUAUAGGAAAUUCAUUAUCCAUAAUAUUUUUUUGCAACCUUCAAUAAUUGUUAUAUCAUUUGCUUUAGUGGUAGAAAACGUAACUUAUUACUAAAGUUUAGAUUGCAAUGAGACUUCUCCCCCUGCAAAAGUGAGCAAACAUCCUAGAAGGAAUUUUUCGGAAUCAACAUCUUCUGCCAUAUCUACACACUUGUAACACAGGUUUGUCACCACUAAAAUAUAAACAUGCUCUGGAAAUGCCUCUAAGAUAUCUGAGAAUUUUUCAUUGUUGUCCAAUGCUCUUUUAUAAUAAAUACAAACAUAAUGAAUUUAUAAAACAUUUAGAGUAUUUUGAAUAUUAUAUAAAAUAAUUUUAAUAUAAUGCAUGAGAUAUAUUUUAUUAAUUUAAAAUGCUAUUUAAUCUAAAGAUUUAUUUAAGAUAAAUUAAUAAUUAAAUUUUUUUAAUUAUUUCAAAUAUUAAAAAUUUGUAAUAUUAUUAGUCUAUUAGAUAGAUUAAAUUAUUUAUUUUAUUUUGUAUUUAUUAAAAAAUUUUAAAGUCAAUAUUUUUAAUUACUAUUCGAAGGAUAUAAUGAUUAAAAAAAUCUUAAUAUUUUUUAUUAAAAAUUUAAAAAUUUACAUGACCAUUUCUAUAAAUAUUUAGGGUAUAUAUGAGCCACGGUGGAGAAGAUUUAUUUAAUAUUAUUGAUUUAAAUAAUAUCUAAUUAAAAAUAUACUGAGAAAAAAUUUCGGUGGGUAUUUUAGUCUUUUCAGCAAUCACAUGAUUAGCCUUUGGGCUUUGGCCUUGAAACGUCGGUCAGAAAAGUUUUAAACUGCUUAAUUGUUUUUCACUUUUAACGUUAGUGGCUGCUUAUAUUUUAGGAAAAUGAGAUUCUCACCACAGUGAGAACCACACUGAGCACAGAACGGUGCGUUUUGUGCUCAGUAUAAAUUCUAACUGUAGCGGAAAUAUCGCAACACAAACGCGCCAUUCCAAACCCACGCGCGUUCUCCCUCACGCCAGCAAAUCUCACCACGCUUCCUCCUCACUGUAAGCGCCCCCCCUCCCCGGGGGCGGUCGGCUGCGUCACGCUCCCUCACGGCGCCUCACUCUCUCGGCUCUCUUAGAAAAUUGAAUUGCGGCUUCCGCCGUGGGGUUCUCUCCUCAACUGCCGUUGUCUCGUCUCUGACAGCUGCCUUAAUCAAAUUCUGAAGGUAGUUUGCUUCAAUUCAUUACAUUAAUUUCAAAUUUGGUUUGUGUGGGAUUAUGAGUUUGUGAAGAUUUAGUUCUGUUUCAUGGUAAACUAUUUUUUGCUCAGUGUGUUGAGAAUAUCAGCACGGUUUAAAAUUCUUUUUAGAUUCUGUCGUAAAGUUUUCUUUGUAUUGGGCAAGUCAGUUACUUUAGUUUUGUGUCUGAAAACAAAAACACUUAGCUUAGUGAGUUUUAAGAGAUUUUGCUAUUUUGUUCAACGAAGCUUAAAAAGGGGAAGCUUUUAUGGCGUCUGUGAGCCGAGGCAAUUUGGAUCGGGUGCUUUUUCAGUUCAUUUGUUUGUUUCUUAUUUGGGUUCUUUAUUGUUAGAUGUUCUUUUGAGAUUCUGGCAUCUGGCAUCUGGCUACUUGCUUUUGUGGAGUUUUUUUAUUAUUUGAAUUCUGUGAAUUCUUUGUUUUCUUUCCCAAAUGAUUCCACUCUAUAAAAUAUAUAUUGUGCUUGGCUAGAAUUUUCUUUUAGAUAAUUGCAUCCUGUACAUUGGCUUAACCUGUCAAGAAUGAGAAUGAUGGAAGAUGCCUAUCUUGGAAAGAAUAUAUUGAGUUACAUAGUACCGGUUCCAAAUGAAUAAAUUGGAACUUGCCUAAAACAGGCACCAAUCCACCAUGACACCAAGCCUUUUUAAAAUUUUUUUUUUUUUAAGUUUAAAGAAACUUAUGUUGCUUCUUUAGAUCUGUUUUAGCUUAUGAUGAAUUUUGCUAAUGGUAAAAUCCCUCCCCUUCAAAGUUGGGGGAGGGGAAGCAUCUAUAUGCAUAUGUGUACAUUAUGGAGCUCGAACUACAUGUCGCAGUAAUACAUUAUUCUCUUUGCUUUGCAGGUUUUGAUCAACAUGAGUGAUUGGGAUGUAGGUCUGUGCUUGAGAGGCCGGAGUGAUGACCAGAAUUCUGUCAACCAGACCAAAGACAAUCAACUGAUGAAGUGUUGUUGUUCUCUAUAUUGAUUGUUGGAAAUUAUGUGUUAUUUCCAGAUUUUUAGAAAAUUAUGAUUGCUGGAAAUAAUUAUAUAUGUACAAUCAUUAUGUCCUCCAGCACAAGUGAAUUUCCAAACCCACAACUGAAAGCUUGCGAAAAAUUUGUAGAAAAUUUGUACAUCAAAUCCACAAGCUAAGUGUUGUAUCAGAAUAUGAAUGACAAUAAAACAAAAAUCUGUGUUCUUCAUUCUUAAAAUACUAAUACAAUACAAGUACAUUCUUAUUCUGAGAAAUAACUACCUAUUAACUCCAUAUUCAUUAUCUUGUUGAAAGAGUAGCUGCUGAAAAUGUCCAUGUCGCUGAGCUUGUAUGUGCUAUUAAAAAAAAAUUAAACAUCUUGUUGUCAUCCGAAAAAAUAAAGAAGGCAAGAUGAACAAAUAAAAAACUUAUCACUACUUACGGUGCAAGAAUUUUAUGUAGAUAUUGAAUAAACAUUAUCCUCAAUUAUUUGUCACAAUAAUUUAUAUUCAAUUCAUGGUGUGUUGCAGCAAGCUUCCAUUGUUUAACUAAAUGACAGCUGAAUCUUUACAACUAAUUAUCUUUACAAUCAAAUUUGGAAUUAAUUAAGCAAAUUACCGCUAGAAAUCGACGAGUGAAGCUAAGAGAGUGAGGCUGCAAGUCGAAUUUUUGAGACAGCCGAGAGAGUGAGGCGCUGUGAGAGAUGCAAUGGACGGGCGAGAGAGAGACGAAGCCGAUGGUGAUUGCUGCAUUGGUAGGAUUGAGGGAGAGAGCGAAAGAGCCAGAGCGUGCGUGCUUGUUCUGCCAGAGAGCGCGUAUGUUUUUUCUCAAUGCGCGUGUUGCGUAAUUAUCCAUCUACAGUGACCAUUUUAUAGUUAUCUUGAAACGCACCGUUCGGUGCUAUAUGUGGGGCUGAAUGUUGUGAGCAUAUCGGUGCUGUAUAUUUUAUUAAAAAUUAAUGCUAACAAGAAAAAACCCCUCAAUGAAUGAGGGUGAGAUUGCUAAAAAUUACGACAGGUGAUAUUUUAUUAUUAUUAUUAUUAUUGGGGGAGAAAUCCUCACCAAAGUGAGGAGAUUUUAUCAAAAUCAAAAUAAAAAUAUAACAAGAACUGAAAGUUGGGCAGCCUAAAAGCUAGAUAAACUAAAAUUCAGGCGCCUAAAAACAACCUUAUGCAAAAGAGAAGCAACAUGAGACCGAUCAAGUAAAAGAAUCCACCGCAACACCUAAAUUGGCCAAAUUAUCUGUUGGUAUUACAAGUUUCUUGUUAUAAAAGUGUAGAAUGAAGAAGGUGACGUAGUUUUAAGUUACAGCUGCAUGCCCGAUCGCAAUAUCAAAUAAUGAUUAAAUAUCAAAUAAUACUUAAAAUAGUUGCCUAGACCCGCCACAAUUUAUAUUAACUCUUAAAUUUAUAAAUAAUUAAAUUUUUAAAAGUUCGGAUUUAUAUUAAAAAAUCUUCAUAUAAAUAAAUAAUAUAUGCACUUUUACAACACAGUCUUUAAAUUUAAAUUUUUCUAGAAAAAUCUUCUGUAUAUCUUUUCUAUUAAAAAAUUUCCAUAUAAAUAAAUAAUAUACCUAAUUUAAUUGGACCCAGCGCAACGCAUAUGCAUAGAACACAUUCCGAAAAGCCAUGAUAUUCGGAAAUUGACGAAUGAAAAGUGAGGAGGCAGCAGUCAAUGCUAUUUCGGCUUGGCCCAAAAUUGAUUUAUCAGUUUGACGUGUGCCAGGAAUGAAGAACUGGAAUAUCACCAUCAAGCAAGCAACCUGCGGAGCAAUACCAUAGAAUGCACAAUCCGGCUUUGCAAGGUGACACUGGAGGCUUUUUGAAAAGUGCUUCACGCUCACUUGACAGAUUGAGCAUCCCCUCUGGAUAUUGCCCUCUCUGAUCGAAUCUGAGCACUCAAAUUUCGGUCCUCAGAUGGAGCUACAGCUUUCUCUCCAAUAACCAACAAUUUUCUAAACUCAGCACCUAGUGUGAUCAGAGUUGUUGAUAUUUGUAAAUGGAGAUCCCCGUAUUUGCAAAUGGAGACAUUUACCAAAUCACCAACAUGCUUCAUCCAGUCUACGAAAUUCUGCAGCUGAUUCAAAUCCGGAACCUGAACAAGAGUCGGAGGUAAAUCUUGAGCCAUAUCUAAAGCAGUCUGAAGUUCAAGUACUUGAGCCCUUGACAAUGGUUUUGAAAUUGGAACAUCUUGGAUUACUGCAGACUUGUGCCCCUUGGUUUCAAAGGUAAGGAAAGGCAUUGCUUGAGUACAAUUUGGAGGCAGCUUCUUCACCAAUUUUAUUUGGAGGCGAUUGGCAGCGGAUCCAGCUGCACCAAUUUCAGAGCAAAUACUGACACUACUUCGAACAGCACACUGAAGAAGUGAUAUGUCUACGGCAAAGGCAAUGCAGUCCUCAUUUUGGCUUGAGAUGCAGUAAUCAUCGAAGAGAGUUUCCUUGUGAAACUGGGCAACACAUUGAAUCCCUUCGCCACUGAGAAGGUUGCGGAGGAAGUAAGCUUUCUCUCUAGUGAGGAAGAGGUGGCAUACCUUCCCCAUGUCUAGGGCAGGUAGGAAUCUUUUUUCUAAGAGAUUUACUUCAUUCUCUGUGAGAAAUGCUUUGAACUUCAUCCCUCUGUCUCUAUCCUCACUUAUCAGUAAAAUAGUUGAAAGUGCUACAAGGAGAGAAAAGAAGAGUAUUAAGAUAUAUAUAGACAAGAAAAACAUUAGAUGUCGAUCUUACAAGCUAAUACUUCAAACAGUAUCCUAGAAAGCUAAAAACUGCAAAAUGGCUUGACAUUUGAAAAGAACACAUGCUUUUCCUCCUUAACUUGAGAAAAUGUUUAAUAUAGUGCACCUUACAGAAACAUUUAAGCAAUUAGAACUUUGCACAAAAAUAUUCAAGAAGACUAAACAAAUCAGAUGCAGUGUAUUUCUCCAAGCACAAAUGGCAUUGCAUUUUUUCCUCAACUGUAAUAUUUAUUGAUGAAAAUCAGUACAGGUCCCUCAUUUGUUAUGGAAAGCUUUCUUGUAGUCUGACUGGUUAAUUCACGGAUCUAUAAUUAUCUUGCAAAGUUACAGGCAUUUCUUUCGAUUUAAAGUCUUUGCAUCACCACCUCAUCACACACCUAGCCAAUAUUCCGUCUACUUCUACAACAAAAAGUUUUAAGUAAACGAUCCUAAUGCAUGCAGCCAAAUAAAAUGCAGUAAGAAUAUUCAACUUAAAACUCUGAAAGCCAUCUUGGUGAAUUGCCUCCUUAGGGGAAGUUCCAUGAUUUACUAUACUUGACAGGACUGAGCAAAAGCUUACAUACAACAGAUUUUGAAAAUGAUGAUGCCAAUAGAUACUCAUACAAUCCAUUGAAACUCCUAAGGUCCAUUGUUCACAGAGGUUUACAGAGUUUUGGUUAUCAAAUAGCUCAGACCUUAAUCCCAAACAAAAAACGAGUGAAAAUUAGAUCACCAGCAGCAAAUUGUAAAUUCUAACUUAACUCUUCAUCUCCUUUGUAAACAGGAGACAAAAUGGAGACACGCAAAAUGAAUAAGGAGAACAUUUGAACUCAAAUGAAAUGAGGGCACGAAAGCAAACAAAUGGCAUGCGCAAACAAACCAAGCCUCAAUCAAAAACUAAUUAACCAUUAAAAAACAAAACUGGUCAGCUUCUGGUGUUCUCAAAUUGUAUAACAAGAGAUCGACACAUCGAAUCAGAAGAACUCAAUUCAAAUUUGUCUCAAAAAUCAAAAUUAGAAGAUUUCACAUUUCGAGAGGAACAAGCGACAGGUCAGAUGCAAAAUUUUCAGCCAUAACAUGCCACAAUUAACGGUUUAUUUCCAUGGAUUUAGAGAGCUGACUGACCUUUUGGCUUUUGGAAUUGAGAAGAUCGCGCGCCAAAAUGGAAGAGGGAAAGCGAAAGUGCGGGUUUUAAUAGGGUAUUGGAUUAGCAAAUUUUAUUAGUUUGCGAGGGUAAAAUAGGAAAGUGAUAUCACUAUUAACCUUUUUUUUAAUAAGAAAAAAGAAUAAUAAAGAAUAUUUUAUUGUCAUUUGCAGCAUUUAUUUUUUUUAAAUGCUAUUAGAAAAAUACGACAACAAAGAAAUGCUCUUUUUUUUUUUUUUUUUUUUCUCGAAGGUAAAAUCAAUUAUUUAGCUCCUUAUAUGUAAUCAAACUACAUUUCUUACUUUAAGUCAUAUCCAACGGACCAACAAAGUAAUUAUUUUUUUUUUCAUUCAUUUUUGCAGAAAAUUAAUAACUUAAAAAUAUUGAAAGCUAUUGUAAAAUUUUUUAUUAUCAACCUCAUAGUUUUAUUUUUUGGGAAGAAUUGAAUUUUUUUUUUUAAUUUCCAAGAAUUUCAUUCUCUAGUUUUUCCAUUAAUAUUACUUAUCUUGAUACCCAUCUUAAUUAAAAUCUGUAGUUUUAUUCAAGAGUCAUGCUAUUCAUUCACUCACAGACCAAAGGCUUUCCGCAGCAAUAUUAUUAUUUAAAUUACAACAAAGGGGAAAUCAAAUACGUCAUACAGAAGCUUAAAGCUGAAUCUACAAAAUCUAGAGCUCUCAACUACAUAAAUUACACUUGAUGAUCCUCUACAAGAUGAAGCUUGUUCAAUAUCUCAUCCAAAGCUUGUAAAGUAACAUUAUAACGAUCUUGAGAUUGCCUGCCUUCCUCGACGACCUGCACGAUGCGUUUGUACAAAUCAUCAUACCUGUGCACCGGAUUUUUAAUAUCAAUGCCACUGCAGCUGUGAUCAAGAACAUAAGAGCGUUUAACAUCUUUUCUCCAUCAAGAAAGAAUGUAGUGAGAUGGGAUCUCCUGCAUGCCACUCUGGUUUAGAACACAAAGAAUGUGUCUGCAUAAAUAUCCUCUGAAAUUGAACAACCCACAAACACAAAGCACCUCCAAGUCGGAGGCAUUGUACAAAACAUCGAAAAUAGUUAUGUUUUACAAUCUAUUAGACAUAUUUUAUUAAAUUAAUAUAAAUUUUCUAUAAAAUAAGAAUAUAAUAUUAAAAUAAAUUCACAAAAAAUUAAAGAAUUUUGAAUGUAAAAUAAUUUUAAUAGAUUAAUACGUGAGUUUUUUUAUUAAUAUAAAAAUUAUUUAACUUUAAGAUUUUUUAAAAUCUUUACAAUAAGUAUGACUAUAUUAUUUACAUUUAAAAAUAUUUAAAUAUUAUUAACCUACAAUUAUAUUUGCAUUUGUUAGAAUUUUUUAAGUCAAAUAUUUUGCACUUCUAUAUUAUUAGAAUUAUUGCACACAAAGAAAGAAACAUAUACCUUUAGAAAUUGUUUUCUUUUAAAAUAGAGAUGAUGAUUAGUAUAAGGAUGAAAAAAAUGAUAAAGAAUAUUAAUGAUUAACGAAAUCUCUAUACAAAUUGAUUUUAGUAGGAAAAGAGUGAGAUGAAUGAUUUCUUUUACGGUUAGAAACAUAGAUGAUGAUUAUUAUAACGAAGAAAAAAAGAUAAAGAAUAUUAAUUAUUAAUGGAAUCUCUAUGCAAAUUGAUUUUAGUAGGAAAAAAAAUGAGUUAAAUGAUUUAGAGUGCGUUUGGAAUUGAGAUUGGGCAGCCAUAGAUUUUAAGUUACAAUACUGAAGUGUUUGAUAAAUACUAGCUGCUGCAGAUUGAAAGUUAUAUUGAUAUGAUUUUUCACAUGUAUCAUAGAAAAUAUAUUACAUCUUUAAUAAUUUUUUUAAAAUUUAUAUUUGCUAUAUAUUAUUAAUUUUUUUUUAUAGUUAUAACUUUUUUUCCACAGCAGUUGUAGCUUAAAAGUCACAGCAUCUCAAUCUCAAACAAAUCCUUAGACAUUCAUAGUGUGUUUAUUUUUUGGAUUGGUGAAUCAAAAUUAUUGACAACGCUAACUUCAUCUUCAUUGUUCGCAAUCCAACAGCAGCAGCAAUUGUCACCAAUAAUGAUAUCUCCAAUGAUGAUGACAAUUAUUAUUAUUAUUAUUAUUAUUAUUAAUUUAUUAAUUAAUAUAUUAAUGUUAAUAAUAUUAUUAUUAAGAUUAACAAUAAUUAGUAGUAAUACAAUUUUUUGAAUAAAAAUAAUCACAAUAAUUAAAAUACAAAUUAAUAAUUAUGACAAUAGUUAAUUAAUGUCUUUUUAGUAAUUUGUAAUAAUCUAACUCAUUUUGAUUCUGAUUAUUACAGCUUAAGUAAACAAAUUAUUAUGAUUCCUAUUUUCCUUUCCUAUUUUAACUCACUUCGAUUCCAAUCUAUUCCAAUUUCUAUCUAAUAAAUGCACCAUUAGUGCUAAAGUAAUAUUUCAUACAUAGAAAAAUAAAAACUACACCUAAGGUUAAGGGAAAGGACUUCAAAACUCUCUUUUGAUCAUAAUACAUUUUGUCCUAAUUAACUUAAAGAUUUUGAAUCUAAUAUUUUAUAAUAAAUAAAAAUAUAUUCCUAAAAUAAAUAUAAUAUCAAUAUUUAAAAUAUGUUUUAAUAUUUUACAAUCUAUCAUACACAUUUUAUUAUAUUAAAGUAGAUUUUAUAAUAAAUACAAACGUACUAUUAAAAUUAAUAUAUAAAAAAUUUAGAAAAUUUAGAAUAUUAUAUAAAAUAAUUUUAAUAUAAUGCGUGAGAUAUAUUUUAUUAAUUUAAAAUUUUAUUUUACCUAAAAAUAUGAUAAAUUAAUAAUUACAUAUUUAAAGUUAUUUCAAAUAUUAAAAAAAUUUAAUAUUAUUAGUUUUUUAGAUAGAUUAAAUUAUUUUUAUAAGAGAUAGAUUAAAUUAUUUUAAAAUACCUUAAUUGUUUUUACUUUUAACGUUACCGGCCUUUCUUUUAUUUUAUUGUAAAUUAAUGCUAACAAGAAAAAGCUAGAUCAUAUUCCACAAAAGCAAAAGUGACAAACACAAUCAGCUGGAAUCUUUUAUAAAACUACAAAUUAAAAUGGUUUUUUUUUUUUUUUGAUAAAUUACAUAUAAAAGUGGAUUCUUUUGAAUAUAAGUGGGGUAGGCUCUUUUAUUUUUUUUUAAUACUGUAUAACAAGAUUGUAGACUCCUUGAUUAAGCACAAGUAUAAAGUAGUCGAGACGAUACUUUAUGCUAGGUGUCCAUUGAAUAUUAGAUCUUCAUUUCUUUGGCCAUUUAAUUUUUUCGAGAAAUUUUUCUUACGAUCCCGGCUAAGCUUGAAGAAAAGACAACUCAACGGUUUUUUUAAAACAAGUUUCCGUUUUGGUUGGUGAAAUGAAAACGAAAUAAAGCACUUCCAUCCAAAAAUCAUUCUUCUGGAGAAAGGGAUGACAGAUUAAAGAAAAGGGGUGUACUGAAAGGAGAAAAAAGGUUCUUGCAUGAGAGCUGGACACGUUAAAAGAAGUUGAACAAAUGUCUCAAAAAGAAGCUAUUUCGCUUUCAUACUAAAGCCUAUUUGUAAUAGCAUCAGCAAUGCUCCACUAUCCACAUUCUUGUGCGGAUAUCAUUGCAAUCUACUAAUGGUAUAUAAACAUGCAUGUUGUCCCAUGAUGAUUAAGUUAACACACACUUGGAGGUACUUAAAUUAUGCCAUAAAGAGAUAUAGUUAUUACGCAUACAAAUGUUAUUCAAUGGUUAAAAUGUAUGAUAAAGAAAUCGCUUGAAUUUUUUAUUUGCCGUUACGUAAUUUUUUUAUUGAUUCCGAGUUUGAAUCUUAAAAGAAAUAAAGGGUUAGAAAAUUAAUUUGAACUUUGUCCACUCUUUAACUUAAUGAGUAUAAAAACAGAAAAUGCAGGUAAUUUAAUUUUGACAUCUAACAUUUAAGAGAUAGAGCUUGAAAGAGUCCAAUAUUAAAUUAUAAAAUAAUUGAAAUAAAGUUUGCCCCAUAAGAAAAAUUGAACAAAAAAUCUUAAGUAUGAUAUGAUGCUAGAGAAAUUAUUUAUCUCAAAACUUUUAUUAGGUAAUUAAGUCCUAAGAAUAUGUAAUUACACAUGUAACAAAAAUUAGAGAUGAGGGUCUUUUAUUAAACUACAAAUUGUAUAGUCUUUUUAAAAUUGUUAUAAAUUGGUGGCCCCUACAAUCCUCAAUAAUUGUGCCGAUAUUCACAAGUUGGUGGCCCCUACAAUUAUCAACUGUGCAAGUGCUCAUUCACAAUCUUCCAGGUCAUGCUCUUAAUAAUUGUUUUUUUUUUCUGCAUUCCCUUUCAUGCUCUUAAUAAUUGAAGAGCAUACUUUUCAAAUAUGGAGCCGCAGCUAAUGUCGCUAAUUUAAUUUGGGAUUAAAUUAGGGGACCAUUAUGUUGCAGUGUGCACUAAUUUUUGUGUUUAUCUAAACUCCUUAAAUUUAAGACAUAUUACGGCAUAAAUAAGAAUAUAACAAUAACAAAAGAGUUAAAAAGUGUAGAGAAGAUCUUGCAGAAAUAUAAAUAAUAUCUAUUUUAAAAUAAUAUCAAUAUUUAAAAUAAUUUUUAAUAUUUUAUGAUCCAUUAGAUAUAUUUUAUUAUAUUAAAGUAAAUUUUAUAAUAAAUAAAACAUACUAAAUUUAGAGUAUUUUAAGUAUUAUAUAAAAUAAUUUUAAUAAAAUAUGUGAGAUAUUCAUAUUUUAUUAAUUUAAAAUACCAUUUAACCUAAAGAUUUAUUUAUGAUAAAUUAAUAAUUAUAUUUUUGAAAUUACUUCAAAUAUUAAAAAAAUUAAUAUUACUAAUCUAUUAGAUAGAUUAAAUUAUAUAUAUUAUUUUCUAUUUAUUAAAAAAUUUUAAAAUUAUUUUUAAUUACUAUUCAAAAAAUAUAAUGAUAAAAAAAAAUCUUAACAUCUUUAUUAAAAAUUUAAAAAUUUUCAUGAUCAAUUCUCUAAAUAUUUAGGGUAUAUGUGAACCACGGUGGAGAAGCUUUAUUUAAUAUUAUUGAUUUAAAUAAUAUGUGACAAAACAACUAGGUGGACUACAAAUUAAAGUGGAUUCUUUUGAAUACAAGUGGGACAGACGAUUAGGCUCUUUUUAAUUUUUAUUAAAGGCAAGUAAAAAGUAGUCGAAUAGUCUUUUUCAAAUUCUUGUUUUAUUGUUUUUCAAAACUAACAAGAAAAAGCGAGAUCAUAUUCCACCCCAAAAGCAAAAGUGACAAAACAACCAGCUGUAUUCUUUUAUUAAACUACAAAUUAAAAUGGAUUCUUUUGAAUACAAGUAGGACAGACGAUUAGGCUCUUUUUAUUAAACGCAAGUAAAAAGUAGUCGAAUAGUCUUUUUCAAAUUCUUGUUUUAUUAUUUUUCAAAAUUAGUUUUUGGUAAUUACUGUUUUUCCUUCAAAAGUUAGCGGUUCAUGUUUGCAAGUGUGAAUGUGCGAUGCUCUUUUCUUAAAGGCAAUUACAGUGGGGCCCGAAUGCCUAAAUCUUUUUAAAAUUUUUGCCGUAUAACGAACAGAGGUCAUUACUAAAAUUUCUCUUCCACAGCCUACAGCAGCUUCAGUUUAUCAAACUCAAUCAAUUUUCUUUCUUAACAAAAUUCCAAAGAUGUGUAGCAUUUUUCAGAUCGCAUGCGAUGGUGCUCUUUUCAAUCGUUGCUUGGAUUGCUUUCUUGGAAAAGCAGCAUACCUUCGUAACCUCCCAGAUAAUCUUGUAGACUUGGAGACUGAACUGGGAAGACUAAUCGCAGCAAAGAACGAUGUGAUGAUGAGGGUUGUCAAUGCUGAACGGCAACAAAUGAGAAGGCUGGGCCAAGUGGAAUGGUGGGUUUCGAGGGUGGAUGCUGUUAAAACUGGAGCCGAUGAACUUAUCACAGACGGCUCUGAAGAAAUUGGCGAAUUAUGUGUUGGAGGCUACUGUUCCAAGAACUGCAGGUCAAGCUACAAGUUCGGAAAACAAGUGGCUAAAAAGCUACAAGAUGUGAAGGCUUUAAUCGCCGAGGGAGUUUUUGAGGCGGUGGCUACUGAGGUGGUGCCCGAGAGAGCUCCGGAACCUGUAGCAGAUGAAAGACCCAUUGAGCGAACAGUAGUAGGCUUGCAAUCACAACUUGAACAAGUCUGGAGAUGUCUUGUAGAAGAAUCAGUGGGAAUCAUUGGCCUAUAUGGUAUGGGCGGUGUUGGUAAAACCACACUGUUGACCCAUAUCAACAAUAAAUUUCUUGAGAGUCCCACCAACUUUGAUUGUGUGAUUUGGGUCGUAGUUUCAAAAGACCUGCGACUUGAAAAAAUUCAAGACGAUAUUGGGAAGAAGAUAGGUCUGUCUGAUGAUUCAUGGAAGAAUAAAAGUUUUGAGGAGAAAGCUGUAGACAUCCUGCGGAGUUUAGGAGAGAAGAGAUUUGUAUUGUUGUUAGAUGAUUUAUGGGAGCGGGUUGAUUUAACAAAAGUGGGCGUUCCACUUCCCGGACCACAAAAUACUACCUCAAAAGUCGUAUUCGCAACCCGUUUCAUCGAUGUUUGUGGUAGCAUGGAAGCUGACAGGAAGUUCCUAGUGGCGUGCUUAUCAGAAAAGGAUGCUUGGGAACUGUUUCGAGAAAAAGUUGGGGAAGAAACUCUUCAGAGUCAUCAUGAUAUCGUUGAGCUAGCCCAAAUUGUGGCCAAAGAGUGUGGUGGUUUGCCACUCGCACUUAUUACUAUUGGUCGAGCUAUGGCCUGCAAAAGGACAGCCGAGGAGUGGAUACACGCAGUUGAAGUGCUAAGAAGAUCAGCUUUUGAGUUUGCAGGUUUGGGAAAAGAGGUGUAUCCUCUUUUAAAGUUUAGCUAUGAUAGUUUGCAGAAUGAGACGAUUAGAUCUUGUUUCUUAUAUUGUUGUUUAUAUCCCGAAGAUUAUGGAAUUCUUAAAUGGGACUUGAUUGAUUGUUGGAUUGGUGAGGGAUUCUUAGAGGAAUCUGACAGGUUUAGUGCAGAAAACCAAGGUUACUACAUUGUGGGCACUCUUAUUCAUGCGUGUUUACUAGAAGGGAUAGAAGAUGAUAGAGUAAAAAUGCAUGACGUUGUUCGUGAUAUGGCUCUAUGGAUAGCUUGUGAAAUUGAGGAGAGGAGACACUUUUUGGUUUGUGCAGGCGCUGGAUUAGAACAGGCACCGGCUGUUAGAGAAUCGGAAAAUGUGACAAGAUUGUCAUUGAUGCAAAACCAAAUUAAAAUUCUGUCGGAGGUUCCCACAUGCCCUGAUCUCCUCACUUUAUUUCUUGACUUUAAUGAGGAGUUGGAGAUGAUCGCGGAUGGCUUCUUCCAAUUUAUGCCUUCUCUCAAAGUUUUGAAGAUUUCAAACUGCGGGAAUUUUACUUUUCAAUUACCUUUGGGGAUGUCAAAGUUGGGUUCACUAGAACUUUUUGAUAUUUCACGCACCGAAAUACAAGAGUUACCAGAAGAGUUAAAGUUGUUGGUAAAUCUGAAAUGUUUGAAUUUGAGGUGGACAAGCAAGUUAAUUAGAAUUCCACGGCAACUAAUAUCAAAUUCUUCAGGGUUACGUGUGUUGAGAAUGUUCGCUACUGGCUAUGAAUGUUUUCAUGAAGCACCAGAAGACAGCGUUUUAUUUGGUGGGGGUGAAGUUUUAGUACAGGAAUUGCUCGGUUUGAAAUAUUUAGAGGUAUUGGAGUUGACCUUGGGAAGUUAUCAGGCUCUCCAAAUCUUUUUGAGCUCAAAUAAGUUAAAAAGUUGUAUUCGAUCUCUUUUCCUCCAGUUGGCCGGAGAUACAAAGUCGAUUAUUGAUGCUGCGGCUUUCGCAGAUCUAAACCACCUCAAUGAAUUAUAUAUUUAUGAAGGUAUUGAGUUGGAAGAAUUGAAGAUUGAUUAUACAGAGAUAGUACGAAAAAGGCGGGAACCUUUUGUUUUCCGCAGCCUUCACCGUGUUACCAUAUUUAGUUGCGGUAAAUUGAAAGAUGUGACAUUCCUCGUUUUUGCUCCAAACCUCAAGUCUCUUGAGCUAUUGCAAUGCGAUGCUAUGGAAGAAAUAAUCAGCGUCGGAGAAAUUGCUGAGACUCCUGAGAUGAUGGGACACAUAAGCCCUUUUGAAAAUCUCCAAAGUCUUCAUUUAUCGUAUUUACCAAUUUUGAGGAGCAUCUACUGGAAGCCAUUGCCUUUCACUCAUCUCAAAAAAAUGGAGGUACGUAGAUGCGAUCAGCUUAGAAGGCUUCCGCUCGAUUCCAACAGUGCAACAGAGCGUAAUGUUGUUAUUCGUGGAUACACACUCUGGUGGAACCGACUUCAAUGGGAGGAUGAAGCCACUCAAAUUGCUUUUCGUUCCUGUUUCCAACCUCGUUCCUGAGCAGUGGUCGCAAAAUUUGAUUUCUGGUGAGUGCGUUUGUCUUUUAAAAAGAAGAAUUUAAAAGAAAUUUAUUCUUGUCGUUUUCUUCACUGUUUUUAUUUGAUUUCUGGUUAGUUUCUUUCUCUCUCUCUCUCUCUUUGUCUUCUGCAAAUCACAAUUAAAUGUUGAAUUAAUGGAAUUGAUGCUCUGGUUUUUUACUUUUUGUUGUCAAAUUUUGCCCUGUUCUAUCUUCUUAGCGAUUUAAUUUCCUGUCAAAAGACGAGCGAGAAGAACAUAUAUAUGACUUAAACCAAUUGAUACUUUAUUUAUGUGCAUUGUAUGUAAUAAAUAUUAAGUAUACUUUAUUUUUGCCCUGUUCUCUGUUUUUAUUUCAGUCUCUCUCUCUCUUUCCUGUCUUCUGCAAAAUAUAAUCAAUUAUUUUCAAAAUAUCAUUGAUGAUUUUUCUGCUCUAAUGCUAUGUAAAUAGUAUGUUAAGUAAAACAUAAUCAAUUAUUUGUGUUUUAUCUCUAAUUAGAACAUCAAUCAGUUCAGUACCUCACAAAUAAUUCGCAAUAUCUACAAAAUACUAUAAUGGCUACAAAACAAAUCCUGCUUGCAAAUUGUCAAGGAUACCUAUCCGUUCGCUUGACAAGUCAUUUGAAUAAAUAUUGUUCACAUUCCUUACUCUAUCAAUUAUCCAAAGCACCAUCAAUGGUCCUCAACUUUAGUUUGAAUAGUAUACAUGCCAUCACCAUUACCAAGAAUCAAGCAUGGAAGAGUCAUUCUAUAGAGUUAAUCGAAGCAAGGAAUGAUGUAUCAGAAAAUAUUUGGUGGAGAAUUCAGCACAAACAUAUUUUGGAUGAUCAGAAUCAAUAAAACCUGGUGGUUGCGCCAUAUAAACAUCUUCGGAAAGCUGACCUUGAAGAAAGGCGUUAUUGAUAUCCAAUUGACGAAGAGGCCAGCCAUGACUAACAUCAAUACUAAGAACAAGCCGUACUGUGGUGGACUUAACAACUGGACUGAAAGUGUCAUAAUAGUCCACACCAGGCCAUUGAUUGAACCCUUUGGCAACAAGAUGAGCUUUAAACCUGUCAACAGAACCGUUGGAAUGUCUUUUAAUACAAAAAUCCAUUUGCAGCCAACAAUAUUGGAAGGGAUGGGAGGUGGAACAAGCUUCCAUGUCCCGUUACGAACAAGAGCAUCAUACUCUUCUGACAUAGCUGGACGCCAGUGAAGAUUUUUGAUAGCUUGCGUCACAGUUGUAGGUUCACAAUCAGAAGAAGGGCUAAAAUGAGCACGGAGGUUAAGUUUUUGUAACGGCUUGUGAAUCUUAUUUUUAGCUCGGGUAGUCAUAUCAUGAUGACUUGUGGGGCAAUGAUCUAGUGGAGUUUAGGAAGAUGAUUGAACAGGAAGUGAAGAAGUGCUUUGUGUAGAGGUAGAAGUAGGUUGGGAGGAUUGCUGCGGAGAUGUUACCGGUAGAGAAGAAGGAGCAGUACACGGUGGCAACUCCAGAGGGCCCACAAUAGAUGGAGUAGGUGCCGACAAUGGAGUACUAGGAAAUGAAACAGGAAGAAUUGGUGGAACACUUGCGUAAUUAGGAGUGGUAGAUGAGCUUGUAAUGAUUUGUAUGGAAAAACAAACUCUACAAAUUUAACGUGACGUGAAAUAAAAAUUCAACCCGAUUGCAUAUUUAAGAACAUCUCAAAUGAAUUGCUUACUGCUAUCAUCAUCAUUAUUGUCUAUAUAAUAAUGGAUCUUUAUUAUAUAUAUGUUUCCACUAAAAUAUAUUUAAUUAUUCUUUAUUUUUCUAUUGUUGCGUGUAAGAUUUAUUUGAGUUCUAAGUUAUAUCAAUACAAAUGUUAUCUUAUCCAUAAAAAGUUAGAUCCAACAAUUAUGAAAAUUACUAUAGAGUUGCUUUCAAUUAUUUUUUUAAAAUACCAGGAGUAAAUAAUAAUUAGUUCAAAUGGUGGAGACUAAAAUGCGUUCACCUUUAUUUUUUAUCUGUUAUUUACUUUUGUCAUUACAUUAAUGCACAUGCUAUACAUUUGAGACAUUCCAUUAAUUGCCAAUUAUGUAUGUGAGAUAGUAAUUUAAAUUAAAAAAUAAAAGUGAAAGUUAAUCCUAUGCAAUGUGAAUAAAUUUCUUUCCUUUUUCCUUUACUCUUUUUAUUUGACAAUAAAGUUUCCAUCUAUCAUCUAUCAUCUAUGUACACAAAAUUUCUGCAACAAGUACAAAACAUAAAAAUAUAUGAAUAUUAAGGGAAACACGCAGAAGUUCAUCAUUUCAAUGUUCAGUAUUACCAAUUUUGGCAUUAAGCUUGUACGAAUAUAUUCUACUUCGAAAGCAAAAUAUUAGACUCGUGAUUUUAAUUCAUUCAUUAUCUCUCAUUUUAAUCCCAAAAUAUUCAAGAGUAUCCAAGUUACCAUAAGACUUCAGAGGCUCGAGCCUUAGCCAGAGAUGGUUAAUUGAUAGACUAUGUGCCUGGGUCGAGCACUGGAAGCCUGCAAUGCAGACUGAUUGAUUUAUCAGUUUAACGUGUGCCAGGAAUGAAGAACUGGAAUAUCACCGUCAAGCAAGCACCCUGUGGAGCAAUACCAAAGAAUGCACAAUCUGGCUUUGCUAGGUGACCCUGGAGGCUUUUUGAAAAGUGCUUCAUGCUCACUUGCACAGAUUGAGCAUCCCCUCUGGAUAUUGCCCUCUCUGAUCGAGUCUGAGCACUCAAAUUUCGGUCCUCAGAUGGAGCUACAGCUUUCUCUCCAAUAACCAACAAUUUUCUAAACUCAGCACCUAGUGUGAUCAGAGUUGUUGAUAUUUGCAAAUGGAGAUCCCCAUAUUUGCAAAUGGAGACAUUUAACAAAUCACCAACAUGCUUCAUCCGGUCCACGAAAUUCUGCAACUGAUUCAAAUCUGGAACCUGAACCAGAGUCGGAGGUAUAUCUUGAGCCAUAUCUAAAGCAGUUUGAAGUUCAAGACCUUGAGCCCUUGACAAUGGUUUUGAAAUUGGAACAUCUUGGAUUACUGCAGACUUGUACCCCUUGGUUUCAAAGGUAAGGAAAGGCAUUGCUUGAGUACAAUUUGGAGGCAGCUUCUUCACCAAUUUUAUUUGGAGGCAAUUGGCAGCGGAUCCAGCUGCACCAAUUUCAGAGCAACUACUGACACUACUUCGAACAGCACACUGACGAAGUGAUAUGUCUACGGCAAAGGCAAUGCAGUCCUCAUUUUGGCUUGAGAUGCAGUAAUCAUCGAAGAGAGUUUCCUUGUGAAACUGGGCAACACAUUGAAUCCCUUCGCCACUGAGAAGGUUGUGGAGGAAGUAAGCUGUCUCUCUAGUGAGGAAGAGGUGGCAUACCUUCCCCAUUUUGUCUAGGGCAGGUAGGAAUCUUUUUUCUAAGAGAUUUACUUCAUUCUCUGUGAGAAAUGCUUUGAACUUCAUCCCUCUGUCUCUAUCCUCACUUAUCAGGAAAUAAGUUGAAAGCACUAUGAAGAGAGAGAGAGAGAGAGAGAGAAUUAAGAUAUAUAGACAAGAAAAUAAUUAGACGUUGAUCUUACAAACUAAUACUUCAAGCAGUAUCCUAGAAAGCUAAAAACUGCAAGAUGGCUUGAAAUUUGAAAAGAGCACAUGGUUUUCCUCCUUAACUUGAGAAAAUGUUUAAUAUAGUGCACCUUACAGAAGCAUUUAAGCAAUUAGAACUUUGCACAAAAACAUCAAGAAGACUAAACAAAUCAGAUGCAGUGUAUUUGUCCAAGCACAAAUUGCAUUUUGUCCUCAACUUUAAUAUUUAUUGAUGAGAAUCAAUACAGGUCCCUCAUUUGUUAUAGAAAGCUUUCUUGUAGUCUCACCAGUUAAUUCACAGGUCUAUAAUCAUCUUGCAAAGUUAAGGGCAUUUCUUUCGAUCUAAAGUCUUUGCAUCACCACCUCAUCACACGCCAAGCCAAUAUUCCAUUUACCUCUACAACAAAAAGUUUUUAAGUAAAUAAUCCUAAUGCACGCAGCCGAAUAAAAUGCAGUAAGAAUAUUCAACUUAAAAAUCUGAAAGCCAACUUGGUGAAUUGCCUCCUUAGGUGAAGUUCCAUGCUUUACUAUAGUUGACAGAACUCAGCAAAAGCUUCCAUACAACAGAUUUUGAAAAUGAUGAUGCCAAUAGAUACUCAUUCAAUCCAUUGAAACUCCAAAGGUUCAUUGUUCAUAGAAGUUUACAGAGUUUUGGUCAUCAAAUAGCUCAGACCUAAUCCCAAACAAAAAACGAGUGAAAAUUAGAUCACGAGCAGCUAAUUGUAAAUUCUAACUUAACUCUUCAUCUCCUUUGUAAACAAGAAACAAAAUGGAGACACGCAAAAUGAAUAUGGAGAAAAUUUGAACUCAAAUGAAAUGAGGGCACGAAAGCAAACAAAUGGCAUGCACAAAAAAACCAAGCCUCGAUAAAAAACUAAUUAACCAUUAAGAAAAAAAUUGGUCAGAGAAUGAACUCCAAAUUCAGGAGUCAAGCAAGAAGCUUUCAUUAUUUCAGAAGCUCCUGUACAAAUUAAUAAGUUAUGCUCUUUGGAAGCAAACCUAAAUUCCAAGAGAAACAGAACCCAAAAAAUUUGCAAUUAUACGCAAAGGAAGUGAAGCACAGGAUUCUAUCACACAUAGGAAUUGUAUAACAAGAGAUCGAUAUAUCGAAUUAGAAAACUCAAUUCGAAUUUGUGUCAAAAAUCAAAAUUAGAAGAUUUCACAUUUCGAGAGGAACAAGCAACAGAUGAAGUUCAAAAUUUCAGCCAUAACAUGCUAAAAAUGCUACACUUAACGGUUCAUUUUCAUGGAUUUUCUCGGGAAACAAACAGAAAAUUACGGUUUAGAGAGUUGACUGACCUUUUGGCUUUUGAAAUUGACCAGAUCGCGCGCCAAAUUGGAAGAGGGAAAGUGAAAGCGCGAGUUUUAAUAUGGGUAUUAGAUAAGGAAAUUUUAUUAGGUUGCGAGGGUAAAAAAGGAAAGAGAUAUCAUUAUUUUAUUAUCGAUAAUUAUUAAAUUUUUUUCCAAAAAAAAGAACAAGCAAGGAUUUUUUAUUGUCAUCACUAAGUUAAAAAAAAUUGUUUCAAAAUUACUUGAGUCAUAUCCAAUGGACCAACAAAGUAAUCGUUUUUAUUUUUAUUGAUUUUUGCAGGAAAUUAAUAACUUAAAAAUACUGAAAGCUACUGUAAAAAUUUUUAUUAUCAACCUCAUAAUUUUUUUUUUUUGGGGAAGAGAAUUCAAACUUUUUUUUUAUGAAUAUCGCUGUUUCGUUUGAGUUGGAUGUGAAUUCAAAUCCAAAUAUUCUUUGUUUUUCAAUUUUGAACUCAAUUUCUUUUUCUCAAGAAUGUUAUGCAGAAAUAAUUUUUACUAAAUCUUUUUUGAUGAAUUGUUUAAAUUAAACAAUUGGAAUAAGAAUUGUAACGAUUUAUCAUAAGCGUGCUAAUAUGAUAACUUGUUUUACGAAGGAUUAAUUAAUCAAUUAAUAUUAAAUUAUAUAUUAGUCAAUUAGAUAUGUGUUACAUUUAUCAUGUUUUGUAGGUGAUAGUACAUCAUUUCUAAAAGAAUAUAGUACGUUAAAAUAUUAUUUUAAUGAAGAAAAUUUUAUUAUUUUAUUAUUAGGUGACACAAUAAUAAAUGGAUUUCUGUAAGAAUUGAGAUUCUUGAUAUAAUUAUUACAUAAGGAGAAGUUUAGUUGGUUCAAUUUUGACGUGAUAAGAAGACAACACAGCACAGAAAACCCAAAUUGCCACUUCCACUAAUAAAAGAUACCUGUUUGAAAAGUAAUUAUAAACUAUCUUCUUUGUGUUAUUUCUCAAAACUUUUGUGGCACAAAUGUUAUUUCCAUUGACAACAGUACGAAAUACCACCCCUUUCACUUGAGCAGGAGCAAAGCAAAGGUAUGAUGAGCUAUCUCUGUAUAAUUGAAACGCCAUUACUAAACGAUUCUUGAUGAUGGGAGCCACCGUGCCAGCUUUGUCGCUGAUUUGCAUGAUUUAUUAGUUGUCCAGAUGGCGGAUUUUGUACUGUUACCUUCGUUUCAUUCUUCAGAGCCAUGUACUGUUCUAGGAUACCAGAGAAACCAAGGUGGCAUUGAAGUUGCCCUGGUGGUUAGUUUUCCGAUCAUUUUUUUAUUCAAUUAUUUAUGUUUUUAGAAAAAUGUAGGAAAUAUGUAGAAAUGUUGACAGCUAUGAUUUUGAAACUUUUGCCUAAAAUUGUUAUCAUUACUUGUUGUUUCUUAUUUAAAGAGAAAUUCUAGAAACAUGAAAUGAUUAUUCUACGCUUGUUUUAAUAUUGUGCUAUGAAGAUUACGAAGGUUUGAUUAUAUGUCACUAUCAAUUGCCUUAAUCGUUUGUCGUAAAUCAAUUAAGCAUUUUGAUGCGAAUGAUUCCCUAUUAAAAAAUUCAAGUCAGAGCUGAAUUGCAAAGUAGUUAGUCGUGCUUGCAAUUCAAAUUAAGUAUUGUAUUUUCUCCCUGAUUUGGUUGAUUCAACUAUGUGCAUUUGCUUAUGAACGUUGCAGUAUAGAAAUCGAAAUAUCUUGUCUUUUGCUAAGCCCAGAAGCAAAUUCUUUGUAUUCUACUCAUCAGUUUUCUUCAUUCUCUUUGUUGAAAUUUUAUCUAAACAGCGGUUUCUUCGAAUUUAUGCCUUCGCUUACUCUUUUAAAUUUUAUCCAAACAACGGUUUUGAAAUUGUUUUCACUACAAUACCUUAGUCUUUCAGAUGCUCCCGUCACUGAGUUGCCAGAAGAGCUAAAAGCCUUGGUAAAUCUUAAGUGUUUGAACCGGAGUACACAAAUUAUCUCUCUACAUUUCCAAAGCAAUUGAUUUGUUACUUUUCGAUGCUACAUGUUCCGCGAAUAUUCAGUUGUGGUUAUCUUGUUCAGAUACCAGAAAAUAGCGUUAUAUUUAGUGGUAAUGAAUUCUUGGUUUGGGAGUUGCUUAGUUUAAAACGUUUAAAUGUAUUAAGCAUCAUCUUGAAAAGUUUUUCUGCUGUCCAAAAACUUAUGAGCUUCCAAAAGUUUCAAAGCUGUACACAAUGCAUGGAGCUUGUAGACUGUGAUGAUCCAAAGUCAUUUGCCGUGGCAGAGUUGAAGCAUCUUGAAAAACUAGGUUUUUCAAGUUGUGGAAAUUUGGAAGAGUUAAAGUUCUGCUGUGUCGAAGUUGCAAAGGCUCGAGAAUGUUUUCGUUUGAACAGCCCUCACUGAGUUAAGAUGAAGGCUUGUCAUAAAUUGUGGGAAGCGACAGGUUAUUCAAAUAGAAAAAUUUAUGGAGAUGGAUGUUAAUCUUAAGGUUAUUCAAUUAGAAAAAUUUGAAUAAAAUUUAUGGUAAGUGCUUUUCCAUUUAUUGCAUAUUUAUAUCUAAUUUUUAUUUUCCUUUAUUGUUAAAUUUUGGUCUCUAUUUGUUGUUGUAUGGUGGCAUUCUUGUACAAUUAUUAGCUUUUCAUUUCUCUUCUCACAUUAACUGCCCUUCUGAUCAUGUAGGAUUUGCUGAUGCAAAGAGUCAUAAUUUGGGAUACAAAUGUAAGAAUUAGACAGAUGACAUGUUGUUUUGAAGCUCUCAAAGAAGGACUAAUUAUGUCAUUGAAAGCCUCCAAUUUUGUGAUUGGUUUCUUUUUAUUUUAUUUGUUGUUUUCUCUAUUUUCAGAUCACUUAAUUGUUAGUUGUUGUAAUGUAAUGUUUUAGUAUAGCAAAUUAUAUUCGGCCAAGACAGUGAUAGGAGGGCACAUUGUGCAUGCACACUAGUGGAUUUGGCAUGCCAAAUCCAAUUAGGAUGGAUAACACUUUAUAAGCAUUAGGCUUCUCUCAUACCUGAGUAAUAUAGAAUAUGUUUAUAAGUUGUGAAUCACCCUUUACAAGUGUUAGGCUUCUGCUAUACUCAGUGAUGUGAAAUAUAUUUAUAAGCACUAAACUUCUCCCAUACACUUUAUGUUAAUAAUAAUAAUAAUAAUAAUAAUAAUAAUAAUAAAAUAAUAAUAAAUAAACCCAUUUUAACAGACUCUUUUUUCUUUUUCUAUAUGAACAAAUGCAUUCUUCAAAGCAACUGUGGGGAGAAGAAGUGAGUAGAGAAGAACUGAGCCCCUGUCAUUCCCCUAAAACCUCACCAAAACCUCUCUUGUAAGCUUCUCGGAUUUUCUUUCUAUAUUUCUUAGGAACUCAUUUUUUAUUGAAUCACUUAUUUUGCAUGCUGCAUUUUUUGGUUGUCGUAUUUGUGUAUUAUCUUAUCUGGAAUGCUGUUAUGAUUGAUGGAACAAGUAAUCGAUUUUUGGUCUAAUGGAAGUUGAUUUAUUUAUUUAUUGUUGUUUUUAUUUGAAAUUAUGUACAAUUGUAUUUCAUUCAUUUCUCUCUCUUUUGCUUUUUUCCCCCCAUAUAUUUGUUAUGUAUAAUUGCGUUUCAUUUAAUAUUGAUCAUACUGUAGGUAACCAUGUGAUUGUAGAUGGGGAUUUCGAGUUUGUUGAAUAUUCAUGUAAGUGAAGUAACCGUCACAAUACUAGUGAAAUUGGGAGCUUUAUUCAUGAGUUUGUGGUUUUGAAAAGUACCACAGUUCAACUGGUGAAGGCUCCGUUUUGGGAUUCUUCUUUUUCUAGGCUGCAAUUAGGAUAUGUACAUGAUAGACAAUCUUUUGUUGGUUUAGCAUAUCUUCGCUGAUUUUGUCUUUUAUUCCCCAAUUUUAUAAUUACACACCAUGAAUGUUGGGUGAUUGUAUAGAAAAUUUGUGUUAUAACAAAAACAUUGUGAAGGAGUUUCCGUGCUAAUAGUUAGUGGCUUCUGUUUUAUUGGCAUUGAUUGGGUAGAUUACGUGUUACAGUGAUUCAAUUUGUGUUCCAAACUUUGCUUUAAUUUUCUGUUUUCCCCAACUAUUUAUGUCAAAUUUAAAUCCAGAAGCAUGUGCUGAUUUUUUCUUUUUGUAUUAAUCUGUGAAGUUUAUUUGGAAUGGAAGUAACUGGGUCGGGUCUAAUGGAUUAAAUUAUGACAUUGAGGGGAAGGCACUAAAAGGGUUUGCUUGACACAUUUGGUUCUGUGUUUACUCUGCAAGAAAUAACUUUUGCUUAUUGCAAUGCAGGGGGAAAUCCCGAUUUGGCUGGUGAAUUUCUCUGCAACAAACAGGCAAACACCUCAACAUCUUCUGUCCAUACUUCUGCUGGGGAGGCAAGGGGUAAAGAGUCUUCAAAAUCAUCAAAUAGUUACAUCUCUGAGAAUUCAUUUUAUGGAAAUGGAAAAUCUAGAGUUUCUAAUACAAAAUGGCAUCUGGUAUCAGGACGUACCGUUUCAAGUUUUCUUGGUAAAGAUUAUGUUAAACCUGCACAGCCAGCUAAUGGCACUUUUCUGGCAUCAAAGCCAUUGAAGUUGGAUCCAAGGGAGUUUCGCAUUUCUGCACUUUCAGAGAAGAAACUAAACCGACAAUCAAAGGAUGACCAUUUGCAGAAGGAUAUGGAAGAUUUUCUUUUUAAAUUGCUAGGAGAAGGGUUCCAGCUGUACAGGGAUGUGAUUCAGGAGGUUCAUGGUAACGUCUUAAAUAUAUUGAUGCCAAUUUAAUACAUAUUGUCCUUUUCAAUGUUCUUUCUUUCUUUCUCCUCUUUUUAUUAUUCUUCUUCUUCUUUUUUCUUUUCAUGUGCAUGUGAUCACUAAUUUGGUAUUAUUCUUGACUUGCAGAUAGUUGUGGAUAUGAAAUGCAAAAGGUAAGGGCUAUAUCUUCUUGAUGGAGGCCUCUGAUUUUUUAAAUCGCAUUUUCCUUUGUGAUUGAUAUAUCAUACCAAAGUCAAGUCUUAAAUACUGCUGUCAUAUGUUAAGGUUCAACUUCCAUUUUGAUUAACGUCGAUUUGCUACUGCUUCCAAAAGUGAGAAUGAGAUACUUUGGUUAAUUUCAGUAGUUGAACUCAAUGGAGUACUUUAUUUAGAUCUUCAUGGUUCAAAGGCCUGAAAAAACUUGCCGGUAUUUGCAAAAUGACAUCUGUGCUUUUAUUUAGACUUAUUAUUAAAGACAACAUUUUAUUUCAGCCAAAAAUGUUUGUUUCAAUUAAAGACUUGAACCAUUUUCAUUUAACCUGAUUGUGAUGCUUUACAUUAUGCAUGUUCCUCUCAAUCAAUAAAAGUUGAGGUCAUGAUUUUAUAUUUCUAUUUUGUAACUUGAAAUAAUUGGUCUGCCUGUUUCUGUUGCUUGAUAACAUGAAUUUUUCCUUCUGAAGUUAAUUUGAUCAAUAAAGUAAUUCUUCGGAGAGGAUAUGCCCAUUCUAUAGUCAUUUUCUUAGCUAACAUGUUUUUUCUUCACUCUUCAAAGCAUGUCUAAACUAAUUGAUCGCUCAGCGGAGACUUUGGGUGAGAAGACAAAAUUUCUUGGUAAAUCCUCUGAAAAGGUAUGCAUAAUUCCCGAGUAUUAAAUAAUCAUUGGUCAUAAUUUUUGUACACGACUCUUGUUUUGGAGAUCGUUAAAAGUGGUUGAUGAUCUAUUUUGUAAUAUCAUAGAGGGAUCAUGAAUUCCUUUUCUUUUCUGUGGCUAGGCAACACUUUCGAGCCAAGCUAAGGAAAUCUAUUUUAGGUAAUGUGAAAACUAGUUGUAGGAUGUAAUAGUUUAUUAUGCCCUGACAAUAACUUUUUGUAUAAUUGUCAGUUUAAUGAAUACAAGAGGAACUCUGUUGGCAAGUUCAUCCAUGAUAGAUGCUAAAAUUAUUUAUGCAUACCAGUUGCCUUAACUAAUUUUUCUCAACACUGGUAUUGAACAGGAAAAUGAAUAUGCAAUUUGUAUAUUGUGCCAUUGUGGAGAAUUUGGAUAUUCUUAUUUAAGUAACAAGGAGAGUAUUUGCCUCAUCUUUAAACAAUGAAUCUUUGAGAAAUGAGGAGUGGGUGAUUGACAGUGUCUUCAUGUAAAUGUUCAUUUAUUUGUAUUUUGAACUAUUAUGAGAAUCUUUGUAUGCCAAAUUAGUAAUACAAAUGUUCAGAUGAUUUUUCCUGUUGAUCAUGCGUGUGUAUCUGCACACAACCAUUGUGUACCACUUUAUUCUGAUGCACAAAUAUCUGUAGUUUAGAAGAAAAGAAAUAAUAAUCAUAUAUUAUUGCUUGGUUCAUGAUUAUUAAAUGAUUAUGGCUUUAGAAAAUCCACAAAUCCUUUGUGUUCAUAUAUGAAUGUGCGAAGUUCGCUAUAUCUUAGAUUACCUUCUUCCAAGAUAACAAGUUCAUAUAUUUUUUUUAAUCCUUUUUCAUCACAGUUGAAUUUCAAGUGUAAGUUUUGUUAUUAAUAGCUGGUUUCCUGUUAUUAUGAUUUCAUAAACAAUGAGAGGAUAUGUGCUCUACUUUUGGAUGGCCUCCACAUAAAAGAAAAUUGCAACAAUUGAAUUCUUCUGGAGGGUAUGGUAUUUAAUUUAUUUUCUCAGCUUGUUGUAAGACUAAUAUAUUUCCUUCAGUACGCACGGCAUGGUGGGAAGGGUUUUUAUUGAAAGAAUUAUGAUAUUUCUUAGACUUUGUUUUGGAAGGGGGUGGAGGGAUUUCUCAUCCAUGUAUGGUUACUUGAUUAGCUUUUGACUGUACUGUCUCCGUCGUGCAAAGGAAAAUCCAAAUACUAACGAAGGGGAAUUGCUUAGGCACCCAAAGGACAGAAAUGAAUUACGGAAGGAGGUUUUUGCUGCUUUAUUUAGUGCUGCUGAGAAAUCUGAUGAAUUUCCUGAAAUUACGGUGAAGACGGAGUGGAGGUCCAACGCAUUAGGAAAGGUGGUGAGUGAACCGCCAGAGGAAUUAGUACCAGAAUACAAGGCUAAUGUGGUGCACUGGCAGCAAGAUGACCAGACCUGUAUGUGCUCUUAUAUUAACUAUAUUGGCUGGAUUUGUGAGUGUGUUCAUUUUUGUGUGUAUACUCACUUUUGUAUUUAUGCAUAUUCACGUGUGUAGGAUUCUCGAUUUCUGCCACUUACUGGAGAACUAGUGGAAAGCUUUAUACUGAUAUAUGUGCUAUAUAACUAAUGGAAACUACAAUAUGAAUAUUUUCUCUCACCUGGAGAGCAGUGUAACUAAUAUAAUUUGUGGCUCUGGAAUACUGAAGAUUCUGCAAUAACUAAUGGAAAAUAUGAUAUGAAUAUUUUUUCUCACCUGGAGAACUUUGUAACAGAUACAUUUUGUGCUGGAAUGUCUAAAGAAUGCUUCAGUUUAUAUCAAAUAUCUUUUAGUUAGAAAAGAUAAAAUUCUCUGAAUCUGAAAGACUGAAACAUUUUGCAUAUUUCGUGAAAGGCAAGUAUCUGUAGAUACUAGCUCAUGCAUUGAGGUAAUAUCAAUGUUAAAGAAAAACAGCAAUAAUUUAUUAUACAGAAUUAGGUUCACUUGCUUUAAAUGCUGGUCUGAUCAACCAUAUCAACCUGUAAUGGUCCUGCAGAAAUAUAUAUACGGGGAGAAACUAGCUAAUUUUCCUUUCACUUAUGGGUUUGGUCUUUUUUUCCCCAAUUUUUCAGCUUUCCUUCUCCUGAAGUAUGUUAAUAAUUGCAGAUAAUGGCGAAGAGGACUGCUUCCAGGCUACCGGCAAAAACUUUGUGAAAGCUUUGGAGUUAAACAGGGAAUUCACUUACUGCUAAGGACAAUUGGUGGCGAGCUAUUUCAUUCAUUUUAUGUCCAUACAUCUAUUUAAUUAUUAAAGAUAAUGUACGCAUUUGUAAAUUUCAGAUUGUGUGUCUCUGAAAAUAACAAUAUUUAAAAUGUCUCUUAAAUUAUUAUAAAUUUUAAUUUACUCUCGAUUUAAAAUGGAACAUGUUGGUGAAAUAUUUUUUCUUCUUAAUAAAAUUGAAAUAAAUUAUGUUAGCAGUAGUUUGAAAUAUUUUAAAGAUGAUUAUUUUAUAAGGGAGUAAUAUGAAAUGAAAUUUACUUUUCAUGCGUGAAAUGUUGAAAAAGGACAAAGCAAGUGUCCCUGCUUUUAUUUUAUUUCAAAGUGGAGUCAUCUCACAUACUUUAGCUCUAUCAUUAGGAGCCGGCUAAGUUACGUUAAACGUAAUUUACGCCAGGCACAGCAAUAAUGACAAGUCCCAUGACUAGUAUUGUUGCUGUGUCUGACGUAAGUUACGUUUAACGUAACUUAGCCAAAGCCCUAUCAUUAAUAUAUAUUUAAAUUUAACACAUGCAUGUGGGUUACUUUUCCGUAAGUUCCUUAAUAUAUAUUUAACACAAAUCAUGGAAGAGAUGGGAGUAUAUCAAGAUGAUCAAAGCAUGAAACAAAAAUAUUUAAGAAGUAAAACACUGAAAAUGGAGAAGAGAUGCAAGCAAAAGAUAUUCUAAAGAAAAGCAAUCUAUCCCCUUUCGAGGGCAAACUUAUCAGGUUUAAGAAAAGUACAUGCUUUGGAUUGGUAGUUGCAGCCUUGCAGGAUAAUUGUUUUUGCCACUAUAUUAGUUGGAGGAGUUGAACCCAGUGAAGAAUGUUAUGGAAGAGCAAAUGAUAUUUCUGAUAGACUCUAUUUGAUUAUGUAGCCUGAAUAGAUGUCUUGUUGAAAGAUAUAUCAGUGCAUUAGUUCAUCCUUGUCUGUCAAUGUGUUUUUAAUGGUUUUUCCAAUUGUUUUUUUUUUUUUUGAAACUGAUUAAGCAUCAGGUUACUGCAUUACACAGAUAUAUAUACAACUGCUAUGACAGCAGGUCAUUACACUGAUAUUUACAAUCAGAUAUAUAUACAUGGGACUUAUAUUAUUACAUUUUUAUUCUAUGAAGUACAUGCCCAUCCCAAAUACCCCUCACGGAGGAGGGAUGUCUCUACUCCACUCGCAUUUCGCAAGGGAGAAAGACGUUUAUAGAAAUCUCCACACAAUUAUGUUUAAUUGGAGGAGGUUGAGUCCGUGGGGACUCGAACCAUUGCCCUCAAAGUCAUGCUUAACUUUGAGGGCAAUGGUCCACCACUGGGCUACAAGCCCAAGUGGCGGUUUUUCCAAUUGUUUAUUGCUAUAGAUUGAUUGUAAAUUGAUGUGAACUUAAUGUUGAAAUAUUUUCUCUUUAGUGGAAUGAAAGUUAAACAUUCAAGAUUAGAUUAUUCAAGGUCCACAUAGUAUGUGUUCCGUUGUGUUGUCUGUAAUUUUGCAUUUAAAUAAAUUUGAGUGCUGCCGUUUCGCUCCCACAAUCUCUCGCCUUUUUUUAAUUUUAAAAAUUAAAAUAUUAAUAAAAAACAAUAAAGAAAAUCGAAUCCUUUAUGUCAUUCCAUCUUUACAACUCUCUCUCACAAACUCCAUCUAACAGACUUCUCUCUUACUAUCUCGGUCGAACAAGACCAGUGACAAUGAUGACACGACCGCCGACGAUGAGAUGGUCAUCGCUAAAGAAUCGGGCCGUGUAUUUUACAAUUUCUUGGUUUGUGACAACAAUGGAAAACUCCUGAAAAUUUUGAAUUUGUAGUCGAGCAAAGGAAGAAGCAAGUUAUCUUCAAAGCAUUUUCCAGUAAUAGCUGAUGAAAUUUAAUACUUCAAGCUGGCCCUUUGCUGUCACAACUAGAUGCAUUUGCACUGUCAUUACAAUUUAUGGAAAUUAAAGUAAUUAAUGGUUCUAAUUAAUAGCUUCCCAAAAAACCAAUCUGCCCUUGUGAGAACCAAAGCAUUAAUUUCUUGUAAGAGCUGCAGAAGGCCAGAGAAUUUCAGAUCGUGAAAAGGAGUGUGUGAGUGAGAGAGAGAUCGUGAAAUAGUGAGAGACAAUGAGAGAGAGAGCCGCUCGACUGAGAUGGUGAGAGAGUUGCAAAAAUGGAGUAAGGAGCAGAUAAGAUUAUGUUUUCUUUAUUAUUUUUUAUUAAUAUUUUAAUUUUUUUAAUUAAAAAAGGGCGAGAGAUUUUGGGAGUGAAACGGCAGCAUGUUCCAAUAAAUUUUUACCAAAGUUUCUCUCGUGUUUCUCUCACCUUUCUAGAUACCAAGCAUUUUCCAAUAAAUUUUUACUAAAAACUUAGCAAGCCCUUGAAACUUUGGUCAAAAUUAUUGUUAUUAUUACUUUUAGAGGAAAAACUUUUAUUAAAACCUCAUUAACACAAUUCUUAAUUAAAAUUAUAAGUUUGUGUUGGUGUAAGGAUUUGCAGGAGCAAUUACUGCCUAGCCAAGUGUCAAAAGCACAAAAUAAAUCAAGAGAAAGUAGACAUGAAUUAGGAUCCAAUGAAAUUUAAAUCCCGGAGAAAAGAAAUAAUCAUGCAGAUUAUCAAGAUUUCAAUAAGGGAUAUUGAUAUCCUAUUUUGAUUAAUAAUAUCCUUUUACUGUGUUAACUCAAAAAAUAUGUAUAUUCUAAUAUUUUACAAUAAAUAGAAAUCUAAUAUUAAAAUAAAUGUGAUAUAUAUAUAUAUAUAUUAAAUAAUUUAAAUAUAAAAAAUAUUUUAAUGUUUUACAAUCUACUACACAUAUUUUAUUAAGUUAAUAUAAUUUUUCAAAUAAAUAGGGACAUAAUAUUAAAAUAAAUUUAUAAAAAUUUAAAUUAUUUUGAAUUUAAAAUAAUUUUAAUAUUAUUAAUAUGUUAGAUAUGUUUGAUUAAUUAUAAAAAUUAUUUACGCAAAUUUUUUUAAUAUUUUCAGUAGAUAUAAAUAUAUUACUUACAUUUUGAUUAUUUAACUAUUAUUAUUCUACAAUUAUUUAUAUAAUGUUUGCACUUAUUAGAAUAUAUUUAAAGUCAAAUCUUUUGCACUUCUACCUAGCUAGAAUUAUUGGACGCAGAGAAAUAAGCAUAUAUGCUUUAUAACUUUAGAAAUCGAAUUAUCUAUACAAAUUGAUUUUAGCUGGAAAAAAAGUGAGCUGAAUGAUAUAGGCGAUUAGUGUGGUAAUAUUUCAUAGAGUUAGACUAUUGAAUUUGGCACCCCUCCAAUCUUCUCAUGAUUACCUUUUUGAGUUAUUAAUACACUUCUAAUUUUUCGUUUAAUUUUUUUUAUUGUUAUACUCAAAGUAGUAUUGUGAUAUUUUAUAUUUCUUUUGCAAUCUUAUUAUUAUUUUACACAAAAUUAAAAAGUUUUCUAGGUGAUGAACUUUUGAGUUUUGAACAUUAAUCAUUGGCUUAAAUUUCAUAUAUUUUACAUUAUAAUUUGAAAUUAAGUACGAAAAUAUUUAAUAAAUUAUGAAAAGAUUAACAGAUUAUUCUAAAUUGAUACAACUUAUUUUAGUUAAAUAAAAAGUAACAGGUAAAAAAAAAAAGGAUUGGUUAUGAAAUUUGUUGGAAAAAAAUCUGUGUGUGUUUAAUUUUUAUUUGUCCUUAAUUGUAAUUUAUUUGAAGUGAGGUUUUAUAAGGAUAAUGAAGGGGUGCCAUAGUUUCACUCUAUUUCAUAUGGAGAGAGAAGUAAAAGGUACACCUGAGGUUAAUGGAAAGGACUUCGAAAGUUUCUUUUGAUUAUAAUACUGUUUGUUCUAAUUAACUUAAAAAAUUUUACUUUAAUAUUUUAUAAUAAAUUAAAUUUUAAUCUUAAAAUAAGUAUAAUCAUAUAUUUUAAAAUAAUCUUAAAAUAAAUACAAUCAUAUAUUUUAAAAUAAUCUUAAAAUAAAUACAAUCAUAUAUUUUAAAAUAAUCUUAAAAUAAAUACAAUCAUAUAUUUUAAAAUAAUCUUUAUAUUUAAAAUUUAUUUAUUUGUACAUAUUUUAUAAUAAAUAUAACACAUACUAUUAAAAUAAUAUAUAAAAAAUUAAAGUAUUUUGAAUAUUAUAUAAAAUAACUUUAAGAUUCUUAAUAUGUAAGAUAUAUUUUAUUAAUUUAAAAUUCUAUUUAAAAUUUUAUUAAUUUAAAAUUCUAUUUAACCCAAAGAUUUAUUUAAGAUAAAUUAAUAAUCAUAUUUUUUAAAUCAUUUCAAAUAUUAAAAAAUAUUUUGAUAUUACUAGUCUAUUAAAUAGAUUAAAUAUUUUUAUUAUUUUGUACUAAUCAAAAGUUACAGCUCGAAUGAUAUUAUGAGAACAGAAUUUUUAUGUCUUUAUUAAAAAUUUGGGUUUGUAUAAUUAUUUUUUCAAAUGUUAGGGGCAUAGCUGUCUUUUUACUUUUAUAUAUGUGAACCGCGGUGGUGAAAAAGUGUGAUUUAAUAUUAGUUAUUUAAAUAAUAUCUGAAUUAAAGAUGUACAGAGAAGAAAUUUCGGUGGGCAUUUUAGUCUUUUAACGAUUAUCAUGAUUAGGGAUUAGGUCCUGCUCUUGAAACGUUGGUCAGAAAAGUUCUAAAAUGCGUACAUUAUCUUUACUUUAAAAAAGUUAUUUUAUUUUAUUACAAAUUAAUGCCGACAAGAAAAAGCAAGAUCUUAAANNNNNNNNNNNNNNNNNNNNNNNNNNNNNNNNNNNNNNNNNNNNNNNNNNNNNNNNNNNNNNNNNNNNNNNNNNNNNNNNNNNNNNNNNNNNNNNNNNNNAUAAAGAUGAAGAAAAGGGCAAAAAAAUAUUAAUGAUUAACGAAAUCUCUAUCCAAAUUGAUUUUAGCAGGAAAAAAGUGAGCUAAAUGAUGUAGACGAUUAGUGGUAAUAUUUCAUAGAGUUAGACUAUUGGCACCCUUCCAAUCUUCUCACGAAUCCUCUUUUUGAGUUAUAUUUAUUUUAUUUUUAAAAUAUCUUUUUUCUCUUUUACUACACUUCUAAUUUUUCAUUUAAUUUUUUUAUUGUUAAACUCAAAGUAGUAUUGUGAUAUUUUUAAUUUCUUUUGCAAUCUUAUUAUUACUCUGCAUAUAAAUUAAAAAGUUUUUUAGGUGAUGAAUUUUUGAAUGUUAAUCAUUAGCUUAAAUUUCACAUAUUUUACAUUACAAUUUGAAAUUUAAUAUGAAAAUAUUUAAUCAAUAAGAAUUAUGAAAAGAUUAAUAAAUUAUUCUAAAUUUAUACAACUUAUUUUAGUUAGAUCAGAAGUAGCAGGUUAACAAAAGAAAGGAUUGGUUAUGAAAUUUGUUGGAAAAAAAUCUAUGUGUGUUUAAUUUUUAUUCGUUGUUAACUCUAAUUAAGUAGGUUAAAUAUUUUUGUUAUUUUUUACUUAUCAAAAAAUUUAAGAUCAAUAUUUUUAGUUACCAUUCGAAGGAUAUUAUGACAAAAACAGAAUUUUCACUUCUUUGUUAAAAAUUUGGGGGUUUGUGUAACUAUUUUUUCAAAUGUUAGGGGCAUAUCUGUCUUUUUACUCUAUAUAUAUGAACCAUGGUGGUGAAAAAGCGUGAUUUAAUGUUAUUUAUUUAAAUAAUAUCUCAAUUAAAAAUGUAAGGAGAAGAAAUUUCGGUGGGCAUUUUAGUCUUUUAACGAUUAUCAUGGUUAGGCCCUGGUCUUGAAACGUUGGUCAGAAAAGUUCUAAAAUGCGUUCAUUUGUCUUUACGCCAACAAUAAAAAGCAAGAUCUUAGUGUCCCACAAAAGCAAAUCGUAAUAUUCCGCAAUGGAGUUAGAUCCGCAAAAGCAAACAAAUUCUUUUAUUAAACUACAAAUUAAAGUGGAAUCAUUUACUAAACAACAAAUUAAAUUUGAAAUAUUUAAAUAGUCGUGCGUUAGACGAUUAGAGACUCUUAUUAAAGGCAAGUACAAAGUAGUGAAGAAUCGAAUAUUUCUAUUGUCUAGUCUUUUUUUAAAAAAAAUUUUCUUUUAUUAUUUUUCAGAAUAUGUUUUGGUGAUUACUAUUGGGUUAUUAUUCAGAGUUAUUGUUAUCUUCCGGGGCAGUUUCUGUUCAUCGAAUUCGUUAAUAAAAUUUUAAAACUCUUAUUGAAAGAAUGUUUUUCCGUUAUCUUUUUUAUAAUCUAAUUUUAAGUGUAAGAAGUAGUCAUUUUAGAAUUUGGGUCUUGAAUCGAAUUUCAAUGCAUGAAUUAAUAUUUAAAAAAAAUUUACUACAUGCAGUUUAGGUUACAAACUAUUUUUUGCAAAGUUGACUAUGAAAUUGGAGAAAUUAAGUAAUUUAUAAUGUUUGCAAAGAAAGAGACCAACAUACUUCCAAUUACACUAUAUCUCAAUUAUCAUAAUGUUAAGAUUAAACUAACUUAAAAUAAAAUUUAUUUAAAAAGUUUAUCAAACGCAGUCUAAUUUUAUUAACUUGAAGAGAUAAUAGUUAUAGAAAUUAUUAUUCUAACUUAAUUAGUAAAAGUGGUAUAAAGGUUAAGUGUGCACUAAAUCUAUUUAAAUUUUUUUCCAGUAUAACUAACAGAGGUCAUUACUAGAAUUAUAUUACUAGUCUAUUAGAUAGAAAAAAUUAUUUAUAUUGUUUUAUAUUUAUUAAAAAAAUUUAAAGUCAAUCUUUUUAAUUACUAUUUAAAGGAUAUUAUAAUUAAAAAAAUUUUAAUGUCUUCAUUAAAAAUUUAAAAUUUUAUAUGACCGUUAUCUAAAUAUUUAAAGUGUAACUGUCAUUUUCUCAUAUAUAUAUAUAAUUUCAUCAACCCCUUAUACUUUAUGUUAUUUAUAUUUUAUUCAUGAAUAUUAUAAAUUUUUUGAAAUAUAAAAUUUCGUUUAACCCUUUAUACUCAAUUUUAUUUUAUUAAAACCCUAGAGUAUGAAUUCGUCCCUAUAAUAUUAAAUUCUCAAAAUAACUUCCAUUUAAUUAAAAAAUAUAAUUAUUAUUAAAUGAAUUAUAAUUAUUAUUAUUAUGUUAUUAUAAUCAUAAAAAGCGAGAUCAUAUUCCACAAAAGCAUAAGUGACAAAACAACCAACUGGAUUCUUUUAUUAAUCAACAAAUUGUAUAGUCUUUUUCAAAUUGUUAUAAAUUGGUGGCCCCUACAAUCCUCAAUAAUUGUACCGAAAUUCACAAGUUGGUGGGCCCUACAAUUCUGUUCCGAUAAUUUAACUGUGCAAGUGCUCAUUCACAAUCUUCCAGGUCAUGCUCUUAACAAUUGUUUUUUCUUUUCUGCACGCCCUUUCAUGCUCUUAAUAAUUGAAGAGCAUACUUUUCAAAUGUGAAGCCGCAUCUAAUGUCGCUAAUUUAAUUUGGGAUUAAAUUACGGGACUAUUAUAUUGCAGUGUGCACUAAUUUUUAUGUUUAUCUAAACUCUUCAAAUUUAAAACAUAUUAUGGCAUAAAUAAGAAUGUAACAAUAACAAAAGAGUAAGAAAGUGUAGAGAAAAUCUUGCAGAAAUAUAAAUAAUAUUUAUUUUUAAAAUAAUAUUAAUAUUUAAAAUAAUUUUUAAUAUUUUAUGGUCCAUUAGAUAUAUUUUAUUAUAUUAAAAUAAAUUUUAUAAUAAAUAAAAACAUACUAUUAAAAUGAAUAUAUAUAGAAAAUUUAGAGUAUUUUAAGUAUUAUAUAAAAUAAUUUUAAUAAAAUAUGUGAGAUAUUCAUAUUUUAUUAAUUUAAGAUACCAUUUAACCUAAAGAUUUAUUUAUGAUAAAUUAAUAAUUAUAUUUUUGAAAUUACUUCAAAUAUUAAAAAAAUUAAUAUUACUAAUAUAUUAGAUAGAUUAAAUUAUAUAUAUUAUUUUUACUUAUUAAAAAAAUUUUAAAAUUAUUUUUAAUUACUAUUCAAAAAACGUAUUCAAAAAACAUAAUGAUAAAAAAAUCUUAACAUCUUUAUUAAAAAAUUAAAAACUUAUAUGAUAAAUUCUCUAAAUAUUUACGGUAUAUGUGAACCACGGUGGAUAAGCUUUAUUUAAUAUUAUUGAUUUAAAUAAUAUGUCAAUUAAAAAUGUACAGAGAAGAAAUUUCGGUGGGUAUUUUAGUCUUUUAAGCAAUUAUCAUGAUCAGAUCAGCCUUUAGCCUUCAAACGUCGGUCAGAAAAGUUUUAAAAUUAAUGCUAAAUUGUUUUUCACUUUUAACGUUGGUGGCCUUGAAAUUGCUUGUAUUUUAUUAAAAAUUAAUGCUAACAAGAAAAAGCUAGGUCAUAUUCCACAAAAUCAAAAGUGACAAAACAACCAGCUGGUUUCUUUUACUAAACUACAAAUUAAAAUAAAUUUUUUCGAUAAAUUACAAAUUAAAGUGGAUUCUUUUGAAUACAAAUGGGACAGACGAUUAGGCUCUUUUUAUUAGAGGCAAGUAAAAACUAGUCAAGAAUCGAACAGUCUUUUUCCAAUUCUUGUUUUAUUAUUUUUCAAAACUAGUUUUUGGUAAUUACAACCGGGUCAUUAAUCAUUAUUCAGAGUUAUCUUCCGGGGCAGUUUCUGUUCAUCGAAUUCGUUAAUAAAAUGUUAAAACUCUUAUUGAAAGAAUGUUUUUCCGUUAUCUUUUUUAUAAUCUAAUUUUAAGUGUAAGAAGUAGUCAUUUUAGAAUUUGGGUCUUGAAUCGAAUUUCAAUGCAUGAAUUAAUAUUUAAAAAAAAUUUACUACAUGCAGUUUAGGUUACAAACUAUUUUUUGCAAAGUUGACUAUGAAAUUGGAGAAAUUAAGUAAUUUAUAAUGUUUGCAAAGAAAGAGACCAACAUACUUCCAAUUACACUAUAUCUCAAUUAUCAUAAUGUUAAGAUUAAACUAACUUAAAAUAAAAUUUAUUUAAAAAGUUUAUCAAACGCAGUCUAAUUUUAUUAACUUGAAGAGAUAAUAGUUAUAGAAAUUAUUAUUCUAACUUAAUUAGUAAAAGUGGUAUAAAGGUUAAGUGUGCACUAAAUCUAUUUAAAUUUUUUUCCAGUAUAACUAACAGAGGUCAUUACUAGAAUUAUAUUACUAGUCUAUUAGAUAGAAAAAAUUAUUUAUAUUGUUUUAUAUUUAUUAAAAAAAUUUAAAGUCAAUCUUUUUAAUUACUAUUAAAGGAUAUUAUAAUUAAAAAAANNNNNNNNNNNNNNNNNNNNNNNNNNNNNNNNNNNNNNNNNNNNNNNNNNNNNNNNNNNNNNNNNNNNNNNNNNNNNNNNNNNNNNNNNNNNNNNNNNNNNNNNNNNNNNNNNNNNNNNNNNNNNNNNNNNNNNNNNNNNNNNNNNNNNNNNNNNNNNNNNNNNNNNNNNNNNNNNNNNNNNNNNNNNNNNNNNNNNNNNNNNNNNNNNNNNNNNNNNNNNNNNNNNNNNNNNNNNNNNNNNNNNNNNNNNNNNNNNNNNNNNNNNNNNNNNNNNNNNNNNNNNNNNNNNNNNNNNNNNNNNNNNNNNNNNNNNNNNNNNNNNNNNNNNNNNNNNNNNNNNNNNNNNNNNNNNNNNNNNNNNNNNNNNNNNNNNNNNNNNNNNNNNNNNNNNNNNNNNNNNNNNNNNNNNNNNNNNNNNNNNNNNNNNNNNNNNNNNNNNNNNNNNNNAUUGUGGGCACUCUUGUUCGUGCAUGUUUGCUAGAAGAGAUGGAAGAUGAUAAAGUAAAAAUGCAUGACGUUGUUCGUGAUAUGGCUUUAUGGAUAGCUUGUGAAAUUGAGAAGGAGAAGAGAAACUUUUUGGUUUGUGCAGGUGCUCGAUUAGAAGAGGCACCGGGUGUUAAAGAAUGGGAAAAUGUGAGAAGAUUGUCAUUGAUGCAAAACCAAAUUGAAACUGUGUCAGAGAUUCCCGCAUGCCCUCAUCUCCAUACUCUAUUUCUUGCCUCUAAUAGGAAUUUCAGGAUGAUCACGGAUGGCUUCUUUCAAUUUAUGCCUUCUCUCAAAGUUUUGAAGAUGUCACGCUGUGGGCAAUUCGAAGGUUUUCAAUUACCUGUUGGGAUGUCAGAGUUGGGUUCAUCACUAGAACUUCUUGAUAUUUCACAUACCACCAUAAGAGAGUUACCCGAAGAGUUAAAGUUGCUGGUAAAUCUGAAAUGUUUGAAUUUGAGGUGGACAGGUGCGUUAAUUAGAAUUCCACGGGGACUAAUAUCAAAAUUUUCAAGGUUACGUGUGUUGAGAAUGUUGGGUACUGGCGGGUUCAUUUUUUAUGAAGCACCAGAAGACAGCGUUUUAUUUGGUGGGGGUGAAGUUUUGAUACAGGAAUUGCUCGGUUUGAAAUAUUUAGAGGUAUUGGAGUUGACCUUGGGAAGUUAUCAUGCUCUCCAAAUUCUUUUGAGCUCAAAUAAGUUAAAAAGUUGUAUUCGAUCUCUUUACCUCUAUUUGACCGGAGAUAAAAAGUCGAUUAUUGAUGCUACGGCUUUCACAGACCUAAACCACCUCAAUGAAUUAUGGAUUGAUAAUGGAAUUGAGUUGGAAGAAUUGAAGAUUGAUUAUACGGAGAUAGUACGAAAAAGGCGGGAACCUUUUGUUUUCCACAGCCUUCACCUUGUUACGAUAUAUAGUUGCCAUAAAUUGAAAGAUUCGACAUUCCUCGCUUUUGCUCCAAACCUCAAGUCUCUUUCGCUAUUCAAAUGCCGUGCUAUGGAAGAAAUAAUCAGCGUCGGAAAAAUUGCUGAGAAUCCUGAGAUGAUGGGACAUAUAAGCCCUUUUGAAAAUCUCAAAAGUCUUGAUCUAUCAUAUUUGCCGGAGUUGAAGAGCAUUUUCUGGAAGCCAUUGCCUUUCACUCAUCUCAAAGAAAUGGGGGUAAGAGCAUGUGAUCAGCUUAGAAAGCUUCCACUCGAUUCCAACAGUGCAAAAGAGCGUAAAUUUGUAAUUCGUGGAGAAGAAGACUGGUGGAACCGACUUCAAUGGGAGGAUGAAGCCACUCAAAUUGCUUUUCGUUCCUGUUUCCAACCUGAUUCCUGAGCGGUGGUCGCAAAAUUUGAUUUCUGGUGAGUGCGUUUGUCUUUUAAAAGAAGAAUUUAAAAGAAAUUUAUUCUUGACGUUUUCUUCACUGUUUUUAUUUCAGUCUCUCUCUCUCUCUUUUUGUCUUCUGCUAAUCACAAUUAAAUGUUGAAUUAAUGGAAUUAAUGCUUCAUAAAUUUGCCGGCACUGCCAUUACUUUUUUUUUUUUUAAUACAAAUUGAUACUUUAUUUAUAUCUUCUUAGCGAUUUAAUUUCCUGUCAAUUGACGAACGAGAAGAACAUAUGACUUGAACCAAUGCUCGCAUAAACUUGCUGUAAAAAGAUAUAAUCUCACUGAAAUGCACACGCCUAGAAUGAAUAGAAUUAAAACAGGGAAAAUAUUAAGUAUAUUAGCCCUCUUUACCGAAAAUCAAAUGACAAUAAAUUUUUUGAAGUUUUGAUUUUCUAUGGUCAAUUCCACCUUUUGCAAUUUCUUCUGUUCUAACAAAAACCAAUUUCUUUGUUCAAGUAUUUUCGUUUGGGUAUUAAUAAUUCUCCACCGAAAGAGUGAACUCUUGCUCAAGGGAUCUCUAAUCAAUAGCCGGAAGGGCGCCGAGACCUGAUCGGACCUAGGCCCAAGUUUGGUCUUAAAGCCUGGGCUUGAGCCUGGCAAUUAAAUUAAAACAGUAAUUGAUUUCUUGAAUGAAUUGUCGUGUAAUUGAUUUAUGGGGGAUGACACAUCAACAUACUUGAAAAUACACUAAUCUCAGCAUCAUCCGUUAAUAACUUUUAGAUUUAUGGGCAAUCAAUAGUUAAAUUAGUUGUCAUUAAUACUAAAUAAUUUUUACUUUUUUUGUCUCUUCUAGAGGAUCUUCUAGAAAAAUGCAUCCACAAUUAAAUUUAAUACUUUACAUAAUAAAGAAAGCAUAAAUGUUAAAUUUAAGAAACUGCAUUGUAUUUCAGCUGAAGUUGACUUUAAUAUUUAGGGUAGAAAAAAAUUAAAUCCUUAAUGUGUUUAAUUUCUAUCACUUGUGUCAUUAAAAUUUUCUAGUCACCCUAACCAAUUACAUCUCAACCCACUUUUUUUUGGAUGAUUUUAUUUUUACACUAUUAUUUUCAACAUUUUUUUUUCCUUUUAACACCAACAUUAGUGUAUGUUACGUAACAUAAUCCAUAUUUGGAUAAUUUGAAAUUUGUUUGUGUUUUAUCUCAAAAUAGAGCUUCAAUCAAUUUGUACCUCAUAAAUUCACAAUAUCUGGCAUAUUGUCAAAUGUGCUUAUCCUUUUGCUUGACAUGUCAUUUUAAAAUUGUCAUUCAAUGUCAAAAAAUCACAUCAACUAAUGGCCGACUACUUUAAUUUGAAAGCAUGCGUGCGAUCGCCAAUAAUUAUAACUUAAUUGUUAUAUUGAAAUUUUUUUCUUUAUAAUUUAAGUUUAAUACUGCUACAUGUGUGGCACAUAAGUUGGAAAAUAUAACAUAAAAUUUGAAAAAUGUGUAGUUUUCGUUCCUUUUUUUUCUAAAAAAAUGGGAAAAAAGAAUGUAAUUUUGUUUAAAUUACUGUUGUCAUAACAAUUAUUAUUUUAUUGAUUAAUUGGCAGAGAAUCGUAAUGGUUUCGCAUGGUUGUUAAAACAUUGGAAAGUCCACUACAUCAUCGGUUAAUAACUUUCAGAUUUAUGGUUAAUUAAUAGCUGAGAUUUAUUAUCAUUAAUGCUAAAUAUUUUUUCUCUCUCCUGGAGGAUCAUCCACAGGCAGGUGCUUCCUGACGAUGACAAAAUUUUGGGCAGGCAGGUGCUUCCUGACUUUCACACGGUAAUUCUCAAAUUCUGAUUUCACCAUAUUUUAAUUACUGAUUAGCAUAUAUUCAAGUGCUCUCCAUUAUAAUGGAAGCCGCCGCCUCACUCGUAAUUCCAAACUUUAUCUUUUUUUCCUUUUUUAAAUUAAUGCAAGUAGCCGCUGUCCUUUCUAUUAAUUAAUUAAUUCGGCCGCCCACAUUUCUUUUCCUAAUGUCUUCUACUGUCGAGUUUAUUUUAUUUUCUCUUUAUUAUUAAAAUAUACUUAUAAUAAUAAAAAAAUAAAAAUUAACAUAUCAAAAUAUAAUUUAACAGAAAAUUAAGAUAAAAAAUUAAAAAUAAAUAAAUUAUGAGCAUAUCAAUCAAUAAAUGAAAAAUAAUAAUUUUUAUUUUUAUUAAAUAUAAAUUUUUCAGUAUUAAUCAAUUAUCUGAAUAAAUAAAAUCAUUUAAAAAUAAAUAAAUAAAUUAUUCUUAAAAAAAAAAAAAAAACUUUUUAUAACACUCACUAUGCUGGUUGUAGGGUUGACGCUUUGGGUACUGAAGCUAGUAACUUCUACAAGUAGUCUUAAGUUGACUGGCAACAACUAUAUUGGCAUUUAGAAAUAAUGUACUGCAACCAUAUUGGCAUGUUCAAAUGUUCUUAUUAUUGUAUUGGUGUGUCAAUAUUAUCUCUAACGGUUUUAUAAAUAAAAAAAUAAUCUAAAUUUAUAAUUUAACAUAAAAUAAAAUAAUUGGUAGAAAAACAAUUAUGGUUCAUUUACUUAUCAGUAAUCAGAAUAGACUGAAAUCGAAAUGAGUUGUAUUACUGUUGAUGUGUUUAUGUUGUACUCGAAUCGAAAUGAAUUAUUUUAAAUUACUAAAAUAUCCUUGGUCUGUUAUUCUAAUUAUUAUUAUUAUUUAAUAUUUAUUAUAAUAUUUUUCAUAUCAUUAAAAAAAAAUAAUAAUGAUGAUAAUAUUCUCAUUAUUGUUUGUUACAUUAUUAUUAUUCAAAAAAAUUAUUGUUAAUAACAAUAAUUACUUUAUUUCAAUAAUAAUAAUGAUAAAAUUAAUAAUAAUAAACAUGACAACAACAAUAAUUAUUUAUUAUGCCAAAAAAUAACAAUAAUAAUAAGAAUAAUAAUCAUCAUCAUUUUUUUGCCAAAGAAGCAUUAUCAUCAUCAUUUCAAAAAAAAAAUCAUCAUCAUCAUCAUCAUUUUUGUAGUGGCUACCUAUCGGCUGCUGCUUUCAUGUGAGAUUGACUUGCGACGCUUCAACGGCUAUUAUUUCUGACAAUGUCAGGUGUUGCUAUUUCAAUUUAGGAAGAAGUUGUUUCGGUGUGCUAGCGAUGGGAGAUGUUGUGGCUGCGAUUCGGGGAGCUACUAGUUUAUUGCACUAAUAACGGCAGGUGCUGUUGCUUGAUGCGAGGUCCAUGGCCAGUUGUCAGCAGUUCGACUUUGGUAUGGGUGCUGCUGGUUCGAUUUUAGGUGUUGUCCAAUUUCAUUUUCAGGAUUUUAAUUUUAUUUUUCUUUUAUAUUUUCAUUAAUUAAUCAGGGUAAAAUUGGAUUUUAGAAUUUAGAAUGAAGGUAAUUUUGUUAAUAAUGGAAAUGAGAUUCUGAUUGUCGAGAAUGAGCUUACACAAACAACUAUAAAUUAAGUGAAAACAAAACACUUUUUCUCUUUGUGUGAUUAAAACAUGAUAUGUACCAUAAAUAAAUAAGUAAAAAAUAAAUCAACACAAUCUAAAACAGUAAACAAAUUACAAGAGGCACAGAUUUUUAUGUGAAACACCGAAAAUGGAAAAAACCACAGCAUCUUAGUUUGAUAUAAUCUUCUACUAUAUUAAUGGGAUUAUAGCACAAAUUCUUUCCUAUAUAACACUAGAGAUUAACAACAUCAAGAAUCUCAAUAAUCUUGACUUACAAUACAGCCUAAUAUUUGUCUCUCUAAUAAGUAGAUAUCUAAAAUAACAGUCUCUAAUAAGUAUGUAUCUAAAAUAAUAGUCAACAAGAGGAUAAAACAAAAAUUAAGAUUAGUAGGAUGUGUAUAAGGUGAUGCUAUCAAUUUAUCUUCUAAAUUUGAGAAAAAUAGUUAAAUUCACUUUUUCGAUUGUCCGACCAAAAAUGGAAACCCUUGCCCCAAAACCAAAGGAAUCACCAUUAUGUUUUUCUCUCUCUCUCUCUCUAUCUCGUUCUUUUCUUCUUCUUUUCUUAAUGUUAGCCAUCACUUGCUUUUAUUCUUUAUAGCAUUCAAAAAGCUACUUUUAAUGGUAAAUUUCAUUUAAGUCUGCAACUUAGUGAUAAUUGCACACCAAACAAUCCUUACAUAGUGUUUUGGGCCCUCAAAUGAGAUGAAUACAACAAAUCUCCCCCUUUAAAUCAUGUGGGGGGCACCGCAAGCCCGCUAUUUGCAUAUAGCUUUUCAGCUUCUCCUUGAAUAAUGACUUUGUCAUCAUACAUAAUCCAUUCUUCGUUGUGUAAAUCUUCUCAAGCUGUAACUGUUCCUUCUCAAGCUGUAAUUAUUCCUUCUCAAGCACGUCUCGUAUCUAAUGAUACCUUACAUCAAUAUGCUUAGAUUUCGAAUAGUAUAACAGCACUCUGACUAUCGUAGUACAUAACAUAGCUGUCUUGUUUUACACCCAGCUCUUGUAGGAAAUUCUUCGUCCACAAUAUUUUUUUGCAACCUUCAAUAAUUGUAAUAUCAUUUGCUUUAGUGGUAGAAAAGGCAACUUAUUACUAAAGUUUAGAUUGCGAUGAGACUGUUCCCCCUGCAAAAGUGAGCAAACAUCCUAGUAGGAAUUUUUCGGAAUCAACAGCUCCUGCCAUAUCUACACACUUGUAACACAGGUUUGUCACCACCAAAAUAUAAACAUGCUCUGGAAAUGCAUCUAAGAUAUCUGAGAAUUUUUCACUGUUGUCCAGUGCUCUUUACCGAGGUUGAAGAGAAACCACUGACUACACUAACUGUAUAGGCAAUAUUUGGUCUUGUACAAAUUAUGGCGUACAAUAAACUGCCAACUGCUGAAGCAUAAGGAACUCCUCUCAUGGAGAAAUGGGUUUUACUCUUGAGAUUUUUGGGACCAUGAAGAAUAAAGAUGUAAUUUCUUAUACUGCCAUUGUUUCGGGAUAUAUAAAUAGAGAACAAGUCGAUAUAGCUCGACAGUGUUUUGAUCAGAUGCCAGAACGAGAUUAUGUCUUAUGGACUACCAUGAUUGAUGGGUACCUUCGAGUGAAUAGGUUCAGAGAGGCUUUGACACUUUUUCAGGAGAUACAAACUUCAAAUAUAAUGGGAGACGAGUUUACCAUUGUUAGCAUUCUUACAGCUCGUGCGAAUCUGGGGGCACUAGAACUGGGAGAAUGGAUAAAGACUUAUAUUGACAAAAACAAAGUCAAGAAUGAUAUAUUUGCGGGGAAUGCUUUGAUAGACAUGUACUGUAAAUGUACUGUAAAUGCGGAGAUGUUGAGAAAGCUCAAAAGGUAUUCAGGAAGAUGCUUUGAAAGGUCAAAUUCACAUGGACGACCAUGAUUGUUGGCCUUGCCAUCAGUGGAAAUGGUGAUAAAGCUCUUGAUAUGUUUUCCCAAAUGCUCAGGGCUUCGAUCAAACCAGAUGAGGUAGCUUAUGUUGGUGUUCUGUCUGCCCGUACUCACAAUGGUAACGAAACUUUUGUGAUAAAUAGUUGCAACUUAAGGUGAGAACUGGAGGAAGGGAAAUAGAUUGAAGUUGUUCAAUCAUCAGUAGUUGCUACUUGGUUUUAAGUUGUUCAAUCAUCGGUCGUCUCUAUUUGGUUUUCUCCAAUAUCUCAUCUUCAAUUUUGACUCAGAUUGUAUCUUACCACUAGUAAUUACAUAGACUUGCUGCCAAAGGUAAGAAUGGGAAUAAAUUAAAUAGAUUAUGUCGAAAACGAAAUAAAUUUACUAUUGUUCUGUUCAUUCUAUUUGUUUCCUACAAAAUAUUUCUCCUGCCUAAAAUUUUUUGAAUCAGUAAGUUUUUACCUUAUGGAUGAAUUGUGUUGAGAGUAAUUCCAUUUCUCAGUCUCUUUAUGUUUCAAUGAAGACGUAAAACUUGUGUUCUAGUGCACCAACGUUUAUGCUUCUUACAAUUUGACUUUAAUUUACUUUGUAAAAUUUUUGUCAAAAAGUACUAAAAAGUAGUGCACCAAACACCAACUUUAUUACAGAGAGGACUUUAGUUAAAUUUUAAGAAAACACUCAAAAGAAAGAGUUGUAAAUUAUUAUAAAAAUAUUUCACAUAAAUAAAAGCCAUCCCAUGCUGCAAAGAUCUUGCUAUAAUCACCAAAAACUAUCGGGAGCUUUUAGGGUUUCCAUAAAAAUGCCAUUUCGUUCCAUGUAUAUGAUUCUAUAGUCUCACUGGCAAGUAAACCACAGCCCAACAGCACUGACUGUCCAUGAUGAUUCACCCCAAUGAACGAAACCAGCGUUGCAUCAUAUCUUUCUGUCAAGCAUGUAAUAUCAAUUGAUUUGAGCUAUUAACAUCAUUUCCAAAUACUCCAUUGGCAUCUACAUUACCAUUUCCCUCGGCAUCAAUGAUAAGAGUUCGAAACAGUCUAAUCUUUUGAACUUCUUCAGCACCAUCUAAGAGCAAUGUUCUUUUGGUUCCAAUACCCAUGUGCUUAUGAUAUUUGUAAAAUAAUUAUUUGUAAAAUAAUUAGUUCAAUUUUGACAUAAUACGGAAUAAACACAACCUGCCAAUCUAAGUUACUAUCUUUUCCCGUCAUCAGGUACCUGUUUGAAAAAUAAUUAUAUACAAUUUUAUUUGCGUCGUCCCUCUAAAAAUUUGGGACUCAAAUGUUAUUUCUAAUUGCUAAAAGUACGAAAUUGCCCCCUUUCUCUUCAGCUAAAGGAGUGCAAAGUCAUCUGUAUAAUUGAAUCUGCAUCAUCAGUUUCUAUUGCUGGCUGGUGUUACUGCAUGCUUACAGUUGCUUGACAAAGUGAGCCAGUUUUUUGUUUAUUAAUUUUUUUUCUUGUCGAGACAGUCACAAAGUAUUACUUGUUCUAUUUGAGAAUGAUGUGAAUCAAUUUUUCAAUUAUGCAUUCUGUGGUAAUUAUUGUGAAUUUAGUUUCAUUUGUCUUGUCUCCUGCAAAUUUUGAAGAAAAUGCAGACAUACAAAUUUACAAUAUGUAUUUGCGUUAGUAUAAAAACAAUUGUUAGAUGAUUAAAGCGAUUUAUUUUUUUUUUUACAGCAUUUGAUUGUAUUAGUUAAAAUCAUUUUUUAAGGAUAAAAAUAAAUAGAAAAUUAUUCUCAUGUAGUGUGGAAAUCUUUUCUAAUUUCUUGUUGACUUGUACAUUUAUUUCAGAAUUUCCAUUCAUUAAUUCUACUGUUUUAAUCUUUGACUUAGCUACCGUAGUUGACUUUUUAUAUCAAAGGCUUAAACAGCAUGCAUUUUUGAAUUGACUGAGAAUAAUUUGGUGGACAAAUUACUAGUAAAGGACUUCAAAUGGUUGAAUUGACUGUGGGUUUUUCAUGCCCAAGUCACUCGUCACGUCGUUUCAUCGAAACAAAGUGCCCGGUGCAAAUGGUGUGAUGUAAAACACCUUUUUAAAUUGUCAUUUUUUUUCCUUUGCUUUUGCUUUAAUUUUCUAAAUGCUCAACGCCAUAAAUCCAUGUAUUCUUAAUUUUCGUUUGCUGUAUUGAUUCCCAACCCUCUAUGUCACAAGGUUUUGAAUGCCAGUAAUUAAGUUAAAUUAAACAUAUUUUAAGUCCUACUUUAAAUUAUUGAAAAAUGUAUUAUGGUUGAACUGAAUUUUAACUAAAAAAUAUAUACAAAAUAAAAGAUUAAUCAUAUCUUUUUAUGAGGAAGGUCAGUCAUCAUUCUGACCACAGACACUUAAAAUUAAUUGAGUGGAAUAUUGCAAAAUAUAUAUAAACCAUGCCAAAACUAGAUGUUUGAGUAAUGAAAACGAGAAUUCAUAUGACUCAGAAAUAUGGUCGCUUUCCUUUUUCUGAAAGGCAAAAAAAAAGGGGGAACCAAAAAGGACCAAAAUGAACAAAAAUGGAAGGCGAAGGUAAGCAGACAUGUUAUAUGUUUUACCUAAGAUGCCAAAUGCAACUCCCCAUUGAUGGUGAUCGAACAUUAUGGCCAUUUUCUUAGUAAACAAAAAAUGAAUUUUGAACACUCAACAACGAAACUUGAGCAGAAGAUCAAGCAAGGGCCUCGAUCUCAAAGAAGAUACUAUGAAACCCUACUUAAUGGUUAAAUAACUUUCAUUCAGCUUUGGACCCUAUUUCGUGAUACGGAAAGACAAACCUUUCUUGGCCGGCAGUGUCCCAGAUCUGGGCUUUGAUGAUCUAGAGGUUGAUGGUGACAGUUCUGGUUUGGAACUCGACGCCAAUGGUUUAUUUCGAUUCAAAGCAAAACUCAUUCUUGGUGAAUCUCGAAAGAAUCUGAGACUUGCCCACGGCCGAGUCACCGAUCACCACUACCUUGAAUACAUAGUCUAUUUUGUCAGGAAUCAUAUUCUCUCGUUGUUGAUGACGAUGAUCGGUGCCAUCACCACUCAUUUCUUCGUUCAUUCAUUCUAUGUCCAUUGAUCUUUUUGAAUUAUUGAAGACAAGUGGCUCACCGCUUUUAGUAUUGGUAAAAUUCAGAUAAUCUCUAUUCCGAAAUAAUAAUAUUAAAAAUAUCUCUUAAAUCAUUAUAAACUUCAAAUCUAUUUUAAUUUUAUUUAAAAGAUAAAAGAAAAAUAAGUUAUGUUGGUGAUUUUUUAUUAUCUUUUUAAUAAAAAUAGAAUAAAUUGAUGUUUAUAAUUAUUUAAAGUAUUUUAAAGAUUGCUAUUUUAUGAGAGAAUAAUAUUUCAUUUUUUUUUUCGUGUGAAAGACCGAAAAAGGACAAAGCAAGUUUCCCUAAUUUUUAUUUUAUGUGAAAUUGGUCAUCUCAUAUACUUUACCCUUCAACACUCUAAUUUUUUUGGUUAUAAUUUUAUUAUUUUUUCUCUUUUACACAUGCAUGUGAAUUACUUUUCUUUAAGCUCCUGAAUAUUUAAGACAAAUCAUGGAAGAGAUGAGAGUAUAACAAGAUGAUCAAAAUAUGUAACAAAAAAAUUUUAGAAGUGAAAAAUAUGUUAGAGUCGAAGUAAAACUCUGAGGUGAUGUUUGAUUUGAAGAAAAUGGAGGAGAGAAAAAGAGUGGAAUGGAGAGGAAAAGAGAGAAAAGGAGAGGAGAGGAGAGGAGAGUGAACUUUUUUUCUAAUGUUUGGUUUGUCACAUAAAUAUACAAAGAAAGGAAAUCUCCAAUUUUUUAUUUAGACAAUUUUAACCUUAAUAAGUAUUAAGCUUUCAAUAUUUAUCAUGUGUAUAAUUUAAAAAAAGUAAAUGGUAGAAAGCGGUUUCUGAUUCCGGCCACAUCGCCGGCAAUGGAAGGUACUUAUCAGAACAUCAAGAACCGGCCAUCAUUCCCUAGCCAUCACUGCUGUAGGAACACUGCUAAAAAGCUGCCGAUUGAACCGCGAAAAGUCGUGGAAAUCGUUGCCUCAAAUCGGUGAGUUUCGCCUUUUUCUGGUCAUGCCGUCGCCUUGGCUUUGUCCAUCAACGCUGCCACUUCCAUUUCAACCAUCCAUAGCCACUAUUAACCGCCAAAUCGCCGCCGAUCAGCGGGAUCUGUGGAAGUUAAAAAGUUUCUAAAAUUUUUUAAUUGGAUUUGAACAACAUACAACCAUUUUUUGAUCUCAAUAACGACAUAGUAAUGUUGAUCGUUGGUCGGCAAGUCGAAUGGUAGUGGCGGUGAGUAACACGCGCCAAUGACAUCGGCGGCGGCGGCGGCACUAUCCGGCUACUGUUAAAAUUAAUAUUUUAUAUUUGUAGAUUAAAUAAAUUUAUUUUAUUAAACUUUUUAAAUCAUUAUUUAAAUUUAAUUAAUUUAAAAUUAUCUAUGAUGUUGAAUUGAUAAAAUAAAUUUAUAAAUAAUAAUUAUGUGAUUACAUUAAAUAAGUUAAAAAGUUGAAGGGUUAUUUUUGGAAGAUUUAGUUUCCAACACAAAGGGAAUUUGAAUUCUUCACUUCUUAGUGUGGAAUUCAAAUUCUAUAUUGUAAUGGAUAUUAAAUUCCAAUAGAAAUUAAAUUCUUAUAAGUUAUGUCAAACCAAACAACGGAAAUAAAAAAAAAGAAUUUAAAUUACUUUCCUUUCCUCCACCCUCUCCUUCCAACCAAAUACAUCCUGAAAAUAGAGAUAUUGAUUAAUUUAGAAGAGAUGCAAGCAAAAGAUAUUCCACAAAAAAAAAAAAGCAAUAUGUCCCUUUGGAGGGCAAACUUGUCAGUUUUAAAAAAGUACAUGCUUUGGAUUGAUAGUUGUAGGAUAUUUGUUUUGUCACUAUGUGUUAGUUGGAGAAGUCAAGCCUUGUGAAGAAUGUUAUGAAAGAGCAAAGGAUAUUCCUGAUAGCUGAUAGAGCUCUAUUUGAUUAUGUAUCCAAUGAAUGGAUGUGUUGUUGGAAGAUAUUUGAGUGCAUUAGUUCAUAUGUGUCUAUCAAUGUGAUUUUAAUGAUUUUUCCACUUGUUUGUUGUAAAAGAUUAUUGUAAAUUGAAAUGAACUUGAUGUUGUAAUAUUUUCUCCUUAGUAGAAUUUCACCUAGUAUGUAUUUAGUUGUGUUGUCUAUAAUUUUGCAUUCGAAUAAGUUUCACCUAAAAUAUUAGCAUGAGUAGUGGCCCUUGAAACUUUGGUCAAAAUUAUUGUUAUUAUUUCCGACUAGAUGUAAAUUUUUUAUUAAAUCUCGCUAACACAAUUCUUAAUUAAAAGUAUAGGUUAGUGUUGGUGCAAGACUUGCCACACCAAAUUCUGCCUAACUGUCAAAAGUGCAAAAUAAAUGAAGAGAAAGCACAAAUACACGACUUGAAUAAGGAUACAACGAAACUUAAAUUCAAGAGAAAAUGAUAGCUAUAUCUCAAGAUUUGAAAAAACGGUCAUGUAGAUUUUUAAGAUUUCAAUAAGCGACUGAGAUUCAAAUAAUAUCCUUUAAUUCUAUUAACAAAAAACAAAGACUCAAAUAUUUUAUGAUAAAUAAAAAUAUAAUAUUAAAAUAUAUGUGAUAAUAUACACAUUUUAAAUACUUUCAAUCCAAAAAAAUAGUUAUGUUUUACAAUCUAUUAGACAUAUUUUAUUAAAUUAAUAUAAAUUUUCUAUAAAAUAAGAAUAUAAUAUUAAAAUAAAUUCACAAAAAUUUAAAGAAUUUUGAAUGUAAAAUAAUUUUAAUAUAUCAAUACGUGAGUUUUUUUAUUAAUAUAAAAUUUAUUUAACUUUAAGAUUUUUUAAAAUCUUUACAAUAAGUAUAACUAUAUUAUUUACAUUUAAAAAUAUUUAAAUAUUAUUAACCUACAAUUAUAUUUGCAUUUGUUAGAAAUUUUUUAAGUCAAAUAUUUUGCACUUCUAUAUUAUUAGAAUUAUUGCACAAAAAGAAAGAAACAUACACCUUUAGAAAUUGUUUUCUUUUAAAAUAGAGAUGAUGAUUAGUAUAAGGAUGAAAAAAAGGAUAAAGAAUAUUAAUGAUUAACGAAAUCUCUAUACAAAUUGAUUUUAGUAGGAAAAGAGUGAGAUGAAUGAUUUCUUUUACAGUUAGAAACAUAGAUGAUGAUUAUUAUAACGAAGAAAAAAAGAUAAAGAAUAUUAAUUAUUAAUGGAAUCUCUAUACAAAUUGAUUUUAGUAGGAAAAAAAUGAUUAAAUGAUUUAGAGUGCGUUUGGAAUUGAGAUUGGGCAGCCAUAGAUUUUAAGUUACAACACUGAAGUGUUUAGUAAAUACUAGUUGCUGCAGAUUGAAAGUUAUGUUGAUAUGAUUUUUCACAUGUAUCAUAGAAAAUAUAUUACAUCUUUAAUAUUUUUUAAAAAUUUAUAUUUGCUAUAUAUUAUUAAUUUUUUUUUAUAGUUAUAACUUUUUUUCCACAACAGUUGUAGCUUAAAAGUCACAGCACCUCAAUCUCAAACAAAUCCUUAGACAUUCAUAGUGUGUUUAUUUUUUGGAUUGGUGAAUCAAAAUUAUUGACAACGCUAACUUCAUCUUCACUGUUCGCAAUCCAACAGCAGCAAUUGUCGCCAAUAAUGAUAUCUCCAAUGAUGAUGACAAUUAUUAUUAUUAUUUUUAUUAUUAUUAUUAUUAUUAUUAUUAUUAUUAUUAAUUAAUUAAUUAAUUAAUUAAUUAAUUAAUUAAUAUAUUAAUGUUGAUAUUAUUAUUAUUAAGAUUAACAAUAAUUAUUAGUAAUACAAUUUUUUGAAUAAAAAUAAUCACAAUAAUUAAAAUACAAAUUAAUAAUUAUGACAAUAAUUAAUUAAUGUCUUUUUAGUAAUUUGUAAUAAUCUAACUCAUUUUGGUUCUGAUUAUUACAGCUUAAGUAAACAAAUUAUUAUGAUUCCUAUUCUCCUUUCCCAUUUUAACUCACUUUGAUUCCAGUCUAUUCCGAUUUCUAUUUAAUAAAUGCACCAUUAGUGCUAAAGUAAUAUUUCAUACAUAGAAAAAUAAAAACUACGCCUAAGGUUAAGGGAAAAGACUUCAAAAUUCUCUUUUGAUCAUAAUACAUUUUGUCCUAAUUAACUUAAAGAUUUUGAAUCUAAUAUUUUAUAAUAAAUAAAAAUAUAUUCCUAAAAUAAAUAUAAUAUCAAUAUUUAAAAUAUGUUUUAAUAUUUUACAAUCUAUCAUACACAUUUUAUUAUAUUAAAGUAGAUUUAUAAUAAAUAUAUAAAAAUUUAGAAUAUUUAGAAUAUUAUAUAAAAUAAUUUUAAUAUAAUGCGUGAUAUAUAUUUUAUUAAUUUAAAAUGUCAUUUUACCUAAAAAAUAUGAUAAAUUAAUAAUUACAUAUUUGAAGUUAUUUCAAAUAUUAAAAAAAUUUAAUAUUAUUAAUCUUUUAGAUAGAUUAAAUUAUUUUUUAUAAGAGAGAUUAAAUUAUUUUAAAAUGCCUUAAUUGUUUUUACUUUUAACGUUACGGGCCUUUCUUUUAUUUUAUUGCAAAUUAAUGCUAACUAGAAAAACAAAAACAAAAGUGACAAACACAACCAGCUGGAAUCUUUUAUAAAACUACAAAUUAAAAUGGAUUUUUUUUUUUUGUUGAUAAAUUACACAUGAAAGUGGAUUCUUUUGAAUAUAAGUGGGGUAGGCUCUUUUAUUUUUUUUUUAAUACCGUAUAACAGGACUGUAGACUCUUUUAUUAAGCACAAAUAUAGAGUUGUCGAGACAAUUAGGGUCUUUUAUUAAACUACAAAUUGUAUAGUCUUUUUUAAAUUGUUCAGAUAUUUAUAAAUUGGUGGCCCCUACAAUCCUCAAUAAUUGUACCGAUAUUCACAAGCUGGUGGCCCCUACAAUCCUUAAUAAUUGUUUUUUUUUUUUUCUGCAUUCCCUUUCAUGCUCUUAAUAAUUAAAGAGCAUACUUUUCAAAUGUGGAGCCGCGGCUAAUGUCGCUAAUUUAAUUUGGGAUUAAAUUAGGGGACUAUUAUAUUGCAGUGUGCACUAAUUUUUAUGUUUAUCUAAACUCCUUAAAUUUAAGAUAUAUUAUGGCAUAAAUAAGAAUAUAACAAUAGCAAAAGAGUUAGAAAGUGUAGAGAAGAUCUUGCAGAAAUAUAAAUAAUAUUUAUUUUAAAAUAAUAUCAAUAUUUAAAAUAAUUUUUAUUAUUUUAUGAUCCAUUAGAUAUAUUUUAUUAUAUUAAAGUAAAUUUUAUAAUAAAUAAAAACAUACUAUUAAAAUGAAUAUAUAGAAAAUUUAGAGUAUUUUAAGUAUUAUAUAAAAUAAUUUUAAUAAAAUAUGUGAGAUAUUCAUAUUUUAUUAAUUUAAAAUACCAUUUAACCUAAAGAUUUAUUUAUGAUAAAUUAAUAAUUAUAUUUUUGAAAUUACUUCAAAUAUUAAAAAAAUUAAUAUUACUAAUCUAUUAGAUAGAUUAAAUUAUAUAUAUUAUUUUCUAUUUAUUAAAAAAUUUCAAAUUAUUUUUAAUUACUAUUCAAAAAAUAUGAUGAUAAAAAAAUCUUAACAUCUUUAUUAAAAAAUUAAAAACUUACAUGAUCAAUUCUCUAAAUAUUUAGGGUAUAUGUGAACCACGGUGGACAGAGGUCAUUACUAAAAUUUCUCUUCCACAGGCAAUUACAGCAGCUCCAGUUUAUCAAACUCAACCAAUUUUCUUUCUUAACAAAAUUCCAAAGAUGUGUAGCUUUUUUCAGAUCACAUGCGAUGGUGCUUUUUUCAAUCGUUGCUUGGAUUGCUUUCUUGGAAAAGCAGCAUACAUACGUAACCUCCAAGAUAAUCUUGAUGCCUUGGACACUGAACUGGGAAGACUAAUCGCAGCAAAGAACGAUGUGAUGAUUAGGGUUGUCAAUGCUGAACGGCAAUAAAUGAGAAGGCUGGACGGAGUGCAAGUGUGGGUUUCGAGUGUGGAUGCUGUUAAAACUGGAGCCGAUGAACUUAUCACAGACGGCUCUGAAGAAAUUGGCAAAUUAUGUGUUGGAGGCUACUGUUCCAAGAACUGCAGGUCAAGCUACAAAUUCGGAAAACAAGUGGCUAGAAAGCUACGAGAUGUGGAGACUUUAAUCGCCGAAGGAGUUUUUGAGGCGGUGGCUACUGAGGUGGUGCCUGAGAGAGCUCCAGAGCCUGUAGCAGAUGAAAGACCUACCGAGCGAAAAGUAGUAGGCUUGCAAUCACAACUUGAACAAGUCUGGACGUGUCUUGUGGAAGAAUCAGCGGGAAUCAUUGGCCUAUACGGUAUGGGCGGUGUUGGUAAAACCACACUAUUGACCCAUAUCAACAAUAAAUUUCUCGAGAGUCCAACCAACUUUGAUUGUGUGAUUUGGGUAGUAGUUUCAAAAGACCUGCGACUUGAAAAACUUCAAGAAGAUAUUGGGAAAAAGAUAGGUUUGGUUGGUGAUUCAUGGAAGAGUAGAAGUGCAGAGGAGAAAGCUCUCGACAUCUUCCGGAGUCUAAGAGGGAAGAGAAUUGUAUUGUUGUUAGAUGAUAUAUGGGAGCGGGUUGAUUUAACAAAAGUGGGCGUUCCACUUCCUGGACCACAAAAUACUACCUCAAAAGUCGUAUUCACAACNNNNNNNNNNNNNNNNNNNNNNNNNNNNNNNNNNNNNNNNNNNNNNNNNNNNNNNNNNNNNNNNNNNNNNNNNNNNNNNNNNNNNNNNNNNNNNNNNNNNNNNNNNNNNNNNNNNNNNNNNNNNNNNNNNNNNNNNNNNNNNNNNNNNNNNNNNNNNNNNNNNNNNNNNNNNNNNNNNNNNNNNNNNNNNNNNNNNNNNNNNNNNNNNNNNNNNNNNNNNNNNNNNNNNNNNNNNNNNNNNNNNNNNNNNNNNNNNNNNNNNNNNNNNNNNNNNNNNNNNNNNNNNNNNNNNNNNNNNNNNNNNNNNNNNNNNNNNNNNNNNNNNNNNNNNNNNNNNNNNNNNNNNNNNNNNNNNNNNNNNNNNNNNNNNNNNNNNNNNNNNNNNNNNNNNNNNNNNNNNNNNNNNNNNNNNNNNNNNNNNNNNNNNNNNNNNNNNNNNNNNNNNNNNNNNNNNNNNNNNNNNNCAGGAAGUCCUAGUGCGUGCUAUCAGAAAAGAUGCUGGGAACUGUUUCGCGAAAAUGUUGGGGAAGAAACUCUUGAGAGUGAUCAUGAGAUCGUUGAGCUAGCCCAAACUGUGGCCAAAGAGUGUGGUGGUUUGCCACUCGCACUUAUUACUAUUGGUCGAGCUAUGGCCUACAGAAAGAAAGCGGAGCAGUGGAGACGUGCAAUUGAAGAGUUAAGAAGAUCAGCUUCAGAGUUUGCAGGUUUGGGAAAAGAGGUGUAUCCUCUUUUAAAGUUUAGCUAUGAUAGUUUGCAGAAUGAUACAAUUAGAUCUUGUUUCUUGUAUUGUUGUUUAUAUUCUGAAGAUUAUGGCAUUCUUAAAUGGGACUUGAUUGAUUGUUGGAUUGGUGAGGGAUUUUUGGGGGAAUCUGACAGGUUUGGUGCAGAAAACCAAGGAUAUGACAUUUUGGACACUCUUGUUCGUGCAUGUUUAUUAGAAGAGGUGGAAGAAGAUGAAGUAAAAAUGCAUGACGUUAUUCGUGAUAUGGCUAUAUGGAUAAC
rnacentral:lncRNA from 1 species